rnacentral:lncRNA from 1 species
AACCGACUGUAGGAAAUGUCAAAUCUGACCCAAUCCAAUUGGGACUGUAAACAUACCCGUCCCUGGGACUGUGAACACACCCGUCCCUGCCCCGUUGCGACUGUCCAGCUACCUCCACACCAACUGGUCCGUGGAGAGCAAGUCCAACUGGCAUGAGCGACACCAACGCAAAAGCACAAGCCUGACUCCGGAGUGGCACUCGUGGGCGCUACCCAACCGAGUAUGCAACGUAUCUCUGUCGAGCUCAAUCAGGCUCCAACUAGCCAAAGUCAAGUAAUCGACUCAAAAUGGUCUAACAACCAACAAGUAACGUGCCCUCGGCACAAUCCGACGCCAAAAAAAGCGAUACGGGUCCACCGUCAACUCUGACAGCACCCAACAGUCCGAAACGACCUGAACGACCCUGUAAAAAUCCACUCGGCAAACCAGCACGAGUGUAAAUACAUUCUAAACUACCUGGAGUACUCGUCUCGAAGAAACUGCGACAGUACAAUUUUCUAACGGCUCCUAGAGCUAAAUCAGGUAGUUAAAACUGGUGACAGGUCCAAAUCGCAGGUUUUCUCCUAAUUCAAAUUCCAAGUCCAACAUGUAUAAACUACUCAAUUUAAUACCACAUGCUCCAAAUUCAGAUUUGCUAUCUAUAACAAAAUCCAUGAAUUCGAGCUAAAGUAAACUAUACAAAAUCUGAAAUUACACAUGUUGACUAUUGCGCACUUAGGAGUAUAAGCCGAUGAUUAACCCACCUCGCUCGCUAAUCCCUGGCAGCACGGAACUCCCCUCGGCUGCGGAACAACCUGCCAAAACGUCCGAAAACCUCCCAAGGCCCGAAGUCAAGCUCCCGCCAAACUCUGCACGGAGAAUCCGACAAUAAGCAUUAAUUCUGCCUCAAAAACAGCAACAGAGAAGAGCGAAAUUCCGACCUAGCAAACCUUUACCAAAUCCAGCAAGUAAGGGCUUCGUGGAUUCCUCUCGAAGUCCCGAAUCCAACGAACCAAGUCUUGUCGAAAUCCGACGCUCCUACGCCGAGUACGAACUGAAAUACCGAUGGUCGACGCUGGAAUUUCUACAAAUCAGCACCAAGCUCGAAAUGACAAUACUUGAAGCAAUGCAACGGAACACUCACCUCAAAGGCUAAUCGGACAUCGACGCGGCGUCGAGAACGACGAAAACACGCCCUCGCCUAAGCUCCCUGCGACGCUACGACUGCAACCGUACCCUCGAACGGCUCCGCGGUGCGUCGUUGGUGUCGAAAUCGGCUCGCGGCAACUCCCCGAGCUCGUCGUUGCUUCGGCCGAAACGAAAGAGAGAAUUAAUUACUGAAGUGCAUGCACACCCUCUGUACUUAAGUUGAUAGGUAUGCAUGGGAGAGGGGGAAGGAAAUUGAUGCACGUGGCAUCCUUAUCCCCCAAAGGCACAUCCAUCUUAUACCAAUUAAAAAUAAAAUAAUAAUAAUAAUAAUAAUAAAAAUAAUAAAAAUAAGGAUACUACAAUGCAGCUUUUGAUUCUUAUUAUUUCAUGCUUUUUAACAUGUUGUUAUUUGAUACUGGUAAAUCCUUUUCGUCCUUCCAUGAAUGGUCUCUGAAUACGACCUCCUCCACACGCCGCUUGGGCUGCGGACACUCGGCGGCCUCCGGCUCAACACUCACAUUGGCAUGGUUUGCGGGGAUCGGCUCGAUGCAACUGUACAACCUCAUGAAGGACGUCGCGACAGCGGAGAUCUUGAAGGUGCAAAAUUGGUAGUGGAUCAGAUAUCGAGCCGACGUAGGUGUGGACCGUCACCACUUUGUCAAAAUGCUAGGCUCCUUUGCCGCCUUCUAUACCGCGCUCUUGAGGCUUCGAUGGAUGUUGUGACUCUUUGAAGCCCUCAGCAACGAAGUUCUUCUCCAAACUCCAAGGUAAUUGCUCCUUGCCCAUUUCUCUCUCUUUAGAUCUGCAUUUAUUUAGAUCUAUAUUAUGAUAUGUUUGAGUCAAUUGAGAUUUCUAGACUCGGGUAUUAGAUUUUCUAUUAUGAUUUAUAUUUGAUUUGUCGCUAAGGUUUCAUGUUUGGUAUUCCAAUGAGGUUAGAUGACAUUUCUUACAACGCUUCAAGGUUGACAAUUCGACCUAACUCGAGGGAAAUUUUUUACAGUGUAUCACGGCGGCUCUGAAAUGUUACAAGAUGGUGCUCUGCAUGCCAUCGUACAUGAGCCUCGAGAGGAGGGUCAUCAUGAGGGUGUAUGGGGUAAAUUUAGUGCUGACUGACCCUACCAAAAGGAUGGGCGGAACCGUGAAGAAAGCAUAUGAACUUAUGGAAUCCUAUCCCGAUGCCUUCAUGCUUUAACAGUUUGAGAAUUGCAAAUGAUAAGGUAGCUUUAUAAUAAACAAGCUGGCUUAAACUUGAUCUUACAAGUUUAAUAGCUAAGAGAUUUAUCUUUAUAUGAUUUUGAUUAAGAGUUUAUCAAAGGUAGGUUGAGUUUUAAUUUGAAAAUAGCUUAUAGAUAUUCAAAUAGAGGACAAAUUGAGCUAUGAAGAUAAAUUGCUCAUAAGAAAUCUUUGACUCACCAUAGAAGAAAAAUAGGAAUAAGGAAAUUUCAUGAAUAAAUUUUAUAAUUAUGUAGAGUAUUGCAUGUUCCUUAUUAUUAUUAGAAUGCAUCAAUAUAUUCUUUUCUUUUCUUUUUCGAGCCUUUUUUUUUAAAAUUUUUUGGAUCCUUAAUUUUGUCUUUUUAAUGUAAUCUUCCAACUAAACAUUUUGAAAUUUUAUGUCUUCAGUCUAUCAAGCAUUCCAAAUUUACCCUGAAUUCUAACUUGAAACUAUAACUUGAUUUUUUUAAUGGCUAGAAUUACUAAUUAUUCAUUUUUUUCCUCUCACUGUAUUUUGUUUUCACACUUAUACUAACUUUUUUGAAGAGAAGUUGUUCAUGACCAAAGAUGAUCUUGAGAUAGUCUGGAGCAAGAAUGGGCUCCAGCAGAGGAUUCUUGAGGUGGGAUACAAGUCAACUUCCUUUUGAUGGUAUGUUUAUUUUAUUUUAUUUUAAUUUUGUAUUUGAAACAACUUCUCUACUUGAGAAAGAAAAACAAAUUAAGGACUAUCUCCAUGUUUGUAAGGACUGAAAUUUUGACAGUGUAACUAAACUCUCUGUUGACGAUGUUUAUGUGUGUAAUUUAAUUACAUAAGCACUCGUCAAGUUUCAGGAGAAACUGAGCUAAAACGAAGAAGUUACGCGAUUAUUAGUUUUCACUUAAGUGAAUAGUAACUCCGAUUUUUCGGUGAAGCCACGGAGUAGAAUUGGCUUUCGGCGCGUAUCGGACUCCGAACAUAGGACUCCAAUAGCUCGUUUCGAACGGUUCAGCUAUUCUAGAACUACUGGCGCUGACGGAUUUUGAGUUUGAUGCACGAAUUUCGAGAAAAUCCGAAAAUACAUGUUUUAUAUGUAUUUAUGUGUUAUUCCUUCUAUUGGAAAGAAAGUUUGGAUUUUGUCGUGAAUCCGUGGUCGAUCGUGGUGAAACAAAAUCGUAGCUUUGUUGUCUCCGAGGUGCUGAUCGCACUGGUGCAAUCCGUUCGCAAAUCUGACGGACGGAUCUGCGGAGAUCGCACGUUGAUCGAGGAGAGGUCGGUGUUGGAAAAUGGGUAAUUUCGCAAAAAGUGCGAUAUUUUAUGUGCCUUUUCGCGUGAAUUUGUUUGUGAAGGUGUAUUCGCGCAUAUUUCACGCGUUGUGAAGGGCUGGGAUAGAAAUUUUCUUAUUAGAGGGGCUAAAUUGCAUAUUGCCACAUAUAUAUAUGUGUGUUGGAACCUAGGGCUUCGUGGAAACCCUAACCCUAGCCCUCCCUGUGCACCAGCCGCCUAGGAGGCCCCCUGCCCACGCCGUGCUUGCACCCCGGCGGCCGGCAGCCGCCGCCGUCGCCGGAAAAGGCUUCCCCAAGCUCCAACCUUCCUCCCUCUCCCUCCACCUUGGCCGAGGAAGUUCCAAGCACCAUCCUGAGCCGGCCAGGCCUCGGGUGAGGUGAGCCCCGACCCAGGCACCCCCACCGGCACCGUCACCGCCGACCCCCACCGUCGCCGUGCGCCGCCGGAGCCGCCUGCGGCCCCAGGGACACCACCCAGGCCGAAGCUGGGUGGCUCGGGUGUGUGAGCCCUGCCGCCGUUUCCCGACGGCCGCGGAGGUCUCCACCGACCGUCCGGCGACCACCGCGCCCGACCCCGGCCACCCUCGAGGGCCGCCGGCCGCCGCAGGAGCCCCCUGCCGCCGCCUUUGUGCUGUAGGGGCCGAACGCGGGCCGCCUUCACUCCCGGGCAUCGCCGCCACCCGCCGACGCAAGCUCGGCCACCGCCUCGACCCCCGGCAUCGUCCCCGACCGGCCCCGACCAGCCCCGGCCGCCGCGUCGCCGCCGGCAACUGUUGGAAAGCACCAAACCGCAAGGGAGUUGGCGGCUCCGUACGCCGCCGCCGCACCUCCGGCCGCCCUGCGCCGCCUGACGUGGAGUGCCCCGGAGCCCCGCCAUCUGGUGCACCCAUCCCCGGCCGGACCACCCACCGGAAUACCGCCGGCGGCCAACCCUAGCUUCCCUCUCACUGUGAGUGUCCAUUUAUGCAGCCAGCACUGUUUUCCCACUUUCCGGUAACUAUUCCGGCAAUCCGAAUGGUCUUUUUGACCUCGGGAAGUGAGCACGAUGAUCCUUAGGUCGUGCUGAACAUCGUGCUCACUCCCGUCGAGCCCUGCGAUGCCUUGGUUGCUUGGGCAACCGCGAUCUUCCUGCGGUGCGCGCUGCUUCGCUGACCUUCGCGUCGCUUGUGCGCGCACCGCAGUCGCCGAAUGUGCUCCGAAUGGUGAGCACGGUCUCCGGCACGCUGAAACCUAUCAGCGGGUGCGACGGUUGACCCAGCGAACCUCGUAUCGCAAAAUUGGGCCAUAAAACUGCCGGAAAUCGCAUAAAAUGAUAGAUUUUAGGGUUCUUGAUGUGCUUCCUUGCAAAUAACUUCAACUCGGUCGCUGUGGACAACGUGUAAAUGCUGAGGGUAACCUCUGGACUAAUCGUCCAAGGCCCCAAGCCACUGCGGAGAUCGAAAAGCCUUGUUUGGGGCGUUUCACGGCGAAAUUCUUCGACGGAACGCGAUCUUAGUUCGGUUUUUAUCCGACGGUGCCUCGGGAUCAGUUGUGAUGUCGCUAAGCCUUCUUGGCAGGUCACCCGUGUCGUUUCGAGGGGUUCGAAAACGACGGGUGAGCGACUGGUGGGUCCUGGUGUCAAAAACGACACUUUCGGGAACCCGGUUCGAGACGUUUAGUCAACAAUGUUUGUUCCGCAGGCGAAGUGUUGGUCUUUGUGCCAAUGUGCUGAUGGGUUAUUAUAGAGUAUUAGUGGACGGUUGACUCCUCAGUGGAGUUGGGAGUUCCGGGACAGUUAGUGGUCCGGCGCAGUCCCGUGGUGCGAUUUUCGGAAUUCCGGCGAAGUUACGGUAUUCGGGUGUUUGGGAAUCGAUCUCGUGCGGAUUUGUUUGUGGUUAUGCUUUAAGGGUUUCUUAGCUGUGGGUUAGACACUGACCAGUGGACCUUCUUAGGUCUGAGUUGACGUUUCUUUUGCAGUCAGUGAGCAGGCCGACAGUUUGUAUCAGGUGGGGUUUCGAUCGACGAUCGGUACAGUGGUGCACGCUCGGUGAUCGUUUCACUUUACCCCUUGGUUGUUUAUAUCUUUUACCAUAUAUAUGUGAGCCUUUGCACCAUACUGUUUCCUUAUUACUGGACUUAGUUGUUGCCAGUGAUGUAGUAUUGUGUAGGGAGUAGAGUAGACUUUAUUGUAUAUGAUCUUGUGACCUGGCUAGUGGUUUCUUGUACUUCUUAUCAGUGACCUGGCUUGGUCGAGUUUAUCCUAUUAAUUACGACCUGAUUGCGCUCGAUUUGUUUACAUGGUAACCCAUUACAGUCGAUGGUUGCCCUGGGCGGGGCAGGAUUGUCGGACCGUUGCCGACGGUUGAUAUUGAGCAUUAUGCAUUGAUUGCCGAUACUCGUCGCAUUUCACCGAACACCUGGCCGUCUGAUCCACCGCAAGGAGUGUUCUUUUCGAAAAGUGGUUAAUGGUACAACCGUGAGCCCUAGAGGGGGGUUAUAUGCAGUUGAACGGCAGCGUACUGUCGGGAAGGUGUAAUGCGUUGCGGACCUCCAGGCCAUUGGCUUGAGGUUGCGGUGCUGACCAAGAGAGCAUUGAGUUUCAAUUUGGGACUUUUGGUAUUCUUGACCGUUGAUUCGCAGUAUAUGUAUACGUAGCAGUCAUUUGCAUGUCAUACUUAAACCAGUUCCUUACUUUAUAGUUGUUCUUUGCUGCUAUACGUAGAUUUCAUUAUGCGUUUCAGUUCUCAGUUACAGUAUGCGGUACGCGUUAUUUUGUCGUCUAGUCUUACUUUCUUUCAGUUUAUUGUAUGUAUUCCGGUAUACUCUGCUCUGUUUACUCUUAUAUUGUUGCUACUAUCAUUUCCACUGACCAUUUUGUUAUUCUAGCUUCUUCCUCGAUCCCGAGUGAGUCAUCCUCGCCUUCUCGGCUUACGGUACCCACUGGGAGGCGGAGACAUGUUUAAUUUCUCAGCCUCCCACCAUCUUUUCAGUAUCGGGGCGGUAAUAGGUCGGAUGAACGUGAGGUACGUGUGUAGCGGUCGAUAGAGCUUCCGACCCAGGUUAUUUCGGUAUAGUUAUUACCCUUAUUGUUUCAGUUGUUAUAGCUUAGAUAGUUAUAUGGUUCAGUAUUUUUAUUACAUUUGAAAAUAUGAAUUUUCGUAAAUGUAAUAAACGGAUUUCUGGAUUUUGUAAAAUAAAAGGUUUUCUACCCCUCGUGGUAGCGUUUUUAAAGAAUAAAGGUUUCCGUGUAGGAAACAGUUUUCAAAAGGUUUUCUGUGGAUUUUGCAUCUUAGUAUUUCAAAAUCUGUUUCUGUAGUUGGAAACAUUUUAACUGAUAGAUGUGGAUUUAUGUUUACAUAUCGAAUAUAUAAAUGUGAACCUGUAAUGUGAAUGGUAUAUGAAUAUAUAAUUGUUGGUUUUGUAUGUUCAUUUGGUUGUGGUUGUACCUGGGUUACUUCUUGUAUUUGUGUGACGCCGUGCGAAUACAGGGGAGACGCUGUCCGUGUGAACAGUGGAUUCCCUGUGUUUGUGGCGGAUCUGACAUACUCUGGGGUCAGGCUUUUCAAAAAAAAAAAAAAAAAAAAAUUUAGACGCUUUUUCCGCUGUGUUCAAAUAAAAAGGGACCCCGGGGCGUGACAAUGUUCUAGGUUUCGAAAGCUGUAGGUCUAAUUUGAAUUAAUUUUUACAUACCUAUCAAUAAAGGUUUUGAUCAAGAAGGAGAAUUGCAAACCUUUGAAGCUUAAUUGAGAUUUCCUAACUCUCAAUCUUAACAAUAUAGUUUCUGAAGGUUAUGAUUAACAAAACAACUUUGUUUAUUUUAGUAUGAUUAAUGAUAAUUCGAAUUUGAUUUGUUUUUUGACAGUUCAAUUCUGAAUUAGUUCUCGACCAUGUGCUUAUAGGGGAAAAAAGUUAAUUUGUUUACUUAGAAAAGAAAACUUUCUAAAUUAGAGUAAUUUCCAUUGCCUUCCCAGAAAAAAUAUAAGAUUAAUAUCUAUUGAGAGUACUAUUAAUGAUAAGAACUUUCAUAUCAAAUAUUGUAUGUAGACAAUAGUUUUCCCCUUCUUUUCUUCUGAAGUACUAUAUAGGCAUCAAUUUUCAUUCUCUUCCAUCUUUAUUGAUCUCUUGCUCUAGCUCAACACACUUGCUAUUUCUAUUCACCGUUAUUGAUCUCUUGAUGCUCUUGGUGUUCGAUGAAACGACUUCUUUCAAUGGUGAGUUGAAAAAUUAGGUGUUAAUAUUCAUUAUCUUAUAAAUCAUGAUGAUUGUAAGGCUUCACAUAAUUUUCGAAAGGUGAUAAAUUUUCUAUAAUAUUUUCUCAUUGCUGUUUUCUUUCCAUUUAUUUUCCUAAUGUUUAUCUUUUAAAUGUGCAUUACAUAUUUAUAAUCCUAUCUUUUUAUCUCAUGUGUAAUGUGAGUAGGAACCUCGAUUAGUCUUGAUUUAAAUGGCAAUACAAUCUUAACUUAUUUGAUCUCAUAGGUCAAUUUGUUUAAUUUAAGUGCCUUUUACAAGUGAUCUAUUAUACUUUGCUUUAGCCUAUGUCGUUGCUGACUGCUUCCUACAUUUUGCUCGCUCCUUUAUCUCUUUUAUUUAUUAAAUAAAGAAUAGUAAUGAAGCCAUCACCAUCCUUUUUAGGGACUAAUACAUUGGUGGAUUUAACAUAUUGCAUAACGAAUUUCUGAUAGAGAUUUCUCUCUUCACUUCUAGCUGUUAUUAAGUCUCUACGGAAGUCUUGAAGUCAUCCAUUUUGGCUCCAAAGAGGUGUUGUCUUCUUUCUCUGAUUCUAUUACUAAAAAGGUUGAUUAUGAUGUAGACGGAAUUCUUUUACAAGAAGCAUGCAUUUGUGGUAUGAAAAGUAGUCAUCUUGCUUACAUUUUAAUCUGUGUAGAGCAAGAAAGUUUAUAUUUUUACUCUCUAAAAGAUUUAGCUAUUAGAGAACGAUAUUUUUAUAUUUUUAUGUUCAAAACUUUUCCCUCAUGUCUAGACUCGAUACAUUUUAAUAAGCCCAAUAUGUAGGCUUAAUUAAAUUGGAGAAAUAAAUAAUGCUAGAAGUCUGGUGGGAUUCAAAUUCAGGAUCUUAUGCUCUAAUAUCAUAUUAAAUAAUGCAAAACAAUCAUUAUUCUAGAAAAUAAAAGCUUAAGCUAUUAGAGAAAGGUAUUUUUACAUUUUUAUGUUCAACACUUUGCUUUUUUUCUUUGUUAGUAUGUUGCAUUCAGUGACCAGUUAGUUGCAGUUUGGAUUUCUUUAUCUAUCGUGUAAUGUGAGCCAAACUAUUAGCUGCUUUGUUCCUUUAUUGUUGUAUAAAAUAGUAUGUAGAUUGUAAUAUAAAUAUAUCUACUUAAAAGAAAGAAAAUAAUAAUUUUGCUUACGCCAUGUUUUCCAUGAUUUGUUCUAUACUAGAAGAACGAAAGCUUUUAUUGUAGAAAUUGCUUUCAAGUUUUGUUGAAAAUUUGUUGACCAAAUAUGUGGAUUAUGCUGAAAAUCUAGUCUCUUUUUCUUUAAAAAAAGUUACACAUACAUUUCAUGUUUUUUUUUAUAUUCUUUUGUUUUUUACUUUUUUAUGUUGUUGUGGGAUAAUUUUUGAUUUUUUUUGUUGACUGAACUCUUUGAACUCAUCUUCGAGAAAUUUGAGACAGUUUACAUUUUUAUAUAUGAUUCCUAUAUGUAGGGUUUUAUCCUGAACAUUCCAAGUUUGAGAGAGGAGGCCAAUUCAGAAGCGUCUGCUUGGUGGGGCUCCUCGUAAAUUGGCGCUGAUUAUCUUGAACUCUAGCAGCUACUUCUAGGAAAGCUUUUAUAAUUUUUUGUUAUCUUGCAGUCCAUAUUGUUUUUUUUAUGAACUGUAAGAUAAUAUUUUAAGCUCUCAAAAUAUAUGCUUAAAUAUGUCAUUCUCUACUCAUUUUGUUUGAGACCAUAUUUUAUUUCUUUUUUUUCUCAUAAAUAAUUAUUUAUUUUCUCUUGUUGAUUAAUUUUCUAUUUCUGUUUUGAGAUUAACGUACGGCGCAUUUUGGCGAGAAACAUCUUGCUUAGCAGUAUCAAUACGAUAAAAAAUAAAAUAAUUUGGUAAAAAAAACUUAUGUUUAGAGCAUGAGUUAUCCCUUGCUUCCAAAAGUGGCUUUGAAGUGAACAAAUUAAAUUAUUUUUACAAAAAGGGGUUCUAGCUUUCUAGAUGCUUUUAGAUUAUGUAGGAUUCCACGAUUAUAAAUUUUGGCUCAUUUAUUGGUUAGUUGGUUGUUAUUUGUAAUAUCUAAGUCCGAAAUUUUGCAACUAUUGUUGCGAAUGUUAUUUUGUGCAUAGAAAUGAUAGAAUAUGCUUUUUGGUAUUUCUUCAUUUUAUGUCAUAUAUAUUAUGAUUCGUAUAUUUUAGAAUUCAACUUUUUCAAACUGUAUAUAAUAUUUUUACUCAGAAGCGCAAUAAUUAUAUUUAUGCACGAAUUAUAGUAACACUAUCUACUUGCAGAGGUAACUGAUACUUCUUCAUAAGCAAUAUAUAAAUAUAGGAAUGGGACAAAUACUUAGGGUGUAAUGUGGGCCGCGUAGCGCCGCACGAAUCACAUUCAGGAUUUUCUAUCGGCAAUAUGUACACACAAUUUUUAUUUUUUAAAGUUCGAUAAAAAUUUAAAAUAAUUAAAAUGGCCAAAAUAUAUACUUUCUUAUAACCAGAUUUUAUUUAUUUAUUUAUUUUUUCUGUGCAGAGAUAUUUGAGUCUAAAACUCCAAAAAUAUUUCCUCCUGAGUCUUUACGAGAUGGGCUCGGCCCAAUAGAGAGGAAAGGCCAGUUUUUGCUUAAAAAGAAAUUUUUUUAAAAUUUCUUUUUAAGUUGUGAUAUUUUAUUAUUCACAUAUUUUUACUUCAACAAUACCUACCCAUCGCAUCGCACGGGUUUCUACACUAGUUAAUUAUAAGUUAUUGAAUAGAGAGGAGGGGAGGGGAAAAGCCAAAUUAAAGAUCAAUUCAAAAAAAAAUGGUUAGUGAGGAUGGAGGAAAACUUGCCAUGUGGCAAAAUUAUUGGAAAUUCAUAUCGGUUAAUAGAUGACGCUUUCCCUUCCUUCCACUAUACUUUCAAUUAAUGCAAACGGUCCCACUACCAAACUUCUAAUUAGUAUAUUUAAAUAGUUCCACUACCAUCUACAAUCAUAACUCUCUCUCUCCAAUUAUUCAUUAUGGCCCUUUUCCUUCCCUGACUUUCAAUUCUUUAUCUCCAAUCUAUUCAUCAAUUCACUAUCUCUCAUUUUUUGCUAUACACCAUCACCCCCUUCUGUUGCUCCCUCCCUCUCUCUCACUAAUGCGCGCCCACUUCCCGCUUGCACCGCUGUCGAAGGAAUCAUCGUCGUCGUCACUAUCAUCAUUGCGGAGAAGGUAUCGUCGGGCCUAUAUCUGCCACCAACAAUAAGAGAUCUUUGGUGGAUGUAGUAAGUAAGAUACACAAGAGAAUGUUUAAUAUUUUCUUAUUAUUAAUUAUUACUACGGUUUCUACCCGCCGCAAAGCCCGGACCCCUUCACUAAUGUAUAUAUAUAAAGACAGAGAGAGCUGGGCUCCUGUGAUAUCUGUAGUACUAGAAUUUCAGUACUAUAGUUUUGUUUUCGAUCUUAGGGUGUGUUCAAAUCAAUGAUCCACACCGUUAAAACUAAUCUAGAAUAUUUAAAAAUUUUUAGAAAUAAAAUUUUAUAUUUUUUUGACAUAAUUUACUUUAUUAGCAAAUCAUUUCAAAUUGUCAAUUUUCAAUGGCUACUAUAGUAAGUUUAUAGUUUAAAGGUGUAGAAGAAUCUAAACUUAUUCAAAUUUUGAUAGAAAAUACUUUAAACUAUCUAGAUCAAAAUUAUCAUCUUUGAUCUUGAAUUCAAAAGUUCUAUCUUCAAAUUUAAAAUUUGUUCAAUUUUCAUCGUUAAUUUUGACAUGAUUUACUUACUAAAUAACGAUGUCAAAAAAAAUUAAAAUUUUAUUUCUAUGAACUUCAUAUAACCUAGAUUGUAUUUAACGAUGUGGGUCAUUGAUUUGAACAUCUCCUGUGCUUUUUAAAGCGACAAGUUAUUGGUGCUUAAAGGUUUACGGUCCUUCGACGAAGAUUUGUUGGAUUAGAAUAGUGGUCCUUAGAGUUGAGUGGGUGGUUGGUGGAAUAGCAUAAUCUAAGGGAUGAAAUUGGUUAAAGGGAUAAGAUCUAAUAUAGAAAAACUUACACGCACCAAGUGCAUGGUGCUAACCGGACUCUCUCUCUCUCGCUAUAUAUAUAUAUAGAAUUGAGCUCUUAUACUUUUAAAAACACCAAGUCCUUGGUGCUUGUAAGUUUUCGACCCUAAUGAAGAUUUAUAGGGUUAGGAUAAUAAUAGUUCCCUAAGGUUGAGUGGGUAGUUGGUGGAGUAGCAUAAUCUAAGAGGUAAAAUUGGUCAAAGGGACAGAUCUAAUGGUGAAAAACUUACAAGAACAAAGUAAUUGGUGCUUGUAUAAGCACCAUAUUCACACACACACACACACACACACACUCUUGCUAUAUAUAUAUAUAUAUAUAUAUAGAGAGAGAGAGAGAGAGAGAGAGAGAGAGAGAGAGAGAGAGAAAGUCCGGCUGGGAUACUAUCGAUAGCAUGAAGCAUUUCGUGCUAUCAAGUUUUCUGCCGUUAUCAUUUUCAUCCGUUCGAUGAUACUAUUCAACCAACCAUCCACUCAACCAUAAAGGGCCUACAUCAUCCUAACCGCACAUCUUUUCAUUCAAGGGCAGAAAACUUAAUAGCACUAAGUCAUUGGUGCUAUUAAUAGUAUUCCAGUCUAGUUUUAUAUAUAUAUAUAUAUAUAUAUAUAUAUAUAUAUAUAAACACUUGGUGCUACCAAGUUCUCUGUCAUUAGAUCUACUCUUNUAGUAUUCCAGUCUAGUUUUAUAUAUAUAUAUAUAUAUAUAUAUAUAUAUAUAUAUAAACACUUGGUGCUACCAAGUUCUCUGUCAUUAGAUCUACUCUUUUGACCAUUCCCACCCGUUAGAUCAUAUUAUUCAAUCAACCACCCACUCAACCCUACGGGACCACUAUUAUUCUAACCGCACAUCCCUUAAUCCAAAGGUCGAAAACCUAAUAGAACCAAUGACUUGGUGCUUUUCCAGCCUAGUUUUAUAUAUAUAGAGAGAGAGAGAGAGAAAGAUUUGAGCUGGAAUACUAUCAGUAGCAAAUAGACUAUAUUGCCACCCAUUUGUUUUUAAUGAUGGAGCCUCCAAAUCGACGAUCGAUACCGUUGAAAAUGAUCUAUACCACUUGAAGUAUCUAGAAAUAAAAUUUCAUAUUUUUUCGAUAUUGUUCUCUUGUCCAUCAAAUGGACGUAAAAAUGAACAGCUGAAAAUGAAUAUUCUCUAAAAACUGAUAAUAGAAAUUUUAUAACCAAGAUCGACAGUAUAGAUCUUGUUCUAAAUAGUUUAAGAAAUUUUCUAACCAAAAUUCAAUUGAUUUAGAUUGCUUUACACUGUUAAACGAGAAAACGCUUCAUAUCUACCAUUAAAAUUACAAAUUUUAAAAUCCUUUGAUCAUUAGGUCAAUGAUGUCGAAAAGAUUUAAAAUUUAGUUUAUAGAUAUUUCAAGUGGUAUAGAUCUUAUUCAACGGUGCCGAUCGUCGAUUUGGAGGCUCUAUUAUCGAAAACAAAUGAGUGACAACGGAGCCCGUUUGCUACCGAUAGCAUUCCAGUCUCUCUCUCUCUCUAUAGAGAGUCAGGCUGCUAUGCUAUUAAUAGCACAGCCUGACUCAUGCUAGUGAGUUUUUAACCACUAGAUCGCUUUGAGGUCUAUGCGCGCGCGCGUGCGAGAGAGAGAGAGAGAGAGAGAGAGAGAGAAUUGAUCGGUACAACUUCAAUUUGUCUUGGACACCAAACCAAACUGUACCAUACCCAUCCUUGGUCCCAACUCCAAAACAGGCUCCUCGAUUUUGGCUCAGAAAAAUAUGGACACUGUAGGCAUGUUUGGUUCGAAGUCGGAAUCGGAAUCGGAAUCGGAAUCGAAAUCAGAAUAAGCUGGAAUCGGAAUUAGAAUGACUCAUUAUCUAAUUCUGUUUGGUUCAUCACCUGAAUCGGAAUCGGAAUAAAUCAUUUCCAUUGUCGAUGUUUGGUUCAGAUAAAUAUAAAAAACGUAAUCAGAUUAAUAUAUUAACUUUAUCUUUAUAAUAUAUUAAUUUAAAUUCAAAUUAAAAAUUAAAUAUUAAAAAUUUACAUCAAAAUUUUGAAAUAAUGUCAAAAUUUUAAAUCUAUUUUUUUUAAAAAAAAUAAACUUUGAAGUUGAGUAAAUAAUUCGAAAUAUAAAACUAAAUUUUGAUUUAUUCAAAUUCAAACUUAAAAUUAUAAUUUAAAUUUUAAUUUGAAUUCACAAAUUUAAUUUAAGUUUUAAAUAAAAUUUGAAUAAAACUUGAUAUAAAUUAAAAUUUAAUUUAAAUUCAAUUCAUAAGGUAGAUUCGAAAUAUUUGAUUAAAUUUUAAUUUUUAAUUCAAGUUCAAAUUAAAAUUAAAAAUUAAAAAUUUAAUUUCUAAAUUUAAACUCAUAUUUUAAUUAAAAAAAUUAAAUUUAAUCCGAAUAAAUAUCCAUUCUGUCCGAAUUCAAAUUCCAAUCCCACUUCCUAGGAGGCCGGAUUGAAAAAAAAGGUGAUUGGGGAAUUCCAUUCCACUAGGGAAUCAGAAUCGGGAUGGAACUCUCGCGUACCAGACAUCCACAAACGGAUUCGCCAAUUUCGAUUCGAUUCCAUGAUGAAAAAGAAGCGAAUCAAACACGCUCCGUUUAUCUACCCAUUGUAACACUCACUGAAUGGGACCUAACCUAGUGGUUGCUAUUCAGGUCGCAGUCUACAAGGUCGAUUAGGGGGUUCAACUCUGCAUCACCACAUAAGUUCUCACCAAAUGAAAUAUUUUUAAAUUCUUUUUCACCAAACAAGAUUCGUAUUUUUAGGUUUUCGGAUUAUAUAUAUAUAUAUAUAUAUAUAUAUAUAUAUAUAGAGUUGAGCUAGAAUACUAUCGAUAGCAAACGAGCUUUGUUGCCACCAAUUUGUUUUAUAUGAUGGAGCCCCCAAAUCGACGAUCUGCACCGUUAAACAUGAUCUAUACCACUUAAAGUGUUUAGAAAUUAAAUUUCAUAUAUUUUCGAUAUUGUUCCCUUAUCCAUCGAGUGGACACAAAAAUAAACGGCUGAAAAUGGAUAUUCUUUAAAAAAUGAUGAUAGGAGUCUUGUAAUCAAGAUCAAGAGUAUAAAUCUUAUUUUAAAUAGUUUAAAGAAUUUUCUAACAAAAAUUCAAUUAAUUUAGAUAUCUUUACACCGUUAAACGAGAAAACGCCUCAUAUCAACCAUUAAAAUUAUAAAAUUUGAAACUCUUUGAUCAUUAGGCAAAUGAUGUCGAAAAGAUUUAAAAUUUAAUUUCCAAACACUUCAAGUGGUAUAGAUUAUAUUCAACGGUGCCAAUCGUCGAUUUGGAGGCUCUAUCAUUGAAAACAAAUUGGUGGCAACGAAGCCCGUUUAUUAUCGAUAGUAUUAUUAUUAUUAUUAUUAUUAUUAUAUAUAUAUAGUCCGGCUGCUAUGCUAUCGAUAGCACCAAGCACUUGGUGCUAUCAAGUUUUCUGUCGUUAGAUUAACUCCUUUGAUUAUUUUUACCGGUUAGAUUAUACUAUUAACCAACCACCCACUCAACCCUAGGAACCCCACAUCAUCCUAACCGCACAUUUCUCAAUCCAAGGGCCGAAAACCUAAUAGCACCAAUUGCUUGGUGCUAUUGAUAGUAUUCCAGCCUUGAUAUAUAUAUAUAUAUAUAUAUAUAUAUAUAAAAUUUAUCUGAAUUACUGUAACACUCUAAUAGUCUCACAUCAGAUAAUGCGGAAAAGUGUGAUGAACUUAUAAGUGACAGACACACUAGUAAUAAUAACUAGAUUUAAACACUUUGGAUUGAUAGUUUGGGCCCAACGAGCUACUAUUACUAGUGAAUCAGGUCGUUAUAUUUGAUAUCAGAGCCUGAUAAUCAGUCGGAAGUGUGAGAUGGAUUUUACAUUGUCUGAUAAAUUUGAAACUAUGUAUUUGAUUGGGUCAGACUGACAAAAACGUCAAAGCCUAAACUAGGGAACUAAUAGAGUAUGUCACACUCCAAUAGUUCAACGUCCACGUUGGAUAAUAUAGAAGAGUGUGAUGGGCUCAUUAAUAAUAAUUGAGUUUAAGUAUUUUUGUCUUAUGGUUUAAGUCUAACGAGUUAUUAUUGCUAACGGGUCGGGUCAUUACAAUUAUAGAUUAUUUUGACUUAGCUACCAAAUUUUUGAAUUUUUUAUUUUACUAUCUAAUCUUUCAAUUUAUUUGAUUUUUCAACAAUAUUUUGACUUUGAAAUUUAAGAUAGUUAUUUAUUUUAAUAAAUUUAUAGUUGCAAGAAAUAUACUUUAAAUCUAUAAAAAUAAACAAACGCAUUCAAAUUUUAAAGUUAAAGUUUCUGUGACUACUUCAAGUCAAAUAAAUAAAGAUUAAGGGAUCCGUAAUUCAGAUAAGUUUUAUAUAUUUUUACUAUUGAGGUUUAGGUUGGGAAUCUGCAAGCAAAUUCAAAAAAGGAAAAAAAAUCUAUUGUUGACGUGGUGGACCUGGUCCACCACCCAUUCCGAUACUUGGCCACUGCCAAGAUCAGGAUAACCCAAUCCUGAAUCUGCCACGUGUCACUCUCUCUGAGGAUCCCUCAUCUUCCCCAUUGACCCGCGAAAUCCCCUCCACAAUCCACAUUCAAAUCCACUUCAACACUCCCCACACUAACCAACUCCCCUACAUCAAAAGAGAGGCCGAGAGAGAGAGAUCAAUUCAUUAUCCUUAUCCCCCCAAAAAAAUGGCUUCUCUUGCCGCCGUUGCCGCCGUGCAGCCGGUGGCCGUCAACGGCCUCGCCGGCAGCUCCCUUGGCGGCGCCAGGCUCGCCGUCAGGCCCUCCCUUUGCCGCGCUCCGCGGCGGUCUGGCCUGAGGUAAUUGACAAUAAGGUGUUUGAUUUUAUGCCCCAAUGAAGGGCGCGGGCCAAGUUCGGCUUCUAACCGUGCCCUGGCGCGGCGUGUGGUUUGAAUAUGGCAGGUCGCGCAGCGGGGCUGUGGUGGCUAAGUACGGCGAGAAGAGCGUUUACUUCGAUCUCGAAGACCUCGGCAACACCACCGGCCAGUGGGACCUGUACGGCUCCGACGCGCCCUCGCCCUACAACCCGCUUCAGGUGCCUCGGCUUUUCCCUCCCCCCAUCACUGUUUGUAACGUAUGUAUCACGGAUGCAGUAAUAAGCCUCGCGUAUCCAUGUCGGACACGAAAAAGUCUAAAAUGUGUCAGUCAUAUAACUGAUGUGGUAUUUUCAACCAAUUAUAUUUGGCCUCUUGGAUUCACCUAUCCCGUUAUGAUUUUUUGAAAAAUAUUUUUGUUGUACUUUUCUCUCAAAAGAAGAGAUAUGAUUGGCCGGACAAAGAUGAUGUGGUGUAGCUGCUAGACAGUAGACUUCCUCAUAGGACACAUGCGUAUCCGUGUUGGACUCGUGUCCGACGCAGACGUGCUAUGGACGCAUGUUCAUAGCGCAUCUCAUUAAAAAAUUAAAGUAAAAGUUUUAUGCAUAUAUAAUAUAACAUGAUAAACAUUUUAGCUUUUUGAUGAAUGAUACAAACAUUUUUUGUAUGAUAUAAAUAAAUUAUGUAUGGUGGAGAAUUAACUUUCUUAAAAUAUAUGAACUAUUGAUGAAAGUUUUAUUUUCAUUUGUAUAAAAAAAUAUAGCAGUAUGUUAGCAAAAAUAAUAUUUUAGAUAUGAUAAAUAUGUAUUUUUAUAUUAAUAAUAUUAUAUUUUAUUAGCGGCGUCCAUACUGUGUCCAUGUCCUAAUUAUUUUGAAGCUGUCAAGUUGCCGUAUCCACGUCGUGUCGUGUCCUAUGUCCCGUGUUCGUAUCCGUGACAGCCGGUUUUUUUAGUUACUCUCUAAAGAUUUCUGGUUAAGAGAGGGUAGAUAACGUGCUUUUCGAGUAUAAUACAUUAAAACACGAUUCUUUAGCAACUCCCAGUUGUUAGAGAAAAACAAUUUUAGUAUGAUUUUGGUUCCUUUCGUCAAUAGAAAAAUCGCAUGAUGGUCUUGUGACUAUAAUCAGCGAAUGUGAUUAAAGUGCAGUUUUCUAGUAGCUCAAGAUUUUAGAGAAAAACCAUAAUUUCACAUCGAAUCGGGGAUAAAGGUACCGAGUUGAUUCUGUGGUCGAAAUCGGUCCUUGCAUCAGGGUGAGUUAGGGUGAGUCUUGAGUAUGAACUGAGCUUUUAGAGCAAAAUGGUGGUUCCGUAGAACUCAAUUUUUAUACUUCAUUUACUAUUUUGAAAUAAGUGGAUAUUUUAUUUCUUAAGAGCUCAAUCGCUGGUGCUUCAUGUGUACAUCAAUGAAAAUUUUCUGUUACUACUUUCAAGUAAAAGAGAAGCGAUAGAACAUGUUAUGCAAAAUAAUAGAAAAACAUCAGUAUCUACCACUUCACCUCUCAGUGGUUGCUGUUCAGAAUAUUUAUAUUACAUGCUAGGACUCGUAGUCGAAAUAUAGCAGAAACUGAGCGUAUAGGAAUUUCAUGGCUUAUUAUUGCCAUCGGCCACAUGAUUGUCAUAUGCUCAAUUUUUAGAUACAUAUAUAUCCAUGUACGUUCAUGUACUUACUGAUCUAUUUAUGCACUUAGCUACCGUUUGGUUGGGGAUUAAGGGGUGGAAUAACCCCUUAACCCCCAAUUUAUACCCAAACACCACUCUUUACUAACCCGGGUUAGUGGGAUUUACUAACCCCACUCCCCCUCCCAACUUUAACCCCGCACGCAUUCCGAGCCCUCAUCUUUUUCUUCUUUAUCAAUCAUUAACCCUACUCCCACUCCCAACUUUAACCCCGCACGCAUCCCGAGCCCUCACCUUUUUCUUCUUUAUCAAUCAUUAUCUUCUUAUCCCACCUACUCCAACCAAACAUUUUUUUUCACUAUCCUAUACUAACUCCAACCUCCAACCAAACACAAAAAAACUUUAACCCCACUUUAACCCUGAACUUAACCCUAUCCCUGGAAUAGCUACUUUUUCCUUAACCCCGAACCAAAUGGAGGCUUAAUGAAAUUUGCAAGCAACACUGUAAAGUGUAAUAACUUCAAUAAAAUACUUGUAGCAAUUGGAAAAUAAUACAUGGAUUUCAUAGAAGAUCUUGCUAAGAGAAACAUAGGGUGAUUUAUAGCAAGCUCGUCACCAAUUGACAUCAGUGAUUUUUGGAUUAUCAAAUGCAGAGCAAGUUCUUCGAGACAUUCGUAGCCCCUUUCACCAAGAGAGGCUUGCUGCUCAAGUUCUUGAUAUUAGGCGGUGGCUCCCUCCUUGCCUACGUGAGCUCAACAGCCUCGGGAGACGUCCUGCCGAUCAAGAAGGGCCCACAACUGCCGCCUCAGAAAGGCCCACGCGACAAGAUAUAAACUCUUUGUACUGCUACUUCAUCUCUUUCACUACUCAUUUAUGUUGUCGAUAUAGUACCUGUUCAAACUGCUCUGUAAGUAAGACCGGAUCUUCAUGCCUAUUUAUCUAAAAUUCCAUUUGUGCUUGCUGUAGGGAGAAUAUUUGCUUUGAUUUUUCUUCUCUGCUUUUGAUGAUACAUUACACCUAUUUCAAUGUAGGAAUUACCAUUAGAUGAAUUUGAGUAGUUCUUUUUUGGAUAGCAUGUCAUAUACUGCUAUUUUUCUCUUUUGGCAUCUUUAAGUCCAGAAGAAGUUCAUUUCUACUACCAAGAAGAAAUCUGGAGAUUCCUCCAUUUAAGAUUAACAAGUUGUCCUAAACUUACAAAUGUGACCCUUGCGUUAUAUUGAGUCGAAAACUAAUAUGAAGUGUGUAAGUUUACUAUAAUCACCAAUUGAAAUAUUACUACUGCUUAUGGUUAGUAGUCCUUUGCCUGAUUGUUGUUAAUACAAUGAAAAAAUGGUGCCAAUAAAUGAAAUCUUAAAUCUUCGAUAUGCUUUAUGUGACCUGGUAAUCCUUGUGGAGAGGACAUAAAAUUGAUGGUUAUGAUUAUCCUAUUUCAGAGAAACCAGGAGUUAUUCUGUCACUCAAAGACAAAAGAAAAAAGAAAAAGACAGAAAAAGACAAAGAAAAAGCACUCCUGUGAAGUUCUUUUGAUGCCUUAAUUGGUCUUACAUAAGUUGUUCUAUGGGCAUGAUACAUAUCCAUGUUUGAUUUCAGUGUGAGUUAGCUUAAUAUUUCAUUUCAAACAUUACGAAGGUUUAGUUCAUACCCUGUAGAAGCGAGGUUCUACAUGCUUCUACCAAAAAAAGAGCCUGAAACUACUCUUUUUAUCGGAGGCUACUUGGAAAUAGAAUCAACUUAUUAUUGAAUUACAAUGCUACUCAAUCAACAUUAUUAGCCAUUCAAUGAUCAAUUGAUCGUGGAGUUGUUUAAGAUGGCUACAUGGGAUUCCAAUAUUGUACUGUUAUGUUCAAAAGAUGAUUGUUGGACAAGGCUAAGAAGUUCUUGAUCACUAUUGAUGCUACUGAAGAAACUUUGAAGUUUAUUCGCAAAGUAUUUCUAGGAAAAGAAAUAACGCAUCAUGCCAGCCACACAAUCGAAUUUUCUUGGAGAAUUUCUUUUGUUUCUGGAGAGGGCAUUGGGGCAUUGGGAAUCUCAAUCGCAUUGUAAACUUAAGUAUUACCAUGAGGUUAUAACUCGAAGAGUACACAAAGGGGGAGCAUUUUUAACCUAUAUAGCACCCAAAUGAAUGAAAACCAACAACAACAGCCCUUGAAAACAACUAAUAGACCUUAGUUGUUUUAUCCCUCAGAAGAUAAUGCCUCUCUCUCUUUAAUCCUAGGACUUCUAGUGUCGCGCCGUUGGGCUUCUCAAACCUCCCAAGUUCUGAAGCUUCUCAAUAUAAGAAAAUUUCUUGUUAGUCACAAUGUUCGGGGGCUUCUUUAACUUGAUAGCAUCGACAUUUAAUGUGUCCUCCAAGUUAUUUGAAUCCUUCUUCUUUUCCUCAGUAUCUUGAUCCAACUGCCAACCCAUGAAAUCCGACAGCGUCAUCGAAGCGGGCGCUUCCAUUUUAUUCAGCUUCUCGAUUUCUUCUUUGGGAUCGAGGGUCCUCACCGUUCCUUUAACUAGCUCUGAAUCUGUUAAAGAAGGCCUUCUCUUUGACAGAUUUGGGUCCCGGGCAAGGGAAUCGGCAUAGAGAACAUCAUCGAUCCGGGACAUUACGUUGUACGCUAGGCUUUCUAGAAUCCUCGAGUAGCUCUCCAAAAUUGAGUAUCCAACAUCCUGAAGAAUUCAACAUGGUAAGAUUAAUCUAUGCCAAGAAAACUGAGGGUAAAUUGCACCAUUGUUCUUCAGCCUUUUAGCAUAGUUCCAGAUUUGUCCACAAUCUUUUUAUAGUUACAAUUGCAUCCUUAACCAUUACAUUUUGUUUAAAUCUCACUCUUUUGACAUUAAUAUCAACAUAAUUGUCAUCUAAGUGGCGCAUAAGCAACAUUUUGGAUCCUCAUUUGGCAAUUAUGCAGGUCUCUGUAUUCAACUUUAUAGAAGAAUCCAGUAAAAAGAAUAAGAUUGGAAUUGAAUGCAACGAUUAGCGAUCCAAUUGAAAUCAUUGAAAGGUUGGGGAUCAUUGGUGCCGUUUAUCCAAACCGAAAGUAAAGCAUAAUAGAUGAAGUGAAAUUCUAUCUCUUACCUUGUUGUAUUGGAUCUUGCUUAUGUCUAGAGACGAUUGAGGAAUACCAGGAAAUCGAUGCUUGAUAAUGAGUAAAAUGGUCUCGGCUCUCUCUUCGAAUUGUUCCCUUUUCUCCAUGCUGACACCCGCCCCCCAUGUGGACUUGGCGUCUUUAUGAUGCAUCUUCCUCCUCCAAAUGACAAUGGAUGCUUCAAUCCGAUUUUUGAGGUCCAGGAUUUUGUGCUCCGUCGAUAAGUCUAGAGAUGAUAGGAACUCGUCGGGAUCGAAAACAUCAACUGUUAUGCUCUUAUAGAUUGAAUCUCCGAGGCUUUCCCUCCCAUUCUAUAACAUGAAUUAAGAAGCAACACACUUCAAUAGAAGAUAUAAAAUGUGAAAGGAGCCAAAGACUAUUAAGCUACCACCACGUAGAAACAAAUCAACAAAGAGGAAUGCUUGUUUAUAUGAAAAAAAAAAAAAAAAAGACAUCGGUAUCAGAUUGUGAAAAUUUGGCCAGUACUUUAAGACUGUAUUUUAACGAAUAAUCAAAAGUUUCCAACAUCUAAUUCGCUAUUAGAAUCUUCGGCAUUAAAAUUAGCCAGGUAAGUGAAUUGUCUUACAUAGUACCAUAAGUGCUUAUUUCGCAUGAUUGCUCGAAUAACAAACAUCUAUUCAUUUUGAAAUAAAAAUCUGAAGCUUUUGCUGCGACCAAAAACUGAAAUGAGCUUAGAGGCCCAAAGCAGAAGCUCCAAUCUGAAUCUUUUGCUUCGGCAAAAGCAAGAAAUCAUUGGAGGGAUUCAAUGAACGACCUCUAAGUGUUGCUUAGAGCAGCUCUGCUCAAACAAUACAUUUGCAGAGCCUGCAGCCAAGCCAAACAGAGCCAAUAACAGAGUACAAGGAUAGAAUAUCAAGCCCCAUAAAAAGUAAAGCACAAACCAAAUUCAAUGUAUAUAGCAUUAGCAGUUCAAGUACCGUAAGCAUAUCAAUCAAGUUAAUAAAUUUUUCACGAAAUCUUAGAAAAGCUCUGCAUGAACAGUAAGUUUAAGUGUGAUCGAACCAAACCUUGGGAAGGGAUUCGAUGUAGGCUUCUGGAAUCUCCAUCUCCAUAAGAACAUUAGCAUUUAUAGCCAUAGCUGCUUUGAGAACUUGGUUCACAAGCUCCUUUUGAUACUGAAGCCAUUUUCUCGACACUUCGGAUAGGCCAUUUGGAGGGACUUUCACCGUCGGAAGCCACCACUUAUCGUCCUUCCUCUUCGCGCCACCCUUCUCAGACUCAUUCGCAUCUCUCGACACGUACGUAAACUCUUGGUGGUCUUUAAAAUUGUCGAGGUAUUCCUACCCGACAGAGAGAAGAAGAACAUAUUAGCACAUUAGUUUUCGGGGGACUAGAAGUUCUGAAUCUUUCUUACUAUUAGCAUUGCGUCGAGCUUGCGCAAGGCAGGGAUGUUCAUGAGAAGAUCUCGUCGUUGCUGAGUUACCAUAAUCUGCAGAAGUGAAAGAUGAUGAUAGCUGAGGUGAGUGUCCAGAAAUAAGUUUAUUGAAUUGCAUAGAAUUAUAAUCAGAUUGCUAGUGUGACCUCCAUGUUAGUUCCAUCCUUUGAUACUUGUUGGGACGGAACAAACUCUACGAUAUGGUCGGUGACCGAUAAAAGCAAGUCUAUCUCUCUCCUCCACCUUGCUUUCCUCUCAACUGCCAUCGGUUCUAAUCGCCAGCGCUCCCCGAAGACAGAAGCUGAAACAAUUACAGAAGAAGAAAAAGAAAAGAAAAAAGAAAACGAGGAACCAUAAAACAUUAGUCAAAUUAUUGUAGAAUAUAUGAUCAUCAUGUGAAAUGAAUCAAAAUCAAAGAAAUUCUGUAUGAAGGUUAUGGAUUUGAAAAACUAGUUAUGUAGAAAUGCGAUACACUGGAUAGUGUGAAAAUGUCGUGAGUCUAUUAUUAUUAGAAAGAUAUGAAAGGCAGGGCGCGAGAAAGAGUGUCAGAGAAAUACAAUAACAAGUUAAUAAGGACAUUUUCCUCUGUCGGACGGAUUCUGUAAGGACGCUUUCCUCGGCGUGAAUGAUUUGCAUUUAUUUUUGUCAGGGUUGUCAGGCACUUCCAUAGCUCAGGCCAAUCAUCGCUUCUUAAAUCAUUUCAUUCUUGAACAUAAAUAUAAGGUAAAUCAUGUUUCCUCAGAAACAAUAUUUUAGAUUUGACAACUAAUGAUGGCACAACAUUAUUAAGAUGUGUAUGCUUCUGCAAUAAUAUAGGACACAGUUAUUGCAAGUUAAUAUAAUCAUCAUGUACUAAUUAUCCCAAAUGUGAAAUAGGUUAAUAUGCCUGCAAGAUUGGUGAUGGCAUUGGAGAGAGCCAAAGCUGAAGACACUCCUUUGCCCGAGCCCGACAUGUCUUCGCCGAGAAGCAGCUUCGCGAACCUCUCCUUCAUCAACUCCAUAUCUAAGAAAGGAAAAAAAAAUAAAGCCUUUUUAACUAAAAUUUUUUCGGUUAACUUGGAUAGAAACACUCACAUAAUUGCCAUAUGAAAAUUGCGAAAGUCGGUUAUUGAUUUGAUGGAUGAAUAGAACCGAAUUGAUAAGACUACAACAAUCUAAAGGUUCGAGACCAAAGUGGAACUACGCGAAGCCUCAUCAUAUAUAACAAUUAAAAGGUCAUCACUAUGUCAUCGAAUUCGCCAUUCCUUACCCGAAGGUUGGCUGUUGCCGCCGCCCUCCUUGCCCAACCGCGACUUGGGCCCUCUCUCGGAGGACCGAGAGAGCGGCACGCCGACCUUCUGGGCCUCUGAAGACCUGCUCGGUCCCGUCGGUCCCUCGCUCCUCGAGCUAACCCUGUCGUCUGCGGCCUCCAACGAUCCCUGACUCUCCAGAAUCACGCUCCGAGACCUUCCCGCCAAGUGCUCGAUCACCAUUCCACAGCGAAAGAACCUCUCUAGACUGAAACCUCUCUUCAGGAACCGAACCAUCACAUGCGGCAAAUCGCCUCAGCUUAAGUCGAGAAACGCGGGGUGAGGCAUGUUGAAGCGAUUUUUGAUGUAGUGCAAGGAAAUGGAAAGGAAUGUAGUGUUGGUUGAGGAGGGGAAACCUCACCUCUCCAAUGAGGCAAGGGAGAGGGAGGGGAGGGGGAGGAGGGGGAAGUGCUUCUAAAUGAGAAAGAAACAAAACAAGGGCCCUUCUCUAUAGACCAAAAAAGCCAUGCAAAGGUGUGUGUUUAUUUUGGGAACUAAGACAAUUUUUUGGGGGUAAAUUGCACCACUAGUUCCUAGAUCAAAUUUCAUUCUAGUCCUCGAACUUUUAAUUUCAACAUUCGAAGACCCUGAACCUUUAAUAAGGUUAUAUUAAAUAGUUAUUAUCUGCACCUAGUUCAACUAAGUAUUCGUAUAUACAUCGUGAAUUUAUCUUUUCAUUUUUCGUCCUAUAUUUUCAAUUCAAAAGCCUGACUUUUUACGUACAGAAAAUAAUUACAUAAAUCAAUAAUUGAUAAGUACAUGGUACAUAAAUCUAUAGAUGCAUUAGAUAUAGGCAAUAACUUAUCCUCUAAUAGCAAAUAUAAACAAGGGCAAAAAUGAAACUCUUUAAAAAAGUUCAGGGACCACAAACUGCCGAAUUCGACAGUUUGAGGACCAAAAUGAAACUUGUUGUAUUUGUACUAUUGGGUGGUGGUAUUUGAGUGACUCUUCUCUCUCUCUCUAUUUUUUUUUUCUUUACACCUAAUUUAUUUUUUUUUUCCUAUUUUUUAUAUGGAAAAAUUCUAGGGGGGAAAUGUGGGGUGCAUGUUGAGAGAGGAGGAGAAAGAAAAGGUGAGCUUAUGGAAGGGGUGGCCUUUUUUUGGACCGUUUUCUGUUAUGAGACCAUUUGAGGUUGGUGAAAAGCCCGGGAAAUGUGGGAUGGCAAUAUUCCCCCAUUUCCACCUUCCUCCAUGUGCUUUUGCUUUAGCUUCUUGGUCAGAUCCGAUCCGCUGUCAUGUGUUAGUUUUGUCUGCUUCUUGGUCAGCCCCGAUCCGCUGUCAUGUAUUAGUUUUAUCUUUAUUCAAAGAUUAUUAUCUUUCUCUCUAUGGUUUAAAAAAUUCUUUUGAAUUUUAUGUUAAAAAAACGCCUUACACAUUCUUGGAUGAAAGUAAAAUUACCAUAUGUUACCGCGGAUCAAGGGUUUCCCAGUACGGCAUCAUUGGCUUUCGUUGUAGCUUCUUGGUCAGCUCCGAUCCGCUGUUAUCUAUUAGUUUUAUUUUUAUCCAAAUAUUAUAAUCCUUUUUUUAUUGUUUUAAAAAUUCUUUUUUUAGUAUUAAAAAACACCUAACAUAUUCUUGAAUGAAAGUAAAAUUAAUACGUUACAGCAGAUCGAGAGUUUCCCAAUACGGCAUCGUUGAUUUUGAAGCUUCUAGAUUUUUUUUUGUUUAGAUUCUAUUUGAAAUUGGUGAAAGAUUGUGGUAUGAUGAGAAAAAAAUACUAUUUAUUUUUGGUAAAAAUGUAGACAACUUACCUGAACUAUAGACCAUUUUAAUUCGAUUAUCCGACCUUCAAAAUUUUAAUUUUCGUAUCUAAUCUUUUAAUUUAUUUGAUUUAAAUAAUUUGAUGGCUUUCAGGAUGUAAAAUUUAAGCUAAUUGUUUAAUUUAACGAAUUUAUAGUAAUCCGAAUUGCAUGAUAUAUAUAAACUAAAUCUAUAAAGAUAAACAACACGUUCAGAAUUUAAAAUUAAAUGGUCAACAACUGGCUCAAAUCAAACAAAGUACAAUGUUAAGCAGUAAAAUCAAAAUUUCUAAAAAAGUCAGGUACUCAUAUUAACAUAGAAAAUAGUUGAGAUAAGUUUUAUACAUUCUUACCUUUAUUGUUAUACGAAUACCAUGUUGCGUAUAUUAUAAUGAGUCAAUUAUGAUAUAUUCUGUACACUCCCACGAAAAAACAAAGAAGCAUAUCAUUUUAAGCCUUGUCUCAUUGUUUUGCCUAAUAGCAUUAGCUGGUCCUUGAGAAAUCUAUAGAGAUUUUGUGCUAAGCAUAGUUUAAUAUUAUGUUUUUAAGGCAUUUAUUUUUAUGCUUCAAAGUGUCUAAAAGUUCUAAAAUGUUUCCAAUUAUUCCCCCUUCAAUUCUCUUGUGGCGGCUGAAAUCACAAUUUUACAGCUUUGGAGGAGAAAAGAUCAGAAACACUCGAGGAUUUCUGAGUCUUUAAAAUAUGACAUAGGGUGUUUUAAGCCAUUAUAUACUAAACUACCCAGAGUAUGCAAAUUCAAUGCAGCUUCGCAAGCAAAUAUUUUUCCAAAGGAGCUCAUUUUUAAGGGUAAAUUACACUUUUGGUCCUCAAACUAUGAAUCACGUGACAGUUUAGUCUUCAAAUUUUAAUUUAUUGUGAUUUCUGACUUGAACUUUCAGAAUUAUUACAUUCAAGUCCCACAAAAUAUUUUGAAAGUAUUGUGAUUCAUGAUAACGUAAUAUUAAUAUAUUACAUCAUUCCUAGUUAAUAAUUUAUUAAUAUUUAGCCAAUUAAAUUAGAUUGUGGAAUUUGAUGCAAUAGUUCAGAAAGUUUAAGUGAGAAAUUAUAACGAAAUAAAGGUUGAAAACCAAAGUACCAUGCGCCUCAUAGUUUGAGGACCAAAAGUGUAAUUUAUUCUUUUUUUCUUAAUAUAAUUUUUCAUUUCCUAGCAAUUUUAUAAUUAUUUUUCCCAUAAAUCUCUUCAGCAUUAAUUCAUGCAAAAGCUUUUGUCUUCGGUUUCAGAGGCUCAUUUAUGGAUCAAUAUCUUCGGCUUCUUGUUGGCCCUGGUUUAUAAUUUGGUCUUGAAAUAGGGAAAAAAAUAAUUUAAAUAAAUGAUCAUCAUUCAUGUUAAAUGAUUUGUAUGUUUCGAACUUAAAAUCUGGAAUACCAACCAUUAAGCAAUUAACCAACUGCACUAGGUACGGUUAAAAUUAUUUUGAGCUGUUAACUAUGAUCUUAGUCUUUUUGACAUGGUUAUCGACCUAAGCUAUUUAAAAUUUUUAGUUUUCAAAUUUAGUAACUUUUUCAAUAUUCUUUGUCUACUAACUAACUAACGAAGUGGUCUCAGAAUUAAUAAUUUUAUACAGAUAAUAUAAGGUGAGUUUGGGGGCUCAUAAUAUUAUGUCUAAUGUCUAUGAUCUCUUUUUUUUUUUUUUAGGGAAUAUAGGUUAUCCUCGGAUCCUGAACUCUAGAUAGCGAGUUUACAAAUGCGGAGACCACUUGAUCGUUAGAUAAAUAAUACUGAUUCGUGUAAAGUUCAAACAGUCUUAAUCGAAUUACUAGUCAUACUCGUGACUCAAAUAACCCCUUGUCGAAAAUGACGCGAAAGUAAACUAUCUUAUUUACUUUUAGAAAUAUUUUAUCUUUACUCCUAAAAAAAAAUAAGGUAAUUGUACAAGCAAUGCUACAUGUAUAUCUACCCAUUUAGGGACCAGUAUAUUCACACUAAUUUUAUUAUUUUUUGAAAUUAAACAUUAAAAAACUAAAAAGAACAAGCAAAUUUUUUGAAUAAACAUGAGAGAUGUAGAUCCACUUUUUGAUAUAUAAAUAGUAUUUUUUUUUUGGAAUAAUUACCUACGUAUCCCUCAAAACUUAUAAAAUAUCUUAUAUAUUCCUUUUUUUUUAAUUCUAAAUAUAUCCCCCUUUAUUUUUUCUUUACUCAAAAAAUUUUGCUGCCAAUAUUUGUUAAGUCAUCUCAGAUUGACUUCCGGUUAAAUUUCUACCAGAGUUGAAAAAUUAAAGUAUCUCUUUUGCCCCUGAUUUAAGGACAAAUAAGAAAGUUGGUAUUGAUAAAAAAAAUAUAUUCGAAAUGAUAAAAAGUCAAACUAGCUCUUUUGCUCCUAAUUUAACAGCAAAUAAGAAAAGUUGAUGACGAUAUCAGGACAUAUUUGAAAGUGCAAAAUAAUAAUUUAACAGUAAUAACGGCUAUUUCUAACCAUUAACUAAUAGAAUCUAGAUAUAUUUGAAAGAACUUUGAAAUGUCAAAAUAAUAUUUUUAAUAUUAGUCUUCUAAGCGAGCUAAAUAAAAAACUAAAACUUUUCAGAAGUAUACUAAGUGAUUGUCUCUUUCUUUUUUUUUUUAUUUUUAAAUUUGUGUAUUCAAUCACGGAGCAAAUUAUGUAGAAGUAAUGAGAAGGACAAUUCAAAGAAAAGGACAGUGUUUUAAUUAUGAUGUGAAUUCAUGUAACUAUCUCCAAGUCCAAUAAUUAGAUAUAUAGAGUGAGCAAUUGAAUUUCUUAUGAUUAAUAUCAUGGCCCAUGAAAUGUAAUGUAUCAAAAUUAAUAGUCAGCUAAUCAAAUCAAGCUGUUUCUUUUUCACCAUUAAUUUCAUUUCAAGGCAUGAUGAUAUGUACAAGCCACUAUAUAUAUAAUGUGCAUAUAAUAGUGUUUUCUUUCUGUAAUCAAUUUUAAUGAGAUAAAGACAUCUUUCCUUUUUUAGCAAUUUGAAAUAAAUCCUCCAAUUUUAANAUGUUUGGAGUUGCUUUUUGGAGUCAAAAAGCAUUUAAUUGGUGUUUUUGGCACCUCAUAAAAUAGAUUUUAUGGUACGCUUUAGGUUAACUAUGAACGGAGUUUGGGUGAAGUUGCUCUCGAUCUCUAUCGACUUCAAGAAAAAGUGGAUGUUUGAUAUAACUUUUGAAAGAUAAUUUUAGAUUCAAAAGUAUUUUUGACUGAAUAAAAUAUUUGACAAUCUCAUUUUUAAAGUCUGAUUCUAAUUUCAUAAUUAAUUUUUAAUUUUUAAGGUUCAAAAUCGGAAGCAGCUAAAAUCUACUUGUGAAGCAAUGCGGGAAUUUCUUGGUUUUGUGAAUUAAAUUCUUUUUUUUUUUUACAAUAUAUGACGAUAUCACCCUUGAGAUUUAAACUAAUUUAUUAUGAUCUUUCUUGCAUAGAAAAUUUGCUGGUUUUGUGAUUUUACAAAAGUGGAUCACUGUUUUUUUUUUUUUUAUAUAGAUUUAGCUCAAAAUUUUUUAAAUGAUCAAAAUACUCAUAUUCUCUCUCUCCCUGCUUUCUUUCUCCUCCGGGCUUCCUCUCGCUCCUCCUCUACUGCCUCCACGUUGUCGCCGCACUUCCCCUACCUCAUGCACAAGGGAAAAGACGGUAAGAAAAUUUGACUUUUCUGUGGCUGCGGCCGUUCUCGACGUUUUUCAGUAAGGUUGUCGCAGUAAAGAUGAGGGUGGCAUUGCUCGGCGUAUCGCCGGAGAUGGAGACGGAAAUAAUGAAGGAUGAAGGUGAUGAUCGCUGGUCGAUAAUGCUCCCAAAGUAGGUUAAUUUGGGAGUGGAUUGGUGAGCCUAGCUGACGAUGAUGAGAUGAUGGGGGCAAUAAAAGAAAAUUAAAAAUUGGAGAAUGACGCAAUAUUGCACUAUUUAUUUAAAAAAUGCACUUUUCGAGUAUAUAUUAUACUAUUUAGUAAAAAUAUUAUAUAUUUGAUACAUAUAUUAAACUAUAAAAUAUUAUAACUUUCUUACUAAAUGGCGCAACAUAUGUUUGAACAGUGUUAAAAGCAUCAUUUUUAAUUUGAUAAUUAAUUUAAACUUUUGUAGAAUAAUUUAUGGUGAUUCAACUUGUUAGUUUUUAUUGGAUUUUUGGUGAUUUAAAAUUUUGUUAGGUCUUUUGAACAGCCCAAUACUUAGUGAGCCUUGCCUAGGAGCCCAACUAAGGUUUUCAUAUGUGAGGUUUAGUCCCAUAUUGAAAACUAAAUGUGUGUUGUUGUUAUUUAUAUAUUGUUUCAUUCUCAAGUUAAUUAUUCGGAAGAGAAUAACAGUUAUACUCUCAACUAAGCACACGCACGAGCCGGGGCCGGACGGGCGGCGGCACGCACGGUCCAUGCACUCAAUUUAUUUUAUUUUAUUUUUUGGUUUUAUCUUUAUCCUAAUCCUAAUUUAUAUCUCGUGUAAUCUUAUGCUUAUCUUGCUCUACACGGAAUUGACACUGUUGAUACCAAAAUUGAGCCGACCUAAUCCACGUAUGAGCCAAUAAGGACACGUGGUACACCAGGAGUUGGCAAUAAGGCGCCUGAAGGACAAAAAGGUGGGAACGGUUGAAGAUUGGGGCGUAACUUCCAUGAGGAAUUAGCGUAACUUCCAUGAGGAGUUAGUAUAACUUCCACGAUCAUGGUUACAACCACUCUCCCCAACUACUUUCAACCAACUAAUAAUAUGGGCUAUAAAUAGUAACUUUGAAGCCUGCAAUAGGGGUCUUUGCCCCUGCGCACAGAAAACAACUGUUAUUUUCCUGCAUCUUUCUUUCUCGCAUUUACUGCUUUCCCUAGGAGUAGUUCUUGUAACUUAGAUCUUUGGAGUCUGUCUGCCCCAUGGGCAUCACUCCCUUAUAGAAUAUACUUAGAGUCUGUCUGCCCCAUGGGCAUCACUCCCUUGUAGUUGGAGUUUGUCUGCCCCACGGGCAUCACUCCUCUGUUCUUGUACUCCUCCAUUCCCUAUUCAGUAGAAAGUCACGUUCGGCUAUUCGGGCCGACCAGAUUUUGUGUUGUGCUAGCCAUUCGGCUCAUCUCCCGGCUUAAAUUCCGACUUUUCCCGCACAUUCGGCUCAUCCAGCCGAACCGGAGAGUGAAAAGAGCUUUCGAACCCGGCUGAUUUGAUCCCUCAUCAGCCAAUUCGCUUGAUCUAGUCGAAGGGCGCAAACUUCGAGGGUCACUAUCCGCAGUCGUUCCUCACCCCGACACGCUCCACGAGGAGGAUCUUUGACCAGGUCAAAGGUCGAAAAAUUCGGCUACCAACAAAUUUUGGCACGCCCGGUGGGACACAUUUUUAGAUAAAUUUAUAUUUUAUAUAAAUUAUGGUUGAUGAUCUACGUAAUAGGGUUGUUCCUAGAAAUUCUGGGAGUGAUCAACCUAGUAAUUUAGACAAUGCUGGCGAAUGUCAAGCAGUUUUGCCAGUUGAAGGAGAAAUUAGUGGACAGUCGGCUCAUCAAGAGCCGAGUCUAACUCAGGCACUCGGCUAGAUGAGGCGAGUCCUGCAAACUUUAGAUCAAAAUAUCCAUCAAAGUACCGCUCGACUAGACGCGGUGCUGGCCGCUAUCAUGGCCUAUAAUGAAAAUAUUGGUCAAAUCAGACAAUUAUUUAUCCAAAACAAGCAACCUUAUGGGGGGCAACAAGAGCCCCUAAAUGUGCCGGUGCAACAAAAUCCCGUCACACCAGCGGUUUUACAGGCGCAACCGCAAAUGGCACCUUUCCAGGUUGCUUACAGGCCGGCGAAUAUAAACGCCGGCCCUCAGUCGGAGAUUGCAUCGGGUUUACCUCCUUUACCAGCUUAUCAGCCCCAAAAUGUAGGGAUUAGGGCUGAGAGGCAGGCCCUUAAUGAUAUGCAAGGAGCGAACCCUGCAAUACAGAAUUCUAGAGUUCCUCAAGAGCAAAAUUCGGCUCAAGCACAAGCUCCGUUGUAUACUCAGAUUGAGGAAGUCAUUCGGAAUACCUUCGGAGUAGGGGCCAGGCCGGCUAUGCGGCCUGUUUUUCGAUCCCCAUAUCCGGCAAACAUAGAUACAGAACAUCCGUAUCAGACAAACUGGAAAAUGCCGAAGUUCGACAAGUUCUGGGGCGAUGAGACCGAGAAUACGAUCGAGCAUAUAGCCUGGUUCACGGCCCAAUGUAGAGAAGCGGUCGCUGACUCAUUUUUAAAACUUUGAUUAUUUAACACGUCGUUAACUAAAACGGCGUUUACUUGGUAUACAAGUUUAUCAGCCAAUUCCGUCCAAAAUUCGGACGAAUUGGAAAGAAAAUUUCAUGAGCGAUUCUAUAGAUCGGAGCCACAAUUAUCGGUCGCCGACUUGACUUUAUACUGACAAAUGUCAGGUGAAACGGUCGAAGAGUAUUUGGACCGUUUCAAAAUAGCCAAAACCCGGUGCUUUAUGAGAAUGCCGGAAUCAGAGUUCGCCAAAAUGGCGUUAAAUGGUCUACAUUUUAAGAUAAAAGACCAUUUUGAAGAUAAGUAUUUUUCUAACCUAUUUGAUCUAGGUGUUCGAGUUGCCCAAUACGAGCAAUUUCAGAAAAAAAGUGAGGACGAUCGGCUGCAAUGGAGCCGAUAUAAAAAUCAAAGCAAAUGUAAGGAGAAAUCCUUGCUAGAAGAACAGUCGGCUCAAGAAGAGCCGAGCCAAUCGAGUGAAAGUGAAGAAUCGGCUGAUGAAGCCGAGAUAUAGCUACUUUCUUUAAGAAGAAUAUUUUGAUAGAAAAAUAUUUGGUUCAAGAAGAGCCGAACUAAUCGAAUAAAAGUAAAGAAUCGGCUGAUGAAGACGAGAUAUAUAUGGCUGGGAUAAUAAAGCGCCGUUUUUCUAAAGCCGACCAAGACAAGCGAAACUAAAGCUUGGGUCUCGGCUAUACUUUUGAACAGUCGAUUUGGCACUAAUAGUCAUUCGAAUGUUCAUUCGAAAGACUAUUGGGGGGGCAUUAUUGAUACCAAAAUUGAGCCGACCUAACCCACGUAUGAGCCAAUAAGGACACGUGGUACACCAGGAGUCGGCAAUAAGGCGCCUGAAGGACAAGAAGGCGGGAACGGUUGAAGAUUGGGGCGUAACUUCCAUGAGGAGUUAGCGUAACUUCCAUGAGGAGUUAGUAUAACUUCCACGAUCAUGGUUACAACCACUCUCCCCAACUACUUUCAACCAACUAAUAAUAUGGGCUAUAAAUAGUAACUUUGAAGCUUGCAAUAGGGGUUUUUGCCCCUGCGCACAGAAGACCACCAUUAUUUUUCUGCAUCUUUCUUUCUCGCAUUUACUGCUUUCUCUAGGAGUAGUUCUUAUAACUUAGAUCUUUGGAGUAUGUCUGCCUCAUGGGCAUCACUCCCUUAUAGAAUAUACUUGGAGUCUGUCUGCCCCAUGGGCAUCACUCCCUUGUAGUUGGAGUUUGUCUGCCCCACGGGCAUCACUCCCCUGUUCUUGUACUCUUCCAUUCCCUAUUCAAUAGAAAGUCAUGUUCAGCUAUUCCGGCCGACCAGAUUUUGUGUUGUGCUAACCAUUCGGCUCAUCUCCCGGCUUAAUUUUCGACUUUUCCCGCACAUUCGGCUCAUCCAGCCGAACCGGAGAGUGAAAAGAGCUUUCGGACCCGGCUGAUUUGAUCCCUCAUCAGCCGAAUCGCUUGAUCCAGUCAAAGGGCGCAAACUUCGAGAGUCACUAUCCGCAGUCGUUCCUCACCCUGGCACGCUCCACGAGGAGGAUCUUUGACCGGGUCAAAGGUCGGGAAAUUCGGCUACCAACAAAUUUUGGCACGCCCGGUGGGACACAUUUUUAGGUAAAUUUAUAUUUUAUAAAAAUUAUGGCUGAUGAUCUACGUAAUAGGGUUGUUCCUAGAAAUUCUGGGAGUGAUCAACCUAGUAAUUCAGACAAUGCUGGCGAAUGUCAAGCAGUUUUACCAGUUGAAGGAGAAACUAGUGGACAGUCGGCUCAUCAAGAGCCGAGUCUAACUCAGGCACUCGGCCAGAUGAGCCGAGUCCUGCAAACUUUAGAUCAAAAUAUUCAUCAAAGUACCGCUCGACUAGACGCGUUGCUGGCCGCUAUCACGGCCUAUAAUGAAAAUAUUGGUCGAAUCAGACAAUUAUUUAUCCGAAACGAGCAACCUUAUGGGGAGCAACAAGAGCCCCUAAAUGUGCCGGUGCAACAAAAUCCCGUCACACCGGCGGUCUUACAGGCGCAACCGCAAAUGGCACCUUUCUAGGUUGCUUACAGGCCGGCGAAUAUAAACGCCGGCCCUCAGUCGGAGAUUGCAUCGGGUUUACCUCCUUUACCAGCUUAUCAGCCCCAAAAUGUAGGGAUUAGGGCUGAGGGUAGGCCCCUAAUGAUAUGCAAGGAGCGAACCCUGCAAUACAGAAUUCUAGAGUUCCUCAAGGGCCAAAUUCGGCUCAAGCACAUGCUCCGCUGUAUACUCAGAUUUAGGAAGUCAUUCGAAAUACCUUCGGAGUAGGGGCCAGGCCGGCUAUGCGGCCUGUUUUUCGAUCCCCAUAUCCAGCAAACAUAGAUACAGAGCAUUCGUAUCCGACAAACUGGAAAAUGCCGAAGUUCGACAAGUUCUCGGGCGACGAGACCGAGAAUACGGUCGAGCAUAUAGCCCGGUUCACGGCCCAAUGUAGAGAAGCGGCCGCUGACUCAUUUUUGAAACUUCGAUUAUUUAACACGUCGUUAACUAAAACGGCAUUUACUUGGUAUACAAGUUUAUCAGCCAAUUCCGUCCAAAAUUGGGACGAAUUGGAAAGAAAAUUUCAUGAGCGAUUCUAUAGAUCGGAGCCACAAUUAUCGGUCGCCGACUUGACUUUAUACUGACAAAUGUCAGGUGAAACGGUCGAAGAGUAUUUGGACCGUUUCAAAAUAGCCAAAACCCGGUGCUUUAUGAGAAUGCCGGAAUCAGAGUUCGUCAAAAUGGCGUUAAAUGGUCUACAUUUUAAAAUAAAAGACCAUUUUGAAGAUAAGUAUUUUUCUAACCUAUUUGAUCUAGGUGUUCGAGUUGCCCACUACAAGCAAUUUUAGAAGAAAAGUGAGGACGAUCGGCUGCAAUGGAGCCGAUAUAAAAAUCAAAGCAAAGGCAAGGAGAAACCCUUGCUAGAAGAACAGUCGGUUCAAGAAGAGCCGAGCCAAUCGAGUGAAAGUGAAGAAUCGGCUGAUGAAGCCGAGAUAUAGCUACUUUCUUUAAGAAGAAUUUUUUGAUAGAAAAACAUUCAGUUCAAGAAGAGCCGAACUAAUCGAAUAAAGGUAAAGAAUCGGUUGAUAAAGUCGAGAUAUAUAUGGUUGGGAUGAUAAAGCGUCGUUUUCCUAAAGCCGACCAAGACCUGGGAAACUAAAGCUUGGGUCUCGGCUGUACUUUUGAACAGUCGAUUUGGCACCAAUAGUCAUCCGAAUGUUCAUUCGAAAGACUAUUGGGGGGGCAUUGUUGAUACCAAAAUUGAGCUGACCUAACCCACGUAUGAGCCAAUAAGGACACGUGGUACACCAGAAGUCGGCAAUAAGGCGCCUGAAGGACAAAAAGGCGGGAACGGUUGAAGAUUGGGGCGUAACUUCCAUGAGGAGUUAGCGUAACUUUCAUGAGGAGUUAGUAUAACUUCCACGAUCAUAGUUACAACCACUCUCCCCAACUACUUUCAACCAACUAAUAAUGUGGGCUAUAAAUAGUAACUUUGAAGCCUGCAAUAGGGGUCUUUGCCCCUGCGCAUAGAAGACCACCCUUAUUUUCCUGCAUCUUUCUUUCUCGCAUUUACUGCUUUCCCUAGGAGUAGUUCUUGUAACUUAGAUCUUUGGAGUCUGUCUGCCCCAUGGGCAUCACUCUCUUAUAGAAUAUACUUGGAGUCUGUCUGCCCCAUGGGCAUUACUCUUUUGUAGAAUAUAUUUAGAGUUUGUAUGCCUGAUGGGGAUCACUCCCUUAUUCUUAUACUCUUCCAUUCCCUAUUCAAUAGAAAGUCACGUUCGGCUAUUCAGGCCGACCAGAUUUUGUGUUGUGCUAGCCAUUCGGCUCAUCUCCCGGCUUAAUUUUUGACUUUUCUCGCACAUUCGGCUCAUCCAGCCGAACCGGAGAGUGAAAAAAGCAUUCGGACCCAGCUUAUUCGAUCCCUCAUCAGCCGAAUCGCUUGAUCCAAUCGAAGGGCGCAAACUUCGAGGGUCACUAUCCGCAGCCGUUCCUCACCCCGACACGCUCCACGAGGAGGAUCUUUGACCGGGUCAAAGGUCGAAAAAUUCGGCUACCAACAGACACGUUGAAUCAAGAUUCUUGUCCUGGAUAUAUAUAUGUUGGACGAGAUUGCAUAAGUUUAACCUGAACCCAGGCAUACCUAAGAAUAAAAUCCUAUCCUCUACCUCACUUUUUUCUGUUUUCUCGCCAUUGAUCUUUUGCGCCGAUUUUCUCCCAUUGAUCUUUUGCACGGAUUUUCGCCAAGCUUUCUCAUAUUUUACUGGAUCUGAAACUUGUCGGUUUUGUCUUGCGCCAUCUUGAAAGCGUGUCAACGGGGUGGAACGUAGUCGUUGUAUCGCUGAAAGUAAUUGUCGGGAAGUUUCGCACGUCGAGGGGCAAUUUCGCUUCUAGGACAGUACUCUGCACACCUCGAUUCACAGACUUUUUUUCUCGAAAGUUUUCUAAACCUAAAAUUAAACUUUUAAAUUAUUUUUAAAGAAUAUUUUAAUAAAAAAUGAAAAAAAAUUUCCAACACAACUUAAAAUAUCAAAAUAAGUUAAAUAUCAAAUAAAUACACAUUAAUUAUUUUUUAAACAAAAAAAUAUUAUUCUUUUUCACAUCACCGUCAUAUAUAUAAUAAUAAUAAUGAUAAAAUUUUAAAAAUCAUUUCUCAACUGCAUGCAACCAAACAAUUUUUUUUAUAGUUGCAGUACUUUCUACAAUAUUGAACCGAAAAGGAUGCAUGAAGUUACAACUGCUGUAUUGUCAAUUGCAUAUAUCUCUAACUGCACUGUAUUUAUAAUUACAUCAAACUAAACGGUCCCUUAGUGUCUUACAUACCCCCUUUCGCCUCUUUUACAUCCUCUUCCUCUCCUCUCAGAAUUAUAUAUCUUGUAUCCGUCCUACAAUUACAUGUCACUCCACGCUAUUUUUAAGAUUCACGCAGAAUUAAAAAAAAUGGCGAAAAAAGAUAAGCCUAAAAGAACGUGUUUAAUAGGAAGAUUACUCUUUAAUCAUGCAUGCUCUUCAUUUUUCUUAUUAUUUUAACUUUCUCUUGCAAAUAAGAACAAGAUAUAUUCACAGUGCGUGGUUAUCUCUGAAGUCUUAAUGCAAGUAAUAUUUUCAAAGGGCAAUUGCUUAUAUACCCUUGAAAAGUUCCGAACUUUUUGAUUUACUUCUCUUAGAAACUUAAUAUUGAAAAUAUUUUUUUUACGUUCCAACCUUUUCAAAUAUAUUCAUAGAGUUAAAUUCUGUUAAUGAACUAUUUGCAAUAGCUAUUAUCUGUGUAAAAUUACUAUUUUGCUCUUUCAAAUAUACACUUUCACCAUCACCGAUUUUUUUAUUUGCCCUUAAGUUAGGGGUACAAAAAUUAUUUUGAAUUUUGGUCUUUUCAAAUCUACCCUUCUACCAUCACCAACAUUUCUUAUUUAUCCUAAAGUUAAGGACAAAAGAGGUAUUUUGAUUUUUUUUAACUCUAUUAGAUAUUUAACUCAUAGUUAACCUAAGUUAACUUAACGGAUAGUAACUGCAGAGGUAUUUUGAAAUAACGAAGGAACAUAUGAAGGGUAUAUUAAAAAAAAAAAAAGGGAUAAAUGAGAUAUUUUUGAAAUUUUGAGUGCUAUAUAGGCAAUUAUUUCUAUUUUCAAUCAUAUGAGUUAUUCUUAACUUGACACGCAAAGUGCUCUUUUUUUUAUUCCCUAGUUUCAUGGAAGUAGACAAGCGUGUUAGUUUUCUAAUGCUUUGAUUUUGUAUCUAAUCAAGGGGUUUCCCCCAAGCUAAGAUAAGUGCUCUUAGAUAUGGUUUCAGUGGCUAAAAUUGGUGGGCACACAAAGUACACUGUCCAUUUCAUAUUUUUGGACCAUUCCCAUAUGGGGGGGGGGGGGGGNGAGUUUUAAAGACACAAACCAUCUUUCCAUUGGUCCAAACAACCAACUGAAACCAAUCAUGUAUGGCAAGGACCGAAAACGAGCCGAGCUCGAGCGAGCUAAUCUCAGCUUAAGUUCGACUUGAAAUUAAUUCGAGCCUAAAUUUAGGCUCAAGCUUGGUUGAAAUUGAUUUGAGCCGAGCUCAAGUGAGCCUAACUCUGAGCCGAGCGAGAUCGAGCCCUAAAAGAGCCGCUUGAAAUUGUUAACAUCAAACAAUUUAUAGCUUAUAUUUUAUAAAACAUUAUCUAGAAUUUGUAACGAAAUAUGUUUAAUAGUUCAACAUACAAAAUAAAUGUGUAUAUUUUGCUGGUUUAGUCUUACGGACCAGCAAAUUAAUAUGGCCCGAUAAUCUAAACUAGCUAAGGGCACGCGCGAUGUCGCAGGGAGAUAAUAUUUCAGUUAUUUUUCAGAAUAUUUAUUUUUUAAAUACGUAUAAUUUUACGAAUACGCUCGCACAAAUUAGAUACAAUAUUUUACACUAACUUUAUUCGAAGCACAUUGCUUUCAUACAUUUUAUAAUAUUAAAUAAAAUUAAAAUUAUAUAAAGUAUUACCUAAUUAAAAUAGUAAGAGAACACAAAAUCGCGCACUAUCAAAAAACAAAGGGUGAACAACAGCUGCCUAUUUAUAAAAAAAUAAAUCAACCAGAUGUAUAGCUAUUUCUUUACAUUGUAUUUAGAAAAUUUUAUUAUAAAAGUAGAAAUUUAGUAAUUUUUGUAUUAAGCCUUUUUUAUAUAUUAUAGAUUGCAAUUAUUAUGUUAGAUUUUAAUUUUUUCAUAUGAAUUAUUAAAAAAUAGAUUUUUUUUGUUCAUACAAGAAUUUUUAGACGUGGUGUAGAUAAAAAAAGAAAGAAAAGAAAAGGUAAUGGGAGAGAGAGGGCAGUGGAGAAAGCGGAUGGGCCCCACCAAUGCUCCAAGUCGGUGUAUAACUUUUUUUUUACACUGAAUGAAAUUUUAAUUUUUUUAUAUCGACUAUUAAAAAGUAUGAUUGGUCAAUGCAAUAAAAUUUUACACCCAAUGUAGAAAAAAAUAAAAAAAAAUCAAAUUAUAAAUUGUAUAUGAACAUAUCUUAUACACUUGGUGUACAAUUUUUUUUAUACCGUGUGAAAUUUUAAUUUUGUUAUAUCGAUUAUUAAAAAAUAGAUUGGUCCAUACGAUAAAAUUUUACACUCGGUGUAGGUAAAAAUAAAAAAGAAAAGGAAAAAAAAAAGAGGGUGCAGGGUGAGCAAGAGAGAGAGUGUGUGGGAAAGUGAAAAAAAAAAAGGUGGGCCCCACCAAAGUGAGUAGGAGGCGGCCGUACAAAUUUUGGGUUAUAUAUAUAGAGAGAGAGUUCGACUACUAUACUCUUAUGAGUAUAGAUCUUUUUGUACUCAUAAGUUAUUUUCGAUUAUCAUUAGAUUAAUAAAGUCGGAAAGAUGAAAUUUGAUUUCUAGAUAAUUUAAGUGGUGUGAUCAUAUUUAACCGUGCUGAUCGUCGAUUUGGAGGCUCCAUCAUCGAAAAUAAAUGGGUGGCAACGAAAUCUGUUUGCUACUGAUAGCAUUUCAGCUCAACUCUACAUAUAUAAAUAUAAACUAAAAUUAGCGAGAAUAUAAUAUAUAAUGUAAUUAAAGGUUCACACUCAUGUUCAAUUUUGUAUACCUAUGUUUUAUUCAACAAAUUUUAAUAUUUUAAUAAAUAUAAAUACAAUUUUAACAUAAAAUUGUAAUAAAAUAAACAAAAAAUAUAAUUGAGAACCACUUUAUCUUCUACAAUAUAUAAGAAAUACAUUGCAAUUAAAGAUUCACACUCAGUAACCACUUUCUUUUCUGCUUUUAUUUCUGUACCGCUAGAAUGGAAAAUGUAAUGGACAUCUAUGAUUUUGAGAGGAUUUGGUUAAGAGAAAGGAGAGCAACAAAGGGAGAGGAGAGCGAGGUGGUUGUGAGAGACGGUUUUGAGUAAUUUAUUUUGGAAUGGACCAAUACGAAAUUCAAAGUUGGACUAGGCCCUAAAUGAAUUGAGUCAUUCCUAUUCCAGAGUGGAAUGAGAAUCGUUAUUCGAUUCUUAUAAAAUAAAUAACAACUAUUAGAAUCACUAAAUCUCAUUACGAUUUCAUAGUCCAAAAUAAGUGAACCAAACAGGCCCUAAAAUUUCUCUAAUUUUGCUGUUUGUUUGACAGGUAGAAUUUUAUUAUUUUUUCUCACUCCUUGUAUUUUUAAUUGAUUUUGACUGGGGGGUAAACUGAAGUCAAUUACAGUAUUUUAGAGAGUUUGAGUUUCGAUUAAACAACAAAAGUAGACAUCUAUAGUAAAAAAAACCAUCCAUCUCUCUUUACUUUCGAUAAAACAAACACGCACUUAAUACCUAAGGCACAGAAAAACAUUUCUACCACAGCAAUUGUUCUCUUAGCCAAACAAUUAGGCAUGUCAAGGGGUCGAAUUUGGGGUUGGUUUUCAGAAACCCGAACCUGACUACUACCCCCAAAAACCGAACCGAAUCCGAAUUUCAAUAGAUUUUAAAAUCCAUAUACAAACCUAAAUUAGACCAAAAAUUCGAAACCCGAACCAAAAAAUUUAAACUCGAAAUAAUUAUUUCUCUUUACCAUAUUUCAAAACAUAUUACAUUAAAUCUAGAUUUUUAAAAUACAAAUUCAAAUAUAUCAUAAAAUGUUCAUAUCUACAUUUUAUAAUGUAAAAUCAAUUCGGAUUCGAAUUUGGGUGCAAGUUAAAUGCACACAAAAUUCAUAUCCGAAUUUAAAUUCGUCGAAUUUUUUAUUUUUAUAUUUAUAAUUAUAUUCAAAAUUAUAUUCGUAUAGCAUUGAAGAAAUCUGCUCAGUAAACAUCUACAUCCCUAAAAGCAAACCUCGAAGGCUAUGUAUUUGAGAUUAAAAAAAUUCAAAUUCAAAUUAAGGACAUACUUUGUUUGAGAUUAAAAAAAAAAAAUUUCAAAAAAAAAGAAAGAGCUUCCAGUAGUAUUCUUUGACGGCGACGGCAACGACGAUUCCGACGACGAUAAUCACAACGACUUCUACGACAACAAGAGAUAUGCAUGCAUACGAAUAGCGUAAGUGCGAUUUUCGUGUCGGUUUGAUCAACCUGACUAUCUUCAUGAUAGGUUUCGAACCGAUCAAAUUUGACAUCAAAUCGUCACUUCCGCCGUAUGUAUGCAUCGCUAAUCUCUAAACCGUACGGCCAUCUUCGCGAUAGGCUCUACAUGGUCGAAAUGGUUGAUCGAGUAUUGGAUAUUUUACUACGUAAACCGUGCGGCCAUCUUCGCGAUAGGCUCGACGUGGUCGAAAAGGUUCAUCGAACACCGAAAAAUUUACUACCUAAACCGUACGGCCAUCUUCGCGAUAGGCUCGACAUGGUCAAAGGGGUUGAUCGAGCGGUCAUCCUCGUGAUAGGCUUGACACGAUCAAACCCGGCUAUACCGUGCGACCAUCUUCGUGAUAGGCUUGACACGAUCGAACCCGCCGCAUAUUUGGACAAUAAAAAAAAAAACGAUUAACAUAUUUUGAUUUGCCAUCUUCGCGAUAGGCAUUGUUCGAAUCAUUCGCCAUGUUCUUGAUAGGCACGAUUCGACUUGAUCAACACGACCAUCUUCGCGAUAGGCUCGGACCGAUCAAAUAAAAAAAUAAUUAAAAAAUUGACGAACAUAUUUUAAUUUGCCAUCUUCGUGAUAGGCUUGGCCCAAGUCCGGUUUAUUUAACUGGGUCGCCAUCUUCGUGAUAGGUUUGACCCGGAUUUGAUUCAUUUAGCCGAGUUGCCGUCUUCGUGAUAGGUUUGAUCGAGGUUUGAUUCGGUCAAACCAAAUCGACUGUAUAAAUAUUUGGUUUGAACUGAAUCCAAUAUAAUUAUGAGUUCAAUUUGAACUUAAUGAAAAAGGAUGAGCUAAACUUAAGUCAAAUCGGCUUGGAUACAAGCUCUAAUUGAACCAACCCAAGUUGACGUCGGUUCAUGUAAGUGAUGGAUAAAAAAAAAAAAAUUAAAGACCAAGUUGGUGAACCAAGUCUAAAAUGGUGAACCAAAUUUAUAACGGUGAACCAAGCCUAAGUGUUAAACCACAUAUAUGGCAUCGAACCGAACUCGCAACAGUGAACCAAACCAAAAUUAAGUUGAACCGAAUCUAAGAAGGUGAAGCGAACCCAAAGCGAUGAACCAAAUCGACUCAUAAGCUGGUUCAACUCAAAUUGAACUCUGACUCAAGAGCUUUGAACCAAACCAAAUAAUGAACCGGUUUGAUCUGAACCAAACUACAAGCUGGUUCAACUCAAACUGAACCACAUGAGGAUCAAGUAGACCGAACCACGAGUCAGUUCAAAUCGAACUGAGCCACAAAGGUGUUCCAAGUCAAGUCGAACCAAAGCACAUACCGGUUCAGCUCAAACGAAAGCACAAGAGGUUCGAGCCAAGCCAAGUCGAACCAAUUAUAAGCCGGCUCAACCUAAACCGAAUAAUAAAGGAUUUGACUUGAACCGAAGCGGAUCCAACCCGAACUGAAUCGAACCGGAUUCCGUCUGAACCAAAUUAUAAGGAAUUUGACUUGAACCGAAGUGAAUCCGAUCAGAACUGAACCAAAGCGGAUUCGAUCCGAUCUGAACCGAACCGGAUCCAAUCUGAACCAAAUCAUAAGGGAUUCGACACGAACCGAAGUGGAUCCGAUCCGAACUGAACCGAAUCGAAUCGGAUCCCGUCUGAACCAAAUCAUAAGGGAUUCGACUCGAACCGAAGUGGAUCCGAUCCAAACUGAACCGAACCGGAUCUCGUCCGAACCAAAUCAUAAAGGAUUUGACUUAAAUCGAAAUGAAUUCGAAUCGAAUCGAACCGUAAAUGAUUCAACUUGAACCGAAACGGGUCCGAUCCGAACCAUACCAUAAAGGAUUUGACUUGAACCGAAGUGGAUUCAGUCCGAACCGAACCAUAGAAGAUUCAACUCGAACCGAAGUGGAUCCGAUCUGAACCAAACCAUAAAGGAUUUGACUUGAACCGAAGUGGAUCCGAUCUGAACUGAACCGCAAAGGAUUCAACUUGAACCAAAGUGGAUCUGAUCUGAAUCGAACUGCAAAGGAUUUGACUUGAACCGAAAUGGAUCUGAUUCGAACCGAACCAUAGAAGAUUCAACUCGAACUGAAGCAGAUCCGAUCUGAACCAAACUACAAAAGACUUCAACUUGAAAUUGAAAUGGAUCCGACCCGAAGUGAACCGCAAAAGGGUUCCAAGUCAAGUCGAACUAAAGCAUAUGCCGGGUUCAACUCAAACAGAAGCACAGGAGGUUUGAGCCGAGCAAAGUCGAACCAAGUACAAGCCGAUUCAGCCUAAAUCGAGCCAUAAAUGAUUCGACUUGAACCGAAGUGGAUCCAAUGCGAACCAAAACAUAAAGGAUUCGAUUCGAACCAAAGUUGAUCGAGUGAACCCAACUAAAAAGGAUUCAAUUUGAACCAAAGUGGAUCUAAUUCGAACCGAACUAUGAAGGAUUCGAUUCGAACCGAACUACAAAGGAUUCGAUUCGAACCAAAGCCGAUCCGAUAUGAACCGAAUCAUAAAGGAUUCAACUCGAACCGAAGUGAAUCCAAUUUGAACCAAACUACAUGAAGAUCGAGCUAAACCAAACCAAACCACAAGCCGGGUUCGACUCAAACAGAAGUACGGGAGAUCCAAGCCGAGCCGAUUUGCCGAACUACUUCAACUUGAAUUGAGGUGGGUGCAACCCAAACAAAAUUAUAGAAGGUCCAAAUCGAGCCAAACCGAACUACAAGCUGGUCCAACUCGAAUGGAGCCACAAGAGGAUCGAGCCAAGCCAAGCCAACCCGAACCAAUUACGAGCCGGUUCAUCCCAAACUGAACCAUAAAAGGAUUCAACCUGAACCAAAGUGGUUUCAAUCCGAACAGAAGCACAGGAGGCUCGAGGCAAGUUGAACCAAACUACAAGUCUGUUUUACUUGAAUCAAAUCAUAAAGAAUUCAACUUGAACCGAAGUGGUUUCAAUCUGAACAGAAGCAUACGAGGUUCGAGCCACGUUAAACUGAACUACAAGUCGGUUCAAGUUAAAUCAAAACGGGACGGAGCUAUAUGUCGGUUCAACACAAACUACACAACUUGAACUAAACUAUGAACCGGUUCGAUCCCAAAUCAAAAUUAAAGGGCGAGCUCAACUCAAACUGAACCACAUGAGGAUCGCAGCAAGCCGAAUCAAGCAUAAACAGGUUCAACCCAAAACUAACUUGGAAAGAGCAAUAAGUGAUUUGGCCCAAACCAAAUGCAAAAAGGUUCUAAGCCAAGGCGAACCACAAUAGCUCAACCCAAAUCAAACACAAAAGGUUCAAGCCAACCCAAAACCAAAGUCGACAAAUAAAUCUCAAAACCCAAAGUCCACAAAUAAAACUCCAAAAUCCAAAGUUCACAAAUAAAAUUCCAAAACCCAAAAUCCACAAAUAAAACUCAAAACCCAAAGUCCACAAAUAAAACCAACGACCGUAAAGUCGCUAAACUACACCAAAUUCAAACGACUAUAAAGUUGUUAAACUAAACCCAAAAUCAAACGACCGCAAAGUCGUUAAACUAAACAACCCAAAUUCAAACGACCGUAAAGUCGCUAAACUACACCAAAUUCAAAUGACCGUAAAGUUGUUAAACUACACUCAAAUUCAAACGACCGUAAAGUCGUUAAACUAAACCCAAAUCCAAACGACCUCAAAGUCGAUAACUAACAAACCCAAAUUCAAACGAUCGCAAAGUCGUUAAACUAAUAAAUCCAAAUUCAAGCCGACCGCCACGUCGUUAAACUAGGUGAUUCAAAUCAAGCCGACCGCCACAUCGUUAAACUGAGCGGCUCAACUCAAGCUGACCACCAUGUAGUUAAACUGAGCACCAUAAACUCAAACCGACUGCCAUGUCAUUAAAUUGAGCACCAAAAACUUAAACCGACUGCCAUGUCAUUAAACUGAGCACCAAAACUCAAACCGACCGCCAUAUCAUUAAACUGAACACCAAAACUCAAACUAACUGCUAUGUCAUUAAAUUGAACAACUCAAUUUAAAAUCGACCGCCAUGUCAUUAAACUGAGCAACUCAAUCUAAAAUCGACCGCCAUGUCGCUAAACUGAGCGCCUCAACUUCAAUCGACCGCCAUAUCGCUAAACUGAGCAUCUCAACUUCAGUCGACCGCCAAGUCGCUAAAUUGAGCAAAUCAAAUUCAGAUAUGACCGUCAAGUCGUUAAACUAAAUAAAUGACUGUUAAGUCAUUAAACUGAACAUUCGAUCGCCAUGUCAUUAAACUGAGCAUCAAAACUCAAACCGACCGCCAUGUCAUUAAACUGAGCACCAAAACUCAAACCGACUGUCGUGUUAUUAAACUGAGCACUAAAACUCAAGCCGACCGCCAUGUCAUUAAACUGAGCAACUCAAUCUAAAAUCGACAGCCAUGUCGCUAAACUGAGCACCUCAACUUCAAUCGACCGCUAAAUCGCUAAACUGAGCAAGUCAUGUUCAGAUAUGACCGUCAAGUCGUUAAACUGAACAAAUGACUAUUAAGUCAUUAAACUGAACAUAUGACCGUCAUAUCGUUAAACUGAGCAAACCAAUAUCUAACUCUUUUUGGCUGCCAUGUCGUUAAACUGAGCAAAUUUAAAUUAAACUAAACCUCAACUUAUUUCGAACGACCGUCAUGUCAUUAAACUGAGCAAUCUGAUCCCAAUCGACCAUCAAGUUUAUAAACUGAGUAUUUAAUUUUAUGAGAUUCAUGUACAGUGGGGGAAUGUCCCUGCUUAAGCCACGUACACGGCAAAUCAUAUUAAUAAAAUUUUAUUUGCCUGUUUAAUCUGUUUUAGUAUCAGCAUUUAUAUUCGGUCUCUUAAUCGAGGGUUCCUUAACACUAAAAGUAUGGAGUAAUUAACAGCAGACUCUUGAGUCUGUUGGAAGCCAUGAACCUGUAAUCCUGAUUUCAAAAAUAAAAUUUAAAUAAAUUUAAUCUGUACCGUGAAUGAUCAUUCGCCUUAGAAACACCUACGGCGGGGCUAUUUCGUUCGCAGCAGAAACUAUGUUUGGUUGGGGGUUAAGGGUGGAAUAAAUGGUUUAUUCCACCCUUAUCCCCUAAAUACAAAAAAAAAUUGGUGGGAACACUAAUUCCCAUCUUAACAAGCUAUUCUAGGAUAGCCCGUUAAAGGGUAAGAACUAGUGUUCCCACUUCAAGGUGGAACAAGCUGGGAUAACCCUGCUUGCUCCACCCGUGAAGAGAGAGAGAGAGAGAAUUUUUAAUAUAUUAUAAAAUUUAAAUUUUGUAAGUUAAAAAUUUAAAUUUAUAAUUUUUAAAAUUACAAAAUUAAAUAUUUAAAUUUUAAAGCGUUUAAUUUUAAAAUUAAAAUUUGACAUUUUAAAUUUUUUUAUAUUUAAAAUUUGAUAUUUUGUAUUUUUAAAUUAAAAUUUCAUCUUAAAUUUAAUAGUUUAAAAUUUAAAAUUUUAAUUUUUUAAAAUUAUAAAUUUGAGAUUUUAAAAUUUUAAAUUUUAAAAGUUUAUAUUUUAAAUUCUAAAAUAUUAAAAUAUAAAAAUUUUAAUUCUAAUAUAAAGAAAGGGAUAAUAUCAAUAUUUUUUAUUUAUAACUACCUACUUUAAUUCUUAUUCCAUCUUAUCCAAACAUGCUUUUUUACCUAACCAAAUGCUAUUUUUUUAUUCCUACGAAUAACCCAAUUUUCAUUCAAAUGUAAAAUUGAUUUAAUCCCCGCUUAUGCCUCAAUUUAUACAUAUUCCUGAAAUAGCCACUUUUUGCUUAUCCCUAGAAAUAAUCACUUUUUGCUUAUCCUCAAACCAAACGAUGCCGAGUAUGAGAAAGAACUGCCCAUUUUAGGGAUACUGACUAUGAGAAAGAACUGCCCAUUCCAGGGAUAGAUAUAAGUUCAGGUAGAAGUCUGUGAUAGAUUAAUUUUGUAUUUGGAUGAAAAUUGAAUUGUUAAAGGGAAUAAAAAAAAAUAGAGUUUGGAUAGAGAGAAUAAAAAAAAAUAGAGUUUGGAUAGAUAAAAUGGAAUAAGAAGAAUAGUGUGUAGUUAUAAAUAGAAAAUAAUAAUUGCCGCUUAUAUUAUAUUUAAAUUUAAUAUUUUAAAAUUUAUAUUCAAAUUUUUAAAUUUAAAUAUAUAAUUUUAAAAUUGUAAGAUUUUAAAAUUUAAAAUCUUUAAAUUCCAAAUUCAAAAAUUCAAAGUUUUAAAUUUUAAAUUUUAAAUUUUAAUAUUUAAUUUAAAAUUUUAAUUUUAAUUUUUAAAUGUCAAAUUGAAAGUUCUUAAUUUUAAAUUUUAAAUUUAAUUUAAAUUUAGAAGUUAAAAUUAUAAAUUUUUAAUUUUAAAACUUAAAUUAAAUUUAAAAUUUAAAAUUUAAAUUGAAAUUUUUAAAAAAUUAUAUAGGAGUGGGAACAGCAGCCGUUCACACCCUAUUCUCACACAAAGGAUAAGGUAGCUAUCCCAAAGGAUCGGGUAUAAUGAAUAGGGUAACCCCUUAUCCCACUCCUCCUUCUACCUAGGGAUGCAAACGGGGCGCGGAGCCCCGCCGCCGCCCGCCGCCGCCUGAGCAAAUCUCGCGCCCUGCCUCCCCGCUCCGAAUCAUGACGGGGUAAAAAAUACAUUCCAUAAUCUACCCCGCCUCGAAACCCGUCUCCCGCUGGCGCCCCAAUCCGCCCCGCCAACUAAUAUUUUUUAUAAAAUUAUAAUAUUAUUAAUAUUUUAUAAAAUAUAAAAUAAUAAUUUUUAAUAAUAUUAUAUAUAUAAUUUAACAAUAUCUAUUAUAAAAAUCAAAAAUACCAAUCACAAUUCAAAACAAAAUUCAAAAGUUUCAAAUACAAUUCAAAAGUUUCAAAUACAUUAAAAAUAAGAGUACUAACUUAUUUGUAUUUUGAACUUCUUUGUAAAUAUAUUAUUUUUUAAAAAUAUUUUUUAAAAAUAUAAAUAAUUUUCGGAGCGGAUUCGAGACGGGUCAAAAUUUUUCCCGUUUCCUGCCCCGAAUCCAUCUCGAUCGUAAAAUUUACUCCGUUUUCUACCUCGAAUUCGUUUAUUUUCUUUCAUUUACUGUCUCCGUCGGAACAGAUCGGGACGGGAGCUCCACCAAUCCGGAUCCGUUUGCAUCCCUACUUAUACCUGAACCAAACACGGGUACAGUUCUUGCCCCCUUAUUUUAUUUGUUUAUUUUUAUUGGCGCGUUGACUGACCGAAGGCUGCAGUGACGUACCGCGCGGGAUCGUCGGUCUUUCCUUCUCAACGGCUGCCGACCAGCAACUGCAUCCGCACCUGCAGCCAACUCCGCAGAUGUACCAGAAAACCCCCCAACCCAGCUGUACCAAACUACCAAUACCCUCGGUCCCACUCACCUCUCGCCACGUGUCCAACACGACGCGUGGGCCCAUUUCGUAGCCCCUCGUACCCCCCGCGCCGCUCCAACUUAUUAGUCUACGCCUCGAGGGGACGCAGCGGAGCCUCGAAUGAAGGCACGUUUCAAAAAGUUUCUCCUUUUUUACAUUGUGCCCCUCCUUAAAUAUUUAUUUUACAAGUCAUAGUAUUGAAAAUUAUAAAUAUAAUAAAUUUUGAGCUAGGUUUUUGUGCUUUUAAAAUCAAUGUGGGCUCCAUGCAAUUAUGGGGGUAUUUGGCCUAACUUUUAAAAUGUGUUUUUCUGAAAAGUGGUUUUCGACUCAAUAAAGCGCUAGGCAACCUUAUUUUUAAAAUCUAAUUCUACUUUUCAGAAUAAAAAAAUUGAUUUUGAAGACCCUAUAAUUAGAAACAGAAAAAAGCUGCUUCUUGAAAUCUGAUUCUGAUUUUGGAUUCAAACUUCAAAUUUUAUUUUAAUUUUAAAUUCAAAAAUUAAAUUUAAAUUUAAUUUUAAAUUUUAUUUAGAUUUAUUUUUUAAUUUUUAAAUUUUAACUUGUAAAUUUUAAAAUUUGAAAAAUAGAUUUCAAACUUAAAAUUUUAAUUUUAAUUUUAAAUUUCAAAUCUCAAAUUUUAGAUUUUAAAUUUCAAAUUUCAAAUUUAAGAUAAAAUUUAAAAUUUGAUAUUUUAGAUUUUAAAUUUAAAUUUAAAAAUUUUAAAAAUUUAAAUUUUAAAUUUUAAAAUUUCAUAAUUAUUUUAAUUUUUAAUUUUUAAAUUUUAAAUUUUAAAUUUCAAGUUUUAAAUUUUAAAUUUCAUAAUUAUUUUAAUUUUUAAUUUUUAAAUUUUUAAUUUUUAAAUUUUUAAAUUUUAAAUUUUUAAAUCAUUUUUAAAAUUAAAAUAUCAAUUUUUAAAUUUUUGUACAAUUUUUAAUUUUAAAAAUUCUAAUUAAUUCAAAUUUAAAUUUAGAUUUAAAUUAUUUUAAAAUAAAAUUUAAUAAAAAUAUUAAUUUAUGCAAAUAUUCAAAAAAUUUUGUCCAACAGCUUUUCAAAAUUUCUUCAAAAAAAUCAUUUUUAUCUAAACUCGAGCCAAACGUUCUACAGUUUUCAAUCAAAAUAACUUUUUUAAACCAAAAUCACUUUUUCAAAAAAUUACUUUUUCAGAAGCUAGGCCAAACUAAGUUGUUUUCGAUGUUGACGCUCCAACUUUUCUAUGCCUCCACAGGACGCAAUGAAGCCUCGAAUGAAUGAGGGCUCGUUUUAGAUUUUUUUCUUUUUUUUUACAUUUUAGUCCUCUUAAGAAUAUUUAUUUUACAAAACUGUCCUAUCACAAAUUAUAAAAAUAAUAAAUUUUGAGCUAGGCUUUUGUGCUUUUAAAAGCAAUGUGGGCUCCAUACUAUCAAAUUGAUUUUGUUGUUGGCGCUUAAUUUUUCUACGCAACGAGGGGACGUAGGGAUCCUCAAGUGAAGGCUCGCUUCAGAAUUUUCUCCUUUUUUUUUUUUUACAUUUUAGGCCUCUUAAGAAUAUUUAUUUUAUAAAUCAUCCUAUUAAAAUUAUAAUAUAAUAAAUUUUGAGCUAGGCUUUUGUUUUUUAAAAGCAAGAUGUCCACCGUGUUAUCAUGUCGUUUUCGAUGUUGGCACUCCAACUUUUCUACGCCUCAAGAGAACGCAGCGAAGCCUCGAAUAAAGGCUCGCUUCAGAAUAUUCUCUUUCUUUUUACAUUUUAGUCCUUUUACCGUGUUAUCAAGUCGUUUUCGAUGUUGGCGCUCCAACUUUUCUACGCCUCAAGAGAACGCAGCGGAGCCUCAAAUAAAGGCUCGCUUCAGAAUAUUCUCUUUCUUUUUACAUUUUAGUCCUUUUAAGAAUAUUUAUUUUAUAAACCAUCCUAUUAAAGUUAUAAAUAUAAUAAAUUUUGAGCUAGGCUAGGGUUUUGUGCUUUUAAAAGCAAGGUGUGGUCCAUGCUAUCAAGUUAUUUUUGAUGUUGAGAUCUCCAAAUUAAUGAUCGGCUUAAUUAGACUUGAUUUAGAGUAUUUAAGUAUUUUGAAAAUAAAUUUCGUAAUUUUUCAAUACCAUUUGUAUAAUAAUUGGAGGGGCCCAAAAUCAACAAUUUUAAUGAUUGUGGUAAGCCAUUUGUAAAUUUAACUAUUUAAAAGUAUUUGAAUUACAUAAAAUUUUGACAAAAAAAUUUUCAUAGUAUAUAAAACAAUAAAAAAUCUUUGAUCUAAAGUUUUAGACAUUUAGUGCCAUAUCAUUAUAUUUUGUAAGAUUUUUCUUCUAAUCCCUUUCGUUCACUAAAUCACUAGAUAAAUGAUAUCAAAAAAUCGCAAAAUUUAUUUUCUAAUUAUUUUAAAUACUUUAAAUCAAGUCUAACGGAGCCGGUCGUCGAUUUGAAAGUCCCAGCAUCGAAAACGACUUAAUAGUAUGGAGACCUCCGUACUUCUAAAAGCACACAAGCUAGACUCAUAAAUUUUUACUCUUUGGAUUUUAGGUCAACUCAAAUUUAAAGAGAACUAUAUUUUAUGAAUUUCAAUUAUUAAAUUAAGAUACUAAUUUUCUUAUUUUCUUUUAAUUUUUCACCCGGUAGUAAGGCUUACAAUCUAAUUUGUUGUUCCCGAGCAAGAGCAAGCUCGUGUUUGGCUCGUUAAUAAACAAGCCGAACAUGAGUUGAAUUUCUCAACUCGAUAUUUUAACAAGGCAGUUUGCGUUCGACGCGUUUAAUAAAUAAAUAAACACGAGUCAGUGCCCGCUAACUUGUGUUCGACUUAUUUAAUAAAUAAGCAAACAUGAGCCGGCUCCAGCAAACUCAUGUUUGGAUGGUCCCAACAUAAUUUUCUAGUAGAAUAAGAAAGAAAUAUUUUAGUGAAUACUGUGAGUGGAAAUAUAUUUAAUGUAUUUUUAAAAAAAAUACGUCACACUAUUUAACUAAACAUAAUAAAUAAAUUAUUAUGUUCUAAACAGGAUGAAUAACCAUGGUGUUUAUUUAAAGGGAUAAUUAUCUAUAUACCCGUCAUACGUUUGAAAAUAUCCGAUUUAUCCCUAUUUUUUUUUUCCUUUCUAAAAUACCCCUCAUAUGUUCCACCGUUAUUGCAAAAUAUCUCCGCUGUUAUCUCCUGAUAAGUUAACUUGUGUUAAAUGUGAGUUAAAUAUCUACCACAGUUUAAAAAAAUUAAAAUGCCAAUUUUGCCCUUAACUUAAAGAAAAAUAAGAAAUAUUGGUGACGGUAGAGGGGUAUAUUGGAAAAUACCAAAAGUCAAAAUACUUUUUGUGUCCCUGACUUUAAGGGCAAAUAAGAAAGUCAGUGAUGGUGGAAGCCUAUAUUUGAAAGGGCAAAAUAAUAAUUUUACAGAGAUAAUAGAGUUAAUUAACAAAUUUUAACUCUAUGAGUAUAUUAGAAAUAGGUUGGAACGUAGAAAAGGUAUUUUUAAUAUUAGCCUUCUAAGAGGGAUAAAUCGGAAAGUCGAAAACUUUUCAGGAGUAUAUAAGUAAUUGCUCCUAGGGGUGGCAAUCCAGCUCGCUGAUCGCGAGCCAGCUCGUGUUCGGCUCAAAAUGAGCUUGGGAUCAGCUCGCUUGUUUAGUAAACGAGCCGAACACGAGCUUGAUUUUUCAGCUCAUUUAAUAAACGAGCCGAACACGAGCUGGGGUCAGCUCGCUCGCGUUCGGCUCUAUAACAGCUCGAAUACAUAUAUUUUAUAUUNUCCACCGUUAUUGCAAAAUACCCCCGUUGUUAUCUCCUGUUAAGUUAACUUGGGUUAAAUAUGAGUUAAAUAUCUACCACAGUUAAAAAAAAUUAAAAUACUAAUUUUGCCCUUAACUUAAAGGCAAAUAAGAAAUGUUGGUGACGGUAGAAGGGUAUAUUGGAAAAUACCAAAAGUCAAAAUACUUUUUGUGUCCCUGACUUUAAGGGCAAAUAAGAAAGUCAGUAAUGGUGGAAGGCUAUAUUUGAAAGGACAAAAUAAUAAUUUUACAGAGAUAAUAGAGUUAAUUAACAGAUUUUAACUCUAUGAGUAAAUUAGAAAUAGGUUGGAACGUAAAAAUGGUAUUUUCAAUAUUAGCCUUCUAAGAGGGAUAAAUCGAAAAGUUGAAAACUUUUCAGGAGUAUAUAAGCAAUUGCUCCUAGGGGUGGCAAUCCAGCUCGCUAAUCGCGAGCCAGCUCAUGUUCGGCUCAAAAUGAGCUUGGGAUCGGCUCGCUCGUUUAGUAAACGAGCCGAACACGAGCUUGAUUUUUCAGCUCAUUUAAUAAACGAGCAGAACACGAGCUGGGGUCAACUCGCUCGUGUUCGGCUCGAUAACAGCUCGAAUACAUAUAUUUUAUAUUUAUAUAAUUUAUUUAAUUUAUAUUUUUAUAUAUAAAUAAAUAAUUAUAUAUAAUAUAUAUUUUUAUUAUUUAAAUUUUAGCAAAAUAAAAAUAUAAAUGCGAGCUUAAUUCUAAAAAGACUCAUUUAUAUGUAAAGUUUCAACUAGUAGAUAAAGUCUAAUGGAUAAGAUUUUAUAAAUUUAUUUUUUAGGGGCAAUUUCAUGGAUACCCUUCUCAAAGUCUAAAAUAUCAUAGAUGCCCCUCUAAAAUUUAAAAUAUCGCCUAUACCCCUGUAAAUACAGAAUAUUAUCAUCAAUACCCUUACUGUUAGUUAAGUUAGUUUUACCAUAGUUAUUAAAGGGUUAAAGAUGGGUUAACUUUUAAAAUGACUCAUUUACCCUCAAGGUUCUUUUAAGAAAAAAUGUAUGGAGAUCCCCUCAACUUAUGCCAUUUUGAAACUGCUCCCUCAACUUUAUUUUUUUAGUUGAUAUCCAUUUUAGUGUAUGAAAAAAAUGAGAAUUUUUUAGUUUUUUUUUUGAUAAUUUCACCAAAUCUAGUCGCUCUAUUUAUAUUUUAUCGAAUAAAUAAUUAUAUAUAAAAAUUUAAAUGAAAAUAAUGUUAAAAAAUUAUCUGAUCUUUCUUUAAUUUUGAAAGUUAAAAUUUUUUUUAAUCAAAAUUAUUCUCGAUAAUUUUAUCUGCAUUAAAUGCAUUAAAAAACUGAAACAUAAUAUAUUUUAGCUUUCGAACAAAAACUCUAUUUUUGUUUCAAUCGACAGAAUAAUUCAUGCAUAUAGUUAUGUGAUUUACUUUUGCUUAAAUAGGAAAAAAAUAAAAUCUAUAAUUUAUUUCAAAAUUACUAUUACUAAUUAGGAAUAUAAAUUGAUAAAGAUACGCAAUUUUAUCUAAACUCGAUUUAAAAUGAGGUUAAGGCUUAAUCAAAUGUUUUUUUACUGAAUUAGCGAAUAAGUUGUUAUAGAUUAUCAAAAAAUAAAAUCCAUCGUAUGUAAAUUCAGUUAUGCGUUUGCUUCUAUAUUUAAACUGAACUUGAACCGAAACCCGAACUAAAAACAAAACACCAAAUUAGAUAAAAACAUACUAUAUAUAAAAUAUAAUUUUAUAUUAUUUUUUAUAUUAUUAUAUUAAUGAUUUAAUUUAUAUGAUAUAUAUUAAUACUCAAUUUAGAUUUACAAAAUUAUCUUAAAUACUAUUUAGUAUUUUUAUUAUUAAGUAUUAAUAAGAGAUAAAGGGUAAAAAAUGGUAUUUGAAAUUUAAACUCCGGUUUCAAAUAGGUCCUAACGGAUCUAAACUAAUAGAGGGCAUUUAUGAUAUUUUUACAUAUUUGGAGGGUAUGGUGAUAUUAUCAAUUUUAAAGGGUAUGAUGAAUUAAUAGUUUCUAGAAGGCAUCUAUGAAUUAUUCCUAUUUUUUAAUAUAUUAUUAAUUAAAUAUUUUUUUUAAUUUAUUGUUGUUGGCCAGACCAUGAGCCAAUAACGAGCAAACCCGAGCUAAAUUUUUUGGUCGAUACUAAUGAAGCCAACUCGUAUUCGGCUCGUUUCAAAUAAGAGCCGAACACGAGCCGACCCAGCUCGCUCGUGUUCGGCUUGUUUACACCCUAAUUGCUCCUUAUUUAAAAUAUUUUACAUAACGCUCCUGUAUGUUACUUUUGAUUAGGAUCAUUUGUAAAUAUUUUUUUUUUGAGAAGCUAAAUGCAAAAAAGAGACUACUUGUUCAACUUGGAUUGGAGAACAUAAUGCAUGGGGACCCCCUCAACUGUAAAAUAUUUCAAAAUAGCCCCUUCCACUAGUUUCUAUUGAGAUUUGACGCUCGUUCACGGUCCAUUUGGACAGAUCUAUAAAAAAAUAUUCUAUUUAUUUUUUAAAUAAUAUUAUAUUAUGCAUAUUGUAGCAUAUUUAUUAAGAUAUAAUUUUUAUAGUUUUACUUAAAAACAAAAAAUUAUAAUUUUAUAUGUUUACAUUUCAUUUUUUUUGUUUUUUUUUUUGAGCAAGUAUACUUAGUUAAGUCUAAAAUUAUAUUAAAUUUAGGUAAAUAUGUAUAAAUAAUCCUCGCAAAAUGCAAUUUCUUUUGAAAUAGGCUCCAAAACUUUUUUUUUUUUUAGUGGGAUUGGCAUCCACUUCAACUUUUUAAUUUCUGCAAUUGAGAUCAAAGUCAUUAGUAAUUUUAUUAAAUUUAAUAAUUUUCAAUUAAAUAUUUUUAAAAAUAAAAAUUUAUCAAUUAACUAGAGAAAAAAACUUAAAGUAUGAAAAUAAAAUUUAAGAAAGCAUUGAUCAAAAAAUCAAUUUUUUAAAUAAUUAAAAUAUACUAACUUAUAUAGUUCCACCAAAUAAUUAAAAAAUAUAUUUUCAUAUGUCUACAUCCUAAUUGUUUUUUUAUUUUAUUUUUUACUUUGUACUGUUCGGCGGUUCUUUGUAUGGAACGAUCUUCAAAUUUUUAUUUUAAAUUUUUUGUUUUGGAGCGAGUAUAUUUAAUUAAGUUAAGCUUAAAAUUAUAUUAUUAAAUAUAGGUAAAUAUAUUAUAAAGACCCCUCACCUAAACCCAAUUCUGAAAAGGUCUCCUCAACUUUAAUUUCCUUUUUUCUGGGAAUCGGGACCAAAAUCUUAAAUUUAAUAAUUUAAUUAACAACUAACGACUAUAUAUUAGCUAUUAAAUGAAAAAAUUAUUAAUUAACUAGGAAAAAAAAGUCUUUUUAUUUACUUUUUUCAUUUUUUUAUUUAUUUAACUAAAAUCCAUUUUUAAGUCUAAAGAAGUAAGAAAUGAGGAGGUCUGAUUGCUAAAAUGUUGGAAUUGAAAGGGGCUCCUUGCAAAAUGGCAAAGAAAGAAAGAGAGGGGCUUCUCACCGCUUUUUCCAAUCAUUUCAUUGCUCUUUCGUGUGAAAACAACAACAAACAUAUUAUAUAGUAACACGGAGAGAGAGCGUUACGAAAACGUUCCAUACCUUUCCGUUUGUCGCUCCCGUUUCCGUUUUCCGUUUCCGUUACCGGAGCUCGCGGAGGCGACGAGGAGGAGGAGGAGGAGGAGGAGGAGGAGGAGGAGUUCUAUGUGGGAAUCCUUCGUCUUCCUCCCGAAACCCUAAUCGUAAUUGCGUGAUCUCGAUAUGGAUCCGCGGGCGAAGGAGGCGGCGCCGCCCCCGUCCAUGGCGGAGGCGGGGGUGAUGCAGGGGGACUCGAAGCCCGGCGGCGGCAACGGGAAGAGCCGAGUGCUGCUGGGGAAGUACGAGGUGGGGAAGCUCCUGGGGCACGGGACGUUCGCGAAGGUGUACCACGCGCGGCACGCGGAGACGGGGGAGAGCGUGGCGAUCAAGGUGCUCGACAAGGAGCGGGUGAUGAAGGGGGGGAUGGUGGCGCACAUCAAGCGCGAGAUCGCGAUCCUGCGGCGGGUGCGGCACCCGAACGUGGUGCGGCUCUUCGAGGUGAUGGCGACGAAGACGAAGAUCUACUUCGUGAUGGAGUACGUGCGCGGCGGCGAGCUCUUCGCGAAGGUGGCGAAGGGGCGGCUGCGGGAGGACACGGCGCGGCGCUACUUCCAGCAGCUGGUGGGCGCCGUGGGGUUCUGCCACGCGCGCGGCGUCUUCCACCGCGACCUCAAGCCGGAGAACCUGCUCGUCGACGAGCACGGCGACCUCAAGGUCUCCGACUUCGGCCUCAGCGCCGUCUCCGACCAGCUCCGCCACGACGGCCUCCUCCACACCUUCUGCGGCACCCCGGCCUACGUCGCGCCCGAGGUGCUCGCCCGCCGCGGCUACGACGGCGCCAAGGCCGACCUCUGGUCCUGCGGCGUCAUCCUCUUCGUCCUCAUGGCCGGCUACCUCCCCUUCCACGACCAGAACGUCAUGGCCAUGUACCGCAAGAUCUACCGCGGCGAGUUCCGCUGCCCCCGCUGGUUCUCCCCCGACCUCGCCCGCCUCCUCGCCCGCCUCCUCGACACCAACCCCGACACCCGCAUCACCGUCCCCCAGAUCCUCGACAACCGCUGGUUCAAGAAGGGCUUCCGCCCCGUCCGCUUCUACAUCGAGGACGACCGCUUCCUCCCCCUCGAAGCCCUCAGCGACGGCGAACCGCCCCCGCCCCCCUCCUCCGCCGACGCCGGCGCCGACGCCGACGACGAAGACGACGCCGACGCCGCCGGNCCGACCGCCCCGCCCCCUUGGGCUAGCCCGGCGGUGGCGGCGGCUCCGCCGCCGGCGCCUCCGACACCGCGAGCGGCCCGUCCCGCCGCCCCGUCCUCCGCUGCCUCCUCAGCCUAAGCAAGGGUCAACGCCUUCGACAUCAUCUCCUUCUCCCGGGGGUUCGACCUCUCGGGGCUCUUCGAGGAGAGAGGGGAGGAGGCGCGGUUCGUCUCCAGGGAGCCCGUCGAGAGCAUCAUAUCGAAAUUGGAGGAGAUCGCCAAGGUCGUGAGCUUCGCCGUGCGGAAGAAGGACUGCCGGGUGAGCCUGGAGGGGACCAGGGAGGGGGAGAAGGGCCCGCUGACGAUCGCGGUGGAGAUAUUCGAGCUCACGCCGUCGCUCGUCGUGGUGGAGGUGAAGAAGAAGGCCGGGGAUGGGGACGAAUACGAGGAGUUCUGCAACAGAGAGCUGAAGCCGGGGCUGAGGAGCCUCAUGUACGAGCCGGCGUCGCCGAUUCUGAACAUUUCUUCUGAUACUGAGUAGAAAAGGUAUGAAAGAAAUUUGCAUGUGUUGUUCUAUUCCACCAAAAAAAAAAAAAAAAAAAAAAAAAAUCUAAUUCGGUUGCUUUAAUUCCUAAAAGAAAGUUUUGUAUGUGAUCUGCUUGCUGUAAUUCCGGUAGUUUCUAGCAUCUAUGUAUAUUGAGAAUUAGGGCAACGUUGUAACUCAUUUAUUAUAAAAUGAUAUUUGGAUUGCAGAGUAAUCACUCCGGAAGUGUAUCUAUUGUUGUUUGUGGAACCGAUUGGAAUGCGUGAUACACUACUCUUCUUGUUAUCGAAUGAUUAUGCAGUUUGUGGAAACAUGUAAUUACAAUGUGUUUUUGAGAACAUAAUAAUUUAAUUCUGUGGAAUGUCUGCAUUGUGUCAAAAAAUGGAGUUCGCUGCGUUAUGCUUGUUUAGGUAAAUCACAGAACACUUUCUGAAGAUGACUUUUGCUUGGACCAUUCAGGAAUCUGGAAACGACAAACGAUAUCAAAAAGAGAUUUAACAUCUCUUUUAUUUUUCCCCCUCAAUUCGGAAAGCUUGAGUUGACAGGAAUAGAGCAGCUAGCUAGUUUAUCAUUCUUACUUGCUGAAACUUUAUUUGUUUGUUAUUCUACUCUAUUAGGUCAUUUCUUGUGUGUCGAAUCUGCAUGUGCUGCAUUUGUCUAAUUGUCCUUUGCAAUGUUAGCAAUAAACAUCUACAUGGCACAUAGACCCACUUCAGAAACUUUAAGAAUCUCAACUUCGCAGUCUGAUUUUAGAGUUAUAUCUCCCUAUAAUCGACCUCCAAAUUGCUUAACUGCAUUUUUUUCCCCUUAUUUCUGUUCCCAUUCCUUUACAGGUAAUCAAGCUCUUUCAGAAUGCCCUGACAAUUGGUGCUGCAGUUGCAUCCAUUUAAAAAGCAAUGAAUUUUCAUGCUUCUCUUCAAAAAAAAAGAAAAAAGAAAAAAAAAGCGCUCAAUGAAGUUUUAGCUGAAAACGUAGAUAUGCACAUAGGAUCACUCAAUCCCUAAUUUGUGUUGAUGCAGUAACCAGUAGAUUGGAAAACUUUCUUGGUAGGAUAUCGAUGUAUAACUAACUUACUUUUUUUAUUUUCUGUCUGAAGGGUUAAAACUUGGUUUUGUUUAAAUUGUAAUGUCGACCUUAUCUUGUCGUAUGUGUGUGAUGAAUAUACAUAUUGAAAAUAAAGUAAUUUCAGAAUAAAGGAAUAUACUCAGUUGAAGGUGUUUAAAGCUUUCCUUUGACAGACGUGGACCAUGUGGUAUAAAAUGAGAAGAUGAUUGGGCAUAAACAUUUCAAAUCAAGAAUAUAGGAACUUUGGCUGUGUUGAAUGGUGAUGUCACAGGUCUCAUAUUGCCUGGAUGGCCCAAAUUAACCCACAUAGGGGCCUCAGUGGAAUGCUUACACCUCUAAGUUGACACCUGGACCUAAACUUUCUUGAAAUUCAGAUAUUUCAAAUUACGUGAUUUUAUUUACUGUACUAUUGAAGGGACUGUUGGGCCCAAUUAUUGCUUCUUUUGUCGAAGUAUUAUUUUAAGUAGAGCUGUUCAGAUAGUUUCAUGAACAUUUUGAAUAGAAAUCCCUGAUAGCUUCCUCUUUAAGCUUAGAAGUUGACACUUAGUUUGGAACUUCUACUUUAGGAAAUCCAAAGAUCUGUUUGCAGCUUUGUAGACAAUUCUGCUUUUCAAAUGAAGUUGUUCCAACUUACAAAAAGGUGCUUUACUUUUAUAGUAAUAUAACUGAGGAAUUUUAGUUACUUGAACAUGUCUUCCAGGAAAUAACAUGGUGUAACUACUUAAAUUAACUGCAGUCAAGAAUCUUUUAUGUGAUAACUAUCUGAAAUAUAUAUUAUAAUAGUGGUGGUUUCUACCUUUUGAAUCAUAUUGUAGCCAAGUUUGUUGUAAUUAUGAUUUUAUAGUUGUAGAUGCCUAGAUGGUAGUGUUGUGGAGCGACCAGACGGGACUGCAUGCUUGCCAGGGGUUUAGGCGGCGUCACAUGACAACAUGUCUCAAAACUGUGGUGAUAUGAUAAAUGAAGAUUAUUGUGGAGGGCAUGACGACAAACUACAGAAAAGCCAACUAUGCUUAUGAAGAAUCUGAUUGAUCAUUGGAGAUUAAAUACACCGAGGUUUACAAGCAUUAUAAAAAUAAUUGUUCUGAUGCAUUUUCAGUAGUUCUGCGGGCCUUUUAAAAAGUCAUGAUCAAAUUUUCCUAUGAUGAUUACUUUAACAAACAGGACAUAUUUAUAUAAUGAAGGACAUUCUUUGAAAUCAACUAUUAGAUGAAGGACAUUCUUUGAAAUCAACUAUUAGAUGGUUAGUGCUUUGACUUAAAGAAUCCUAAAUAGCUUAUCCCUUUAGCAUAUAUGUUAAGAUGAAUACACUUGAUUGAGAAUUGAGUGCAAACUUCGGAAAUCAGGCCAUUUAUGUAGAAUUUCUGGGGCUUCUUUUUGUACUUUUAAUAUAGCUUGUGACCUAGAGUGAGGUUCUUAGUUUCUAUCCUUGGCAGUGAGGGUUCAGACACAGCUUCUCAUUCAUAGAUUCCUCCGUGUCAUUUAGUAAAACUCUAUCGGUGUACUAUAGAAGGCCAAAUUCAGCAAAUGUGCGGUGAUGCUAACAUUGUCAUUGCAGAUGAUUGAGAUUUGAGAUGAUGCAUUUAAGCCCGGCUUUUUGUUUAGGAACAUUGUGGGUCAGGUUAGUGGGUAUUGACUCGAAGCAUGUGAAGAAGCAGCUUUGUUGAACAGAGGCAUAUAUUUUGCUUUGUGAUGUACAUGGCUAGUAACGAUAACCUUUUCUAUUGAAUUGUCUUGCUAUUCAUGAGCAUCAGAUUAUGCUUAUCUAACUGUCACACGAAAGAGUUUUGGAAUAAAAUUGCAUGCACCAUCUUGGAUCUUUAAAUGUUGAAAAUCUGUAGGUUUGAAGGGGUUAAAAAGAUGUGAAAUUCUGUUUUCUUCAAUUAGCUGAAUAUGACUAACAAUAAAUAGCUUUAUUUCUAUUUCUUUCUUAUGGUGUUUCAACAUUCAAACUCGGCGAUUUUGAUUCUUACAUUAGGUCCUUUAUAUAAUGAACUGUUAAACUCUUUUGUUUAGAACAACAUCUAAAUUCUACACAUUUAGAUCUUGAAGAUAAGUUGUAAGAUGCAUGGCCUUAAGCCUCAAAGUUGGGAUUGAUAUACAAGGAUUAAUGUGGAGCUUGGUAGGAUGUACUUCCAAAGAAGCAUCCUACGACAUUUAGCUGUCAUUUCUGUUUAUAAUAGUGCCAUAAUGAUGCUUAGGAAAAUAUUAAGGAGCAUUAGCUAGAAGGUCAGAUUUUUAUGCAGUAGUGCAUCAUUGAUUCAUAGCUGUAGAGAUUAUUUGCUUUAUAGUUUUCUUUCUGAAGUUAAUGAUUAUGAGGAACAUCAGAUGUGAGCUGAGAAACAUUCUUGAUUGUCUCAUCAAGACGGAGCUAUCUGUCUUUAAUGUUCUGAAGCUUGUUAGAAAGAAGGAUGUGGAUUAGAAAUGUGCUGUGCUGUGUUUAUUUGAAGUAAUUUAGUUCCUAAAAGCAUACUAGGUUGCGAAUUUCGUGAGAAGCAUUAGAAGGCAAAUUUACAAAAGUGGAUAUUUAUACAGUGAUAGGAGGAAACUCCAGCGUACUAGCAACUAGCAACUAUCUUGCUUUAGAGAACUGGCUCAAGAAUGUCGUCGACAAGCAUUAGAACAUAAAUGUUAGAACUCAUACCCCUUAACUGCUAUCAGGAAAAUUUGACUUCCUGUGCAAUUUAAAUAGGCAUCGCGGCCUAUUAUAAUCAUGAUCUUUGAGAAGAUGAGUUUAAAUUUGAAGCUUAAAGCAGACUAUUAGAAGUUUAAAGCAAAACAUAAGUUGGGUAUGGAUAAUUACAAAACUGUGGUAGUUUGAUUUCUAAGCUGAGGAGUAUGAGCUUGUUAUAUGUAAGCCAAUUGAGUGCACCAAGCUGGUAAGUUUCUGAAACUCAUUCUUCUCUUUAUCCUCAUUAAUGAUCUAGAGGUCAGCAUGCCUUUUCAUUGAACACUUGAGAAUGAUUUUUCAUAUCUGAUGCUUGAUUGAGUUGCACACAUCAUCUGAACAUGAACUCGACUUGGUUUCAUUUAGCUUGUGAAGUGUUUCUUGAAUCGUUGAUACAACUAAAACUUGGAGAAAUGUAAGAGAUGUCAUAUUAUUAUCAUCAUUAAUUCAGUAGUAAUUUUCUAUUUGUUGUUUGCUUUAUAUAGAAAUAGUAGUAAUAAAUGCUAUGUGAAGUAUCCUCUUAGGUGUUCUACGUGCCCAACAUUUAUAAUGCUUUGAAUUUGGUCCUUGUGUGCCAGCUAAUAUAAAUUGUAUGAAAUAUCUUUCCUGAGUGCUAUAAUCAUCCGUUUUUGUUAGGUACAUUGCGCAUUGCUUGAUUUAUUUUGAGUUGAAAUGGGUGGACCUUUCCUGAGCUAUGUUGCUUUUUGAAACAUGUUUCUAAACUUGAAUACUUUGGAUCUCCGUGCCUAAUCUUAUAAUAUGCUUGACUUAGUACGUCUCGAUCACAAUUUGAUAAGUGUUUCCACUUCGUUAAACGAUUAUUUCUAUAAUCUGUUAGAUUAUUUCUCUAUUUGAUGUAAUACUUUCUGCAGUUUUUGAUGAGAACUGUUAAAUUCUGCCAGAAUUUGAUGAAAUAUUUUCAGAAUUUUUCAAUAUGUAUGAUUAGAUGGUAAGUUAAAGAUUUCAGAGUUCAGGUCAACACUGUUCAGGUUGGUAUGCAUUUGUUUUGUCCUACUCACUUAUACUGGUUGAAGAUGCAUGCCAAAUUUAGCAGUCAAUAGAUCUCUCAUUUUUAUGGCUUUGUAUAACAUCUACAUUCUCCUAAUUUGAUUGAUUUUUCGAUCCUUUUUACUGAUUUCUCAGUGGUGUUGCUGCAAUUAAGUUGUAAAAUAGUUUAAUUAGACAAUUUUGAAGUGAAAGCUCUACUUUUUCUUGUACCUCUUUUGCUCUAAAAAUUUGUAAAUGCUUGUUAGAUAUUGCCGGUUGGGUCUUUCGGUAUUCGAAUCUCAGAUGUGUCCAUAUCAAUGGAAGGGGUGACUCAUUAUUUCUAUGAAUCAUUUCUUCGGACAGAAGAAGAUUCUGUAAACACUUACUCGAAAUCUCACUUAUCAGAGUCUGUUGUGGAAGAAUUUUCUGAGGAAUUAGUCAUGAUAUAUCUGAUCCAUGCAUAAUAUCAUGAAAAAUAGAUACAAAUUUUUGACAAGUGGAUAAUCCAACCAAUCUUGCUUGUACAAUGGAAAGAGCCAGCGACUUAUCUCUCCAUCGAAUCAAUUGCUUUUGAACCUUGGAAUCUCUUUUUACAAUUCCCAUUAUGGUGAAAGUACCAGACCUUUUUGUUUACCGAAUGUUUCACUGAAGAUGACUGUUGUUAAAAGUAGAAGCAAAAGUGGGUUUCACAAUAGAAAGGCCAAUUGUGUGUCACAGGAGUUCGGUGUUGCCUCGUAUGUAGGAACAUGUAAGGAUAAGAUAGAUCGAUCAUGUUCGGGAUGAGAGUUUAUGCUUUUGAACCUUGGAAUCUCAUUUUACAAUUCCCAUUGUGGUGCAAGUAACAAACCUUUUUGUUUACGGAAUGUUUCACCGGAGAUCAUUGUUGCUAAAAGUAGAAACAAAAACAGACUAUUUUCACAAUAGAAAAGCCAAUUAUGUCACGGGAGUUCAGUAUUGCCUCCUAUGUAGGAACAUGUUAUGUGGGCAUGAUCAGAACUUUUGGUCAAACGAGUCUGAAGUUAUCUUUCAUCGAAAGGUUCGCUGAUUGAUCUUCUCAAGAUCGUCGUGAUCGACAAUGCAACUGAUACAUUUUUACUCUCGCAAAACUUGGCUUAAGAGCCAAGAAUAAUUGUGACCAACACAAACAUUCCUUCAUGUUGUUUGUUGAUUUGUGGGUGAAUCUUUACAUGAAGAUUCAUUUACAUCCUAAAAUGUCUUGGUAAAAUUAAACUGCAUCCAAUGGCAUAGAACUUGAAUAGCUCGGUUGUAUCAAAUAUGUCCAAAAAUUUAAAAUAAACAAUUGAAUUAUUAUACAAAAACUUACGCAGGAACUGGUUGGUGUAGCAUUUAGACUCGAAUUGAACUUACUACUAAGUUUCAAUUUAAGAACUAGAGCUAAAACUAAACAAGCCAUAUCUAUCUCUUUUUAGCUAGUGAUACUAAUGUUACAAUUAUUUGGACAACUUAUUUAUGUUAUGUGAUUUUAUUUACUAAAUACGACCAACAUCAUCCAUUAUCUUAUUUUCUUUAAAUUUUGCAUCCAAUUUUGUAAUCAUUUUAAAAGUUUGAACUUAUUUGAGACAUAGUGAAAUGUAGGUUUAAUAUUGAUGCAAUUAUUUUAGGAUAAACUUUAAUUUGUCCUCCUGUGGAUUAGUGCAUUUUCACUUUGUUACAUUGUGGUUCAAAAAGAUGUAUUUAACUAUUUCUUUGCUUUAUUUUGUUUCACCAUAAAAUACUACAUUUAUAUAAGAUACUAAAGUGCUAUUUAUUCAAUAAUCGCAGGAUAAUAAACUAUAACAUAUUUAUCGUUCUAUAAUCUUUAUUUUACCAUUAUAUGAUUUGGCAAAAAAUAUCGCUUCACCAUUUGUUUAACAGUUGAUCUUAUCUUGAAAUAAAAAUAAAAUAAUACAGCAGUUAGUUGCAGUUCUCUGAACUACGGAAUGAUUAAAUAAAAACGAGGUAAAUCGCACAGCAUUAGAUUGAAAUUUACCUAUUAUUUUAUGAUGGAGAUGUGCCAAAGUUUUUUUUUUUUAUAAUUUAACAAAAACAAAUGUUUGAACCAAGGAUGUUUUGACUUGGGCAGAUAUUAUAAACAGUGGGUCCAGCAUAAAUAAAGGCUACAAGUUUUGAAUUGGAGAAAUUUAGAAAUUAGGGGAGGGAAGGUGACAUCACUGAGAUUAAUGUUUGUGGAAAAACUUUAAUUUAUUCACACAUCAUUAAGUGACUUUAGAGACACUACAAAUGUGGAAACUAAGCCAACUAAAAUAUAUAUUAUUUUAGUCUUAUUUAAUUGAAGUAUAUAGGGAGCUCCCUUAUAGGGUUAUAGCACAAUUGUUAAUUACAUUCACUUUUGAAAUGUGAUUUGAAUCCCGCACUAGAUACCGAGGAAAACGAAAUAUUUGUUGUUUAAAAUUUGGGUAAACUUCAUAUACCAUUCCUGUGGUUUCGCACUUUCUCACUUUAGUGCCAUGUGGUUUAAAGUGUAUCAAGUUAGUGCCCUGUAAUUUCAAUUUUAUCUUUUCGUUAGCUUUUUCUUUAAUAUUUUGUUAAAUUAUAUUAAAAAAAACUUCAGAUACUCCACCUAGGUUUAUCGAGUAUUCACUUUAGUAUCCGUUAGUUUUAAUUUUUCCUCAAGGAUAAUGCAUGGAAAAAACAGCAUGCCGUAAUAAAAUCAAUUUCUUAUUUUAUUAAUUUAUUAUUUUAUUUAAUUUUGAUUUUAUUAAUUUAUUUAAUUUGAAAUGAAAGUCAAAGUUAAAGUAGAACUUUGAGUUUAUCCUUACCGGAUCGUUACAAUUCCAAAAGAUUGUUUUGAUUUUAGGAAGGGGACAAAUAUAGGGAUGCAAACGGGGCGGAUCCGGGGGCAGGAGAGUUCCCCCACCUCCCGUUCCAUUUCUUAUCUGGGCGGGGCGGAUUCGGGGCGGGUUACUUUUCAUUUUAUUUUUGGCUCCCACUUACCGUUCCAUUCGGGGCGGAUCGGGGCGGGAGCGGAUUUUUAACGGAUCGGGGUAGAUUGAAGGAAGAAAAGAGUCUCCCGCCUCCCGCUCCAUUUACUUGGCGGAUCGGGGCGGAUUCGGGGCGGAUUAUACUUUUCUAUAUUUUUUGUUCCCACUUACCACCCCAUUCGGGACGGAUCGGGGCGGAGCUCCACCAACCCGGAUCCAUUUGCAUCCCUAGACAAAUACUUGGGUCUAGUGAAUAAAUGGAUAGAGCUCUAUGGCUCCAAUUCUGGUUACAAUUCCAAAAGUCGCAUCUUAACCAACUGUAUGGGAUUUGUAUAAUAUGUUGUUAUUUACAAAACCAAAGAUAAUAUCUUUUUAUUGCAAUUUUACACUAUAUAUAAUGCAUCUUGUGUGCUAUGUGCUAUUAGAAAUGAAGCCUUAUAAUAAAAAUGAAAAAAAAUGUUGGAGUAAGUAGUCAAGAGAAUGAAGCAAAAUUUUCUUAUUUAUAUACUUAAUUUGGGUGGUGAAGUGAAACAAACACUUCACCAAGUUGAAAGAAUAAGAAUGAUCAUAAUAAUAAUAAUAACAUAAUAACAUUGGAUUUCAUCAAAGUUACAUUAAUAAGUAUUACUACACCCAUCCUUAUAUUUAUUUUAGCAAGAAAACUGCAAGUAGUAGAAUGGUUUAAUCAGAUUAGCUGACAUCUCAUUUUUCUUGGAUUGGUUGGUCUGACCUGCUGGACCAGAUCUUCCCCACUAAUUUCACGCGUUUUCCUUUUUUUUUUCUUUUUUUUUUUUCCUAUUUUAAAGAAAUAAUUGUAUAUAUAUAUAGAGAGAGAGCAGCACUGUUGUGCUCUCAGGAGCACGGAAGCCUUCGUGCUCCUGAGCCGUUUUCAAUGAUGAAAUUUUCGAAUCGACGAUCGGCUUCGUUAGACUUGAUCUAGCGUAUUUGAAGUUUCUAGAAAAUAAUUUUUGCGAUUUUUUGAUAUCAUUUACCUAGUGAUCGAAAGUGUUCAAAAUCAAUAAUUUUUAAUGGUUGAUAUCUGUCGUUUUCAAGUUUAACGGUGUAGAAAUAUUCAAAUCAGAUAAAAUUUUGAUACAAAAUUCUUUAUACUAUUUAUAACAAUAUCAAUAUUUCUGAUAGAAAAUUUUAGUGCUAUAUUACCACUUUUAUAGGAUUUUUAUUUUCAGCCGUUAAAAAUUAUUGAUUUUGAAUCCCUUUGAUUGCUAGGUAAAUGAUAUCAAAAAAUCGCAAAAAUUAUUUUCUAGAAACUUCAAAUACGCUAGAUCAAGUCUAACGGAGCCGAUCGUCGAUUCGAAAAUUUCAUUAUCGAAAACGGCUCAGGAGCACGGAGGCCUCCGUGCUCCUGAGAGCACAGCAGUCUCUCUCUCUCUCUCUCUCUCUCUCUCUCUCUCUAUAUAUAUAUGAUAUAUAUAUAUAUAUAUAAAAACAUACUAUUACGUGGAGCAGGGCUCUGUGCUCUUAGGAGCACGGAGCCCUCCAGUGCUCCUGAGCUGUUUUCGAUGAUGGCGACUCUCAAAUCGACGAUCUGAUUCCGUUAGCACUUGAUUAGCGUAUUGAAGUUUCAAAACUAAUUUCUUGCAAUUAUUCGAUAUCAUUUACCUACAAUCGAAAGAUUCAAAAUCAAUAAUUUUUAACGCUUGAAAUAAAAAUCCUAUAAAAUGUGAUCAUAAUACUAAAAUUUUCGAUCAUAAAAUUGAUCUUGUUGUAGACAGAUAAAGAAUUUGCAUUCAAAAAUUUAUCAUAAUUUGAAUACUUCUAUCCACCGUUAAAUCUUGAAAGCAUGAACGUAAUAACAAAACACGAUUAGAAAAUACCAUCUAUAAAAAACGGAUAUUCACCCAUUAAAAAUUAUGAUUGAAUCCUUUUCGAUCACUAGAAAAUGAAUUGAAAAAUUGCCAUAAAUUAUUUUCUAGCAGACUUCAAAAUUACCCUAGAUCAUGUCUAACGAGCCGAAUCGCCGAAUUUGGAUGUCCAUCAUCGAAAACCGCUCAGGACACGAAGGGCCCGUGCUCUCUGAGAGGCACAGCAGCCCUACUCUAUAUUAAGUGAGCUACUCUGCUCUGAAGCACGAAUACUUCCAUACUUCAGGCUCGUUUUCGAUGUUGUGAUUUUCGAAUCGACGAUCGUUCCGUUAAACCUGAUCUAAAGUAUUUGAAUACCUAGAAAUAAUAUUUGCGAAUUUUUCGAUAAUUAUUUGCCUAGGAACGAAGGGGCUCAAAAUCAACCGCUGAAAAUAAAAAUCUUACAAAAGUGAUAAGAUACAUUAAAAUUUUAGAUCAAGGUAUUGAAUAUUUGUUUUAUAAGAAUAAAAAAUUUUUGUACUUCAAAUUCAAUGUGAUUUGGAUAUUUCUACACGCGUUAAACUGCAAACGCUCACCACGGCCAUUAAAAUUAUUGAUUUUGGGAGCCAUAGCUUCGUCACUAAGCCAAGAUGUAAUCGAAAAAUUAUAAAAUUUAUUUUCUAGGUACUUCAAAUACUUCUAAGAUCAAUGCUUAACGGAGGCCGGAUCGGAUGCAUUGAAGCACAACAUAGACAACGACCUAAUUUCAGAAGCUCAGUAGCUCCGUAACUUUCAGAAGCAUAUCCACCCUCCACUCUAUAUAUAUAUAUAUAUAUUAUAUAUAUAUAGAAUAGAGAGAAGAGAGAGAGAGAGAGAGAGGCUGGUAACUAUCGGUAAACGGAGGCCCCGUGCUACAAUUGUUUUUUAAAAUGAUCGCGGCUUCCAAAUCGACGAUCGGCUCAUUAAAACUUGAUGUCUACACAUAUUAAAAGUAUUGAAACUAAGUUUCAUAAAUUUUUGCGGCACCUCAUUUACCUAUCAAACGAGUAUCUAAAAUAACGGCGUGAAAAUAAAAAUCUCGAUAAAAAUCGAUAUAAAAGACCUUGAAAUUUAAGAUCAUGAGGUACUGAUCUACUCAUAAAUAGUGAAAUAUGAAUUUCUUCUAAAAGAUUUUAUAGAUUUUGGAUGUUUUUACAUCGUUAAAUUCACAAUGGCAUCCAUCCACAUCUACCAUUGAUGAGAGGUACUCAAUUUUGAGAACGAGCUGAAAAGUAAAAAUCUCAUAUAAAAAUGAUGGAUAAAAAAUUGAAUUUAAUAUCAGACGGUACUGAUCUUAAACUCUAAAUAGUGAAAAGAAUUUCCCGCUAAAAAUUAUAAUUUGGAUUCGUUUACAUGUUAAUCAGCAAAUGCAUCAUCAUCAUCUAACCAUUCAAAUUAUCAAUUUGAGACUCUUUUUAUCACUAGGGCCAAUGAUGUCGAAAAUUAUUAAAUUAGUUUCCAAGAUACUUUUCAUAGUUGUAGAUCAAGUCUAAAACGGAGCCGGACGCCGAUUUGAAAAGUCAGCAUCAUUGAAACAACUUGUAGCACGGUAGCCUCCGUGCUAACCGAUAGUAUACCAGCCUAGCUCACUAUAUAUAUAUAUAUACUAGUUAUUUUAUAAUGAUAUAUAUAAUAUAAUAUAUAUAUAAGAGUUGAGCUAAGAAUACUCUCGAUAGUAAAACGGGCUAUUUUACUACGAGUUGUUUUCAAUAGAUAGAGCUUCCAAAUUGAGAUCAGCUCCGUUGAACAAUGAAUCUAAUAACCAGUUAAAGUGUUUAGAAAUCAUUUCAAAUCUUUUCGAGCAUCAUUUGCCUAAUGAUCAAAGGGUUCAAAAUUUAUAAUUUUAAUGUGGAAGAAGAAUACGUAUUCUCGUUUAAACGGUGUAAAAAAUAUCCCAAAUCAAUUGAAUUUUUUUAGAAAAUAUUUAAACUAUUUAAACAAAGAUUCUAUACUCUUGAUCUUGUUACAAACUCCUAUCAAUCAUUUUUUAAACUAAUAUUCAUUUCCACCAUUCAUUUCUGUUCACUACCAUGGAUAAAAAAACACAUCGAAAAGUGCGUGAAAUUUGAUUUCUAGUACUUUAAAUGUAUUAAGAUCUCGAUAUUUAACGGAGCCAUCAUCAAUUGAAGCUCUAUCAUCCGAAACAACUUCGAUAGUGACAAAAAUUGCUCCCAUUUACUAUCGAGAGUAUUCUAGCUCAACUAUAUAUAUAUAGUAUAUAUGAUAAUAUAUAUAUCUAUAUAUACUUAAAGAGUCCGGCUACUAUACCUUUUAUGAGUAUGAGAACCUAUUGUACCUAAUAAGUUUUGGCCGUUAGAUCUGCCCGCCCUUCNNNNNNNNNNNNNNNNNNNNNNNNNNNNNNNNNNNNNNNNNNNNNNNNNNNNNNNNNNNNNNNNNNNNNNNNNNNNNNNNNNNNNNNNNNNNNNNNNNNNNNNNNNNNNNNNNNNNNNNNNNNNNNNNNNNNNNNNNNNNNNNNNNNNNNNNNNNNNNNNNNNNNNNNNNNNNNNNNNNNNNNNNNNNNNNNNNNNNNNNNNNNNNNNNNNNNNNNNNNNNNNNNNNNNNNNNNNNNNNNNNNNNNNNNNNNNNNNNNNNNNNNNNNNNNNNNNNNNNNNNNNNNNNNNNNNNNNNNNNNNNNNNNNNNNNNNNNNNNNNNNNNNNNNNNNNNNNNNNNNNNNNNNNNNNNNNNNNNNNNNNNNNNNNNNNNNNNNNNNNNNNNNNNNNNNNNNNNNNNNNNNNNNNNNNNNNNNNNNNNNNNNNNNNNNNNNNNNNNNNNNNNNNNNNNNNNNNNNNNNNNNNNNNNNNNNNNNNNNNNNNNNNNNNNNNNNNNNNNNNNNNNNNNNNNNNNNNNNNNNNNNNNNNNNNNNNNNNNNNNNNNNNNNNNNNNNNNNNNNNNNNNNNNNNNNNNNNNNNNNNNNNNNNNNNNNNNNNNNNNNNNNNNNNNNNNNNNNNNNNNNNNNNNNNNNNNNNNNNNNNNNNNNNNNNNNNNNNNNNNNNNNNNNNNNNNNNNNNNNNNNNNNNNNNNNNNNNNNNNNNNNNNNNNNNNNNNNNNNNNNNNNNNNNNNNNNNNNNNNNNNNNNNNNNNNNNNNNNNNNNNNNNNNNNNNNNNNNNNNNNNNNNNNNNNNNNNNNNNNNNNNNNNNNNNNNNNNNNNNNNNNNNNNNNNNNNNNNNNNNNNNNNNNNNNNNNNNNNNNNNNNNNNNNNNNNNNNNNNNNNNNNNNNNNNNNNNNNNNNNNNNNNNNNNNNNNNNNNNNNNNNNNNNNNNNNNNNNNNNNNNNNNNNNNNNNNNNNNNNNNNNNNNNNNNNNNNNNNNNNNNNNNNNNNNNNNNNNNNNNNNNNNNNNNNNNNNNNNNNNNNNNNNNNNNNNNNNNNNNNNNNNNNNNNNNNNNNNNNNNNNNNNNNNNNNNNNNNNNNNNNNNNNNNNNNNNNNNNNNNNNNNNNNNNNNNNNNNNNNNNNNNNNNNNNNNNNNNNNNNNNNNNNNNNNNNNNNNNNNNNNNNNNNNNNNNNNNNNNNNNNNNNNNNNNNNNNNNNNNNNNNNNNNNNNNNNNNNNNNNNNNNNNNNNNNNNNNNNNNNNNNNNNNNNNNNNNNNNNNNNNNNNNNNNNNNNNNNNNNNNNNNNNNNNNNNNNNNNNNNNNNNNNNNNNNNNNNNNNNNNNNNNNNNNNNNNNNNNNNNNNNNNNNNNNNNNNNNNNNNNNNNNNNNNNNNNNNNNNNNNNNNNNNNNNNNNNNNNNNNNNNNNNNNNNNNNNNNNNNNNNNNNNNNNNNNNNNNNNNNNNNNNNNNNNNNNNNNNNNNNNNNNNNNNNNNNNNNNNNNNNNNNNNNNNNNNNNNNNNNNNNNNNNNNNNNNNNNNNNNNNNNNNNNNNNNNNNNNNNNNNNNNNNNNNNNNNNNNNNNNNNNNNNNNNNNNNNNNNNNNNNNNNNNNNNNNNNNNNNNNNNNNNNNNNNNNNNNNNNNNNNNNNNNNNNNNNNNNNNNNNNNNNNNNNNNNNNNNNNNNNNNNNNNNNNNNNNNNNNNNNNNNNNNNNNNNNNNNNNNNNNNNNNNNNNNNNNNNNNNNNNNNNNNNNNNNNNNNNNNNNNNNNNNNNNNNNNNNNNNNNNNNNNNNNNNNNNNNNNNNNNNNNNNNNNNNNNNNNNNNNNNNNNNNNNNNNNNNNNNNNNNNNNNNNNNNNNNNNNNNNNNNNNNNNNNNNNNNNNNNNNNNNNNNNNNNNNNNNNNNNNNNNNNNNNNNNNNNNNNNNNNNNNNNNNNNNNNNNNNNNNNNNNNNNNNNNNNNNNNNNNNNNNNNNNNNNNNNNNNNNNNNNNNNNNNNNNNNNNNNNNNNNNNNNNNNNNNNNNNNNNNNNNNNNNNNNNNNNNNNNNNNNNNNNNNNNNNNNNNNNNNNNNNNNNNNNNNNNNNNNNNNNNNNNNNNNNNNNNNNNNNNNNNNNNNNNNNNNNNNNNNNNNNNNNNNNNNNNNNNNNNNNNNNNNNNNNNNNNNNNNNNNNNNNNNNNNNNNNNNNNNNNNNNNNNNNNNNNNNNNNNNNNNNNNNNNNNNNNNNAUAUUUAUUCGGAUUAAAUUUAUUUUUUCAACUUUUUAAUUAUAAUAUGAGUUUAAACUUAGAAAUUAAAUUUUAAAUUUUAAAUUUUAAUUUGAACUUGAAUUAAAAAUUAAAAUUUAAUCAAGUAUUUCGAAUCUAACUUAUGAAUUUAAAUUUAAAUUAAAUUUUAAUUUACAUAAAAUUUUAUUCAAAUUUUAUUUAAAACUUAAAUUAAAUUUAUGAAUUCAAAUUAAAAUUUAAAUUGUAAUUUUAAGUUUGAAUUUGAAUAAAUCGAAAUUUAGUUUUAUAUUUUGAAUUAUCUACUCAACUUCAAAGUUUAAUUUUUUUAAAGAAAUACAUUUAAAAUUUUAAUAUUAUUUCAAAAUUUUGAUGUAAAUUUUUAAUAUUUAAAUUUUAAUUUGAAUUUAAAUUAAUAUAUUAUAAAGAUAAAGUUAGCAUAUUAAUCUGAUUACGUUUUUUAUAUUUACCUGAACCAAACACCAACAAUGGGAAUGAUUUAUUCCGAUUCCGAUUUAGGUGAUGAACCAAACAGAAUUAGAUAAUAAAUCAUUCCGAUUUCGAUUCCAGCUUAUUUUGAUUCCGAUUCGGAUUUCGAUUUCGAUUCCGACUUCGAACCAAACACGCCCUUAGUGGGAAAUGAGCCCAAAAUUAUAUAUUUAACACAACUCAUCAUAUUUUUAUCCUAACUAUUUUGUCUUUAUUGUGAUAGUAGUGGCGCCAAAUAGGAAUGAUAAGGUCAAUAUCUAUUGCUUUUUUUUUUAUGACUGAAUUAAGAUUGUUGGAUCUACUUUGAUUCCUUGGAGAAUAUCUUUAAUUACUAAUUUUAUGAAAAUGAAGAUGCGAAUAAGGAUGAAGUAGCCUUUUUAAAUAAAUAUAAUACAAUAUAUUUAUAAAGUUUAAAAGUUAAUUUGCAGAAACAUAUAUAUAAUAUUUUUGAAAUUUGGAAAAGUAAAUACGCAAUAUUCUAACUUUUAAGGCCCCAUUUGGUUCAAAAUAAAGCGGAGAUAACGGAAGUUAACUUCACAGUUCUGUCAAAUACGACAAUUUUGGCUGAGAUAAAAUAUUCCAGCCAAAUUUAACUAUUGUUAUUCUAAUGUUUAAUUCCAAGAUUUAUUAAGCUUAUAAAUUGAAUUAAGGUAAAUUAUAUAGACAUAAUAUGUAACAUAUUAUAAUAAAUUAAAAGAUUAAAAUACAGAAAAUCAUAUGUAAAUAUCUCUUUUUUUCAUUUUUCCUUCCAAACUUUUAAAAAUUUGUAUUUUGUCAUCUUAAAAUUUUUGAAAUAUUUGCAGGAGGCUACGACUUUAAUGGAGAGAGCAAAAUGACCAAAUUAUCUUUUCUUAUUAUAUAAGAAAAAAUAAUUUUUUAAUAUAUUUUUGUUAUUUUUAAAAAAAUCGGUAUAAAUUAUAAAAAUGAACAGCAUAAUAAUAAAACCUGAUAGAGGAGGGAGCUAAAUACAUCAACUUAAAAUUUUGAGAGAAAAAACUAUAAAUUUUUAAAAAUUAGAAAGAAAAAAUUUAAAAAAUAUAUAUUUAUAAAAUUUUUUUUUAUAGAUUUUAGCCUAAAGAAAAAAAGAUGAAACAUCUGAAAACUCAGCAGACAGAGANUCUUUAUACUCAUAAAUUUUUAUCCGUUGGAUCUACUCUUUUGACCAUUUGCAUCCGUUAGAACAUAAUAUUCACCCAACCAUUCACUCAACCUUAGGGAAUCAUUAUUAUUCUAACCAGAAACCACCAUCAACCUAACCAUACAUCCUUUCAUUCAACGAUAAAAAACUUAUGAGUACAAAGGGGCCUAUAUUCAUAAAAAUAUAGUAGCCUUAGCCCUCACGAGUCCGGCUACUAUACUCUUGAUAUUGUAAAUUUUUUUCUCUAAAAUUACUUACAUGUUCGUAAAGACUCAAAAUUUACAAAAUUAUUUCUCAAUGAGUUCGAACUUACUGUCCAAAAAAUCAAUCUAAUAGAAAAAUGACCUAGAAAUAUAUAUUAACACCUAAUGAUAAAUAUAAAAGACACACGAAAUUGAUAGAUGAGAUAGAAGAUGAGGAUUUAAUCCAUUAUAUAAUUAGUAGGAAACGGGGCUUAAAAAUAUAUAUUAACAUCUCAACUCACGCAGGUGAUGAAUAUGAAAAGCAAGUGGAAUUGAUAGAUGACAUAGAAGAUGAAAAUUUAACUCAUUAUACAAUUAUGAAAAUUUGAACGUCAAAUGUGAGAAUUGAACCCAUAAUCUUACAAAAGUGAAAAAGUUUAGAAUUAGCUCUGAUACCAUAUUUUGAACUUACAAUCUCACAGAAUGAAGGAGUUUAGAAUUGCCUUUGAUAUCAUAUUAUGAACCGACGAUCUUACGGAAUAAAGAAGUUUAGAUUUGGCUCUGAUACCAUGUUAUCCAGAAGAUUAAUUUAGGGCGUGUUUGGUUCGCUUCUUUUUCAUCCUGGAAUCGGAAUCGGAAUAGGCGAAUCCGUUUGUGGGUGUUUGGUACGUGGGAGUCUUAUUCCGAUUCCAAUUCCCGAGUGGAAUGGGAAUCACCCAAUCACCUCUUUUUUCAAUCCGGCCUAAGUGGCCGGAUUGAAAGUUGAAUCCGGACGAAAUGAAUAUUUAUUCGGAUUAAAUUUAUUUUUUCAACUUUUUAAUUAUAAUAUGAGUUUAAACUUAGAAAUUAAAUUUUAAAUUUUAAAUUUUAAUUUGAACUUGAAUUAAAAAUUAAAAUUUAAUCAAGUAUUUCGAAUCUAACUUAUGAAUUUAAAUUUAAAUAAAUUAUUAAUAAAAUUUUAAAUCAAAUUUAUUAAAACUUAAAUUAAAUUUUGAAUUCAAAUUAAAUUUAAUCUUAUUUUAAGUUUGAUUUGAAUAAAUCGAAAUUAGUUUUAUAUUUUUGAAAUUAUCUACAACUCAAAGUUUUUAAUUUUAAGAAAUACCCCAUUAAAUUUUAAUAAUUUCAAAAUUUUGAUUGUAAAUUUUUAAUAUGUUAAAUUUUAAUUGAUUUUAAAUAAUAUAUAUUAAAUGAAAAGUAGUCGAUAUUAUAUUGAAUUACGUUUUUUAUAUUUACCUGAACAAACACGACAAUCAAUGGGUAAUGAUUAAUUCGAUUCCGAUUUAGGUGAUGAACCAAACGAAUUAAUAAUAAAUUCGAUUCGAUUCCAGCUUAUUUGAUCCGAUUCGAUUUAGAUUAUGAUUCGAUCCUUCGAACCCAAACACCCCUUAUGGAAAUGACCUCAAAUAUAUAUUUAACACAACUCAUCAUAUUUUUAUCCUAACUAUUUUGUCUUUAUUGUGAUAGUAGUGGCGCCAAAUAGGAAUGAUAAGGUCAAUAUCUAUUGCUUUUUUUUUUAUGACUGAAUUAAGAUUGUUGGAUCUACUUUGAUUCCUUGGAGAAUAUCUUUAAUUACUAAUUUUAUGAAAAUGAAGAUGCGAAUAAGGAUGAAGUAGACUUUUUAAAUAAAUAUAAUACAAUAUAUUUAUAAAGUUUAAAAGUUAAUUUGCAGAAACAUAUAUAUAAUAUUUUUGAAAUUUGGAAAAGUAAAUACGCAAUAUUCUAACUUUUAAGGCCCCAUUUGGUUCAAAAUAAAGCGGAGAUAACGGAAGUUAACUUCACAGUUCUGUCAAAUACGACAAUUUUGGCUCAGAUAAAAUAUUCCAGCCAAAUUUAACUAUUGUUAUUCUAAUGUUUAAUUCCAAGAUUUAUUAAGCUUAUAAAUUGAAUUAAGGUAAAUUAUAUAGACAUAAUAUGUAACAUAUUAUAAUAAAUUAAAAGAUUAAAAUACAGAAAACCAUAUGUAAAUAUCUCUUUUUUCAUUUUUCCUUCCAGACUUUCAAAAAUUUGUAUUUUGUCAUCUUAAAAUUUUUGAAAUAUUUGCAGGAGGCUACGACUUUAAUGGAGAGAGCAAAAUGACCAAAUUAUCUUUUCUUAUUAUAUAAGAAAAAAUAAUUUUUUAAUAUAUUUUUGUUAUUUUUAAAAAAAUCGGUAUAAAUUAUAAAAAUGAACAGCAUAAUAAUAAAACCUGAUAGAGGAGGGAGCUAAAUACAUCAACUUAAAAUUUUGAGAGAAAAAACUAUAAAUUUUUAAAAAUUAGAAAGAAAAAAUUUAAAAAAUAUAUAUUUAAAAUUUUUUUUUUAUAGAUUUUAGCCUAAAGAAAAAAAGAUGAAACAUCUGAAAACUCAGCAGACAGAGAUGGUAGCUGGGAUAGGAGGGAUGGGGGAAGCCCAGAAAACUUACAUUCCUGUCCCCAUUUGCUUCCCCAAACUACUUUUUUUUUUUUUAUAAAAAAUAUUAACAAAUAAAAAAAUGUACCAUUUCAAUUUAAAUUUGAAAUUGUUUCACCUUUUUUUUUAUUUUUUUAGAUAUUAAUUCAAUAUAAUUUAAUAUAUUGGUGGAGUGACUUUUUCUUAUUGUUAUAACUGAUUAGCUUGCGAUAUAUAUAACUAACUGAGGAAAAAUAUUUAAUUAAAAAUAGAAAUAAAAAGAAGUAUAUUUUAAGAUUUUUUUUGGGUAAACUUCAAAUUGCCCCGUGAUUUAGCUUAUUUUUAUUUUUUUCAUUUUGUGAUUGAAUCUAUUUAACCAAAAAAUGCUAUAUGAAAUAGGACGAAAAAAUAAAAAUUUUAAGCGUGGCAAAAGUAAAAUAUGUGCCGAACCCUAUGAUAGCAAAGUGUACCUUCCUUUUUAAAUCAUAGGGUGAAAAAGUGAAAAUAAGCCGCGGUAAAGUAAAAUUUUUUUAAAAUAACUGGGUGGCACAGAAAAUAUAAGCAAAACUAUGAGGAGGCAUUUGAAGUUUACUUUUUUUCAAAAUUAAUUUCUUCAAAUAUCUCAUAUUUUCUAGGGUUUACUAAUAAGAUUGGAUUCUAAAGUAAUGGAUAUAAAUAAAUAAGCAGAAGUUUUUUUUUUUCAAUUACUAAACAAACACACCUUAUAUAAGCAUUUCAAACGAUCCAUCUAUUUACUUUAACACUCUUUCGUGCAAAACUAUAUUUCAAUCCGUUCUUACAUUAAAAGCAAAAAUUUGAAGCAUAAAAUUGAAUCAAUAACUGAUAAAAAAUAUUUGGUAUGAAUGUACAAAUAUACGGAAUACGGAAAGAAGGUUAUAUUAUACGUAUUUAAGUAAGAUGUCGGUUCAAUAGCAUUCAAUCCAAAUUUCAAAGCACUGCUAGUACCGUACGAUAAUAAAGAAAAGUUGAAUCGCAUGUAUUUAAUGCAAGUCUUUUUUUUUCAUAGGAUGUAGAAAAAAAUUUAUUUAUAAGAGAAAAGAAUUAACGCCUCGUCUGCUAUUAUUAUUAAUUUUUUUUUAAAUAAAUAAAAUGAUAUAAAAAAUGAUGGCGGAUUGGUUGUCAUCCUUGUAUCAAAGAUAUUUUAACAGUUUUAUUUUUUUGCUUUUAAAUUUUUUUAAUAAAUUUUUAUUUAUUUUUUAGUCAGAAUACAUUACAAGCUAACCAAACAAUAGCAGAAAAUCAAUAAAUAAAUAAAAGUGAAUAAGGGCUAAAAUAAAAUACUUCAAAAAAUUGGAGUAAACAUUCAAUUUGCGAGUUCAAGGACCACAGUUACAAAAAUGAAACGGCUUAGGCCCUGUUUGGAUGCAUAGUUAAAAAACUCCAUGGAAUUUUUAUUCUAUGGUUUUGGUCUAAAUAAAAUACGGAAUCCUGUAACUACAAAAAAAUUCCACAGCUUCAUUUUUAAGCUGUUUGGAUACAUAUCAUACAAUUCCGCAGUAUUUAUAACAAUUAAAUUUUUAAAAUUUUAAAAUUCAAAAUUCAAAACUCAAAAUUCAAAAUUCAAAAUUCAAAAUUUAAAAAUAAAAUUUUAAAAAUUAAAAAUAAAAAUUCAAAAUAUAAAAUUAAAAUUUAAAAUUUAAAAUUUAAAAAGUAAAUUAGAUUUUAUGUUUUAAAUUUGAAAUUUGAAAUUUGGAAUUUGAAAUUUCAAAUUUGAAAUUUGAAACUUUAAAAUUUAAAACUUAAAGUAUACCAUUUAAACUUUAAAUUUUGAAAUUUAAAAACAUCUAGUAUAUAAAAUUUUAAAUUUCAAUUUAAUAAUUUAUAAUAUUUACUAUAUAGUAAAUUUAAUUUAAAUUAAGUUUUAAAUGUAAUUUUGAAGGAUUGUAAAUUCAAAUUAAAAAUAAAUUAAAAUUUGAAUGUUGAAAGUAUUGGUGAAAUGUUGAUAAUAUUUGAGUUUUGGAAUUUGAAAUUUGAAAUUUGAACUUUUGAAAUUAAAUUUGAAAUUUUGGAAAGUGAAAUUGAGUUGAAAUUUUGAUAAUUUUAGAAUUUGUGAAAUUGAAGAUUUGAAAUUUGAAUUUUGAAUUUGAAUUUUGAAUAUUGUGAAUUUGAAAUUUGAAGAUUUGAAAUUUGAAGAUUUGAAAUUUCGGUCGAAAUGAAUAUUUAAAGUUGAAGGUGAAGUUUGAAAGGUUGAAGAUUUGAAAUUAAAUGAAAUUGAAUUUGAACUUUUUGAAUUUGAAAUUGAACUUUGAAUUUAAAAUUGAAAUUUGAAAUUUGAAAUUUGAAAUUUGAAGUUUUUGAAAUUUGAAAUUUAAAAUUUAAAAUUUGAAGUUUUUGAAAUUUGAAAUUUGAAAUUUAAAAUUUGAAAUUUAAAAUCAAAAUUAAAUUUGAAUUUUAAAAUUUUAAAAUUUGAAAUCUAAAAUUUUAUGUUGAAAUUUAAAAUUUAAAAAUUGAUACAUCUUUGGGAGCCCAAAAUGGUGGAAUUUUUUUCCUUUGGUUAAAGUGGAUUGUAAGUUUACUCCAUUUUUUGGAGUAUAGUAUAACUAUACUCCAAAAAUUACGUCAUUUUUUUUUCUUCCAAACGCUUCAUAGGAUUAUUUUCCUACCAGCGUAGCAUAGUUUAACUAUGCUACGUUUUUAGAGGUAUCCAAACGGGGCCUUAGGGAGUAAAAUGCAAUUUGCUCAGAACAAGUAAAAUACUAUUUUUAUUUUUGAAAAAGAGAAAUUAAACGAAAGGAAAAACAAGGGAGAGAGAGAGAGAGCGAGCUCCUUCCCACGGAUUUUUAUUAUUAUUAUAUUAUAAGCUUAUUUAGCGUUGGGAAAUGAGUGAGUUAGAAGAGAGAGAGAGAGAGAGAGAGAGAGAGAGAGGAGGGGGGGAUUGCGAGAUCGGGGCGAUGUCCCGUCGCAUGGCGAUCCUCUCGCGGCGGAGCUCGUCGUCGUGGCCCUUCUCCUCCUUCUCCGGCGGCCUCUCCGGCGAGCCCAGGAUCUCUCCGGCGGAGGCGGAGGCGGAGGCGGUGGCGGAGGAGGCGGCGGAGGACGAGGGGCGGUGGUCGCGGAUGAUCCCGGAGCUGUUGGCGGAGAUCGUGAGGAGGGUGGAGGCGGGCGCCGAGCGGUGGCCGGCGCGCAAGGACGUGGUCUCGUGCGCCUGCGUGUGUCGUCGGUGGCGCGAGGUCGCCAAGGGCGUCGUCCGCCCCCCGGCGGAGUGCGGGAAGAUCACUUUCCCUUCCUCUCUCAAGCAGGUGAGAGAUGAAUCUCCCUCUCUCUCUCUCUCUCUCUCUCUCUCUCUCUCUCUCUCAACCAUUUCAGGGUUUUGGGUGUGGAUCUGGUCGAAACGUUGUGGAUAAUCUUGAGUAUUGUUUUUAAGAAGAGGAUAGUUUCGAUGAUGUUGCUGCUCUUCGUAAAUUUAGGUUUUUAGCGAGUCCAUUGGUGAAAAUUAGGGUAAUUUUGAUGGGGGUUUUGAUUCUUGUGAUGUUGAUUGCAUGUGAAUGUUGUUUGUUUGUCGAAACAGCCGGGGCCGAGGGAUUUCCCUAUACAAUGCUUUAUCAAGAGGAACAAGAGGAACUCGACGUUCUAUCUGUAUCUCGGCUUGACGCAGUGUAAGUUUUGAUAAUUGAUAUGUGACCUCCUUGUUAAUUUCUUGCUAGAUUUUUAGUCGUUGUGGCAAAUUAAGCUGCAGAUAAGGUAAUUUCAUUUUGAUCAGUCAAAUUUUCUUAUACGUAUUCAAUUUAGUGGGACAUGAGAAGUAUUCAUGUAGUGUUAAUUUGCAGUGAGCUGUUGUAGGGUUCUUUAUCAUCAGCUACAUUUGCGAUCUGCUUGAUUUAACUUUUUACUUCUGGUCUAGUUGAACAGCAUGUAGACCUGGAAAACUCGUACUCAAGCACAACUUACAUUAAGUUCUUUCACAUAUUUGUACUGUAUUUCGGGAUUGGCAACUUUCCCUACACUCUUUACUAUGAUAUUUCAAGAGGUUUUGCCUCAGCUAUCUUAUCCUAAAAUAGAAAAGUGCAUCACUUUAUUGCAUACAUGUUUCAAGGUUAUUGGAUAAAUGUGGGGAUGACGAGGUGGAAUGUGAUAAGGGGUUUGAUCCAACGUGUGCAACGGAGAUAUCAAAUAUUGUAUCAUGGGAAACGACAGAAAUAUGAAAUUUAUAUGUGGAAGUCCCUGUUCUGUUAAAUGGCUUGGCAAAAGUCGAUCUAUUGAUGUUUUGUCGUUUCCUAACUGGUCUGAGUUGGUCUGACUGCCCAAUCAGCCAUCCAGCUUUCCAGACCACCAUCCACGACAACAAUUGCUAUACUUUCAAUAUCUUCACUUUGGCUGUUCACUUCAUAUUCGCUUUUGCGACUUUUGAGGCGUUUAGGUACUAUAUCCUCUGGUUUCGCACAGCCUGUUUUCAAACAUGCAAAUUGACAAUCCAAUAAUAGGGUAGACCAAUUGUUUCCUUGUCUAAUGAGAAAUGAAGGAUAACACAAGUAGACAAUCUCGAGUGUUCUUUUUUGGGGUUUUGGGUGUAGGACAGCACAAAUAGACAAUCUUGAGUUUUUUUUUUUUUUUUCCUUUUCUGUUGUAAACUUUCAUAUCCUUCCCUUUUUCUUUAGCAGGUUGCUUUGAUUGAUGAUCUCCUUGAUUUUGUUUAUUUACUUUAUUGCACCAGAAACCCUCAUUAUUUUCUUUAUUUGUGCAAAUAGAUUUUAAUUACUAAUAAUUAAACAUCUGCUACUGCCUUUUUUGAUUAAAGAGUUCUUUAUGUCCUUCUGAUGAAACAUAUAUAACAAAGUGAUAUUGUACAUCUAUCAACUUUGCAAAGAGCAUUUAGUAUAGAGAAACUCUCGGAGCGUACAUAGAUUGUAAUAGAAAGGUAGAGCAAAUUCAAUUGGAUUUUUUGAUGGCCAAUCAAAUCUCAGUGUGACUGUGAUACUCCAUACUGAAGUGACUCAAGGUGGGGAUUCAUUUGAUCUGUUGUAUAGAAAGGAGCUUGUCUUCUGUAUGUUUCUUAUCAUUUUUGACACUAGAAAUAUUGAUUUGGAUAUCUGCCUUAAUAGCGGAAUAAAAUAUAAAAAUCUGAAACCUAACUGGCAUUAUCGUAAUUGCGUGCUAAAUUGCUAAUGUAGUUAAGAUGUGUUAAAUAUUGCGCAAAUCCAAGCUUGUGAAUAUUGGUUUGUUCCAUACUUGUGUAUGUUCGCACAUUUAACUGAGGAAAAUAUGAGGCAUCUAUCUAUUGAGUCUGUUAUAUUUCAGAUCCUCUAUUUCGUCUACUCCCUAUUUAGUUUUCAAACAAGGAAACCAACUGAAAGGAUGACUUCAAGCUAUUCAAAAGGCAAUUUGGAGGAUUCUUUUUGCGUUACUAUCAACUUGAAUCAGAGGAUUUCAGCCUGUGCACUCUUUUUGUUUUGAACCUGAGUUAUGAAAUUCUACACAAUUGGCAGCAUUUAAUUCCCUAUGUGAUUCUUGGAAGCUGUAUCUCUCGACAUCAUGUUAUUCGUGAUACUGGAAAGUAUCAAUUAUCAAGUAUUAUUCCUGUUUGAUUUGUUACUGAGUUUUCUCCUGCAGCUCAAAAGUUUAAUUUGUAUGAUACUGUUUUCUUGCAUCUGUUUCUAUCUGACACUUACUCCAGCAAUCUGCCUUCUAUUCAUCAUCCAUUCAUUCCUGGAUUUUCUUCUUUGUCUUGGCUGUGGUGUUCGUCAGCACCUACAGUUGUUUAAUUUGUGUUGCAUUUUUACUUUUGCAGCAUUCAUUGACAAAGGGAAGUUUCUACUGGCAGCUCGAAGGUCUAGACAUGGCGCUCAUACAGAGUAUAUUAUCUCUCUUGAUGCUGAUGACCUGUCCCAAGGAAGCAGUGCAUAUAUGGGAAAACUGAGGUCAGGGGAAGAUAUUCAGUUUUUCCAAUUAGACAUUAUUGUCAUUAAACUCUUCAACAUUUAUAUGUUCUUUUGGAAAUUCCAGUUGUUGGUUUUCUUUUUUCUUUAUAGCUUGCUAAAAUGGAUGUAUAUUGCAAUCUACGUUUUAAUACAUUAAGGCCUAGUUGGCCGUAAGCAGACUGAUGCUAGUUUGAGGAUAGGACAAAUCUGUUUGGUCCAAAUUGAAUUAAGAACCUGGUAUGAUCUGUCACAAUACUCUUUAACUCUUAGAGAGGUAGUAUUGAAACUUGGUGUUGACCAAUAUUAGCAUGACCAGACAGUUUGAUAAGAAGGGUUUAUACUGCACCAUCGUAUUUAAAUCUACUUCUAUAAUUCUAUAUUCCUUUUUUGUAAUCUUCUGUUUCCAUUUUCUCUUGGAAAGAAUUUGGAAAGCAAUAACUUAACUUUUCCAAUUAUUACAUGGUUUUGACAAAUGUUUUAUCGAUUGUUAAGUACUCUCUGUGAAGCGACAUUGAUGCACAUUAUACAAAAUGUACGGAUCUUGUUUUCUAAGUUUAGAGUUUUGUUGCACAAAUUGUUCCACAGCAACAUUAAUUGAAUUUUUUUUGUUUGUAAUUAUUGAUUGCCCAAUGGGGCAAUAAUCUAGUUUCUCAUCAUCGUUUAAGUUACCUAGAUCUCACUGCCCUGAAAAGGUGAUACUACUCUUUAAUUUAUUAUCUUUUAACAUGGUAGGUUAAAAUUCAUAAAAUGCACUAUAUUUAUUAAAACUCAUAAAAUUUUACUGGGAGAUGUAAUUAACUGAUGAUUUUGAGACAUCACCAAAGGUUUCAAUAUUAGUUUUAGAAACAUUUCAGUUUAGUCAGUAGGAUGAUAACUAUAAGCUUGCUAUCUUUAGCAUAAUUUUUCCUUAAGAAUUACUGUACUCUACUGGAAUUUCUCGCAGACUUCCAUUAAUCUCGACAAUGACAUCCCUUGCAGAUCUGAUUUCUUGGGUACAAAGUUCGCAAUAUACGACACUCAGCCCCCCCAUAAUGAUUUUAAGGCAUCAUUAUGCAGCAGCCAAUCCAGCCGCUGGUUUGGGAGCAAGCGGAUCAGUCCCCAGCUCCCUCCUGGCGGCUACUUUGAAGUCGGCCAGGUCUCGUACAAACUCAACCUUCUUAAAUCCCGAGGACCAAGAAGAAUGCAUUGCGCUCUGGAGUGUGCUUCCUCUCAAGAAACCCUAGAAGAAGGAGAAGAAGAAGAUCCUUUCAAAUCGAAGUCGUUAAACUUUGCAGGUCCCACCGUGCUGAGGAACAAGGCGCCUAGGUGGCACGAGCACCUGCAGUGCUGGUGCCUUAACUUCCACGGCCGCGUUACAGUCGCAUCCGUGAAGAAUUUCCAGUUGGUGGCAGCGGUGGGGGAUGAGGAGACGGUGCUGCUGCAGUUUGGGAAGGUCGGGGAUGAUACGUUCACCAUGGAUUACCGGCAUCCGCUCUCGGCCUUUCAAGCAUUCGCGAUCUGCCUCACUAGCUUCGGUACAAAGCUUGCUUGUGAAUAGUAAUUGCUCGCUCAGUCUUUGUUGGGGUUACAGAUAUUAACGGCGCUACUCUUACUAGAGACAGGAGAUACAUAAUAAGAUUCUAGUCAAAUUCCAUCAAUGAAUGGUCAUUAGAAUCGGCGUAUAUCUUUCUGUCGAUAGUAAAGUCUACUUUGUUAAUAUCAACACACUCCCCCUUUUGGAUAUUUAUAUUUCUUUCUGUUGUUGUGGCAUCUUCUUGUGCAAAGGAUUUGUAGGUGAUUCUCAUUUUCCUUUUUUUUUUUCCUUUCUCCCUCCUUUUAACUGAACAAGAUGCAGCUUACUGUAUAAUUAAUGUAGCAAUUUGAUUGUGUAAUCAAAGUUCUUCGCUUCGAAAGCAAUAUUAUAUUCUGCUUUUGUCGUCGGCCUCUAGAAAUUGAAGUAAUUAAAAAGGCGACGUCGAAAAGUUAUGGCUAUUUAAAGAAAAAUCAUAGUAACAUGGGGGCUUUUAGAUCGGAAACCUUGGUUUCAUUGCUUUUACAUUGUAGAUGUUACUAAUCCAAGGAUGUGAAUGAUUAGAUGAUGAUCUUGGGAGAAAAUUGGUGUGGAGUGUUGCAUUUUUUGGGAGUCAAUGCUCUCUUUUGCCGAUUCGGCAAGCCAAAUUGGUUCCUCGCUGAAUCAGCAAGGAGCGCUCGAUCUGGGGGCUCCCUUGAUCGAAGAGUUUUUGCUGAUCUGGCGAAGCAUAAAUUUUUAGUUUUCCUUUUUGAUUAGCCAUUGUCAUUGUGAGAGAAAUGAUUCGAAAGUAGCUAGCUAAGAAGAUGAGAGGUUUAAGGGUCAAAUGAGUGUUGCUUUUGGGGGUAGUUUUACAGGUGAGCUUUAACGAGUUGAGCUGGAAUGCUGUCGGUAGCAAAUGGGCUAUGUUGUCAUUCAUUUAUUUUCGAUGAUGGAACUUUCGAAUCAACGAUUGACACCGUUGAACAUGAUGUAUAUCACUUGAAAUAUUUGAAAACUAAAUUUCAAAUCUUUUCGACAUCACUGAUCUAAUGAUCAAAGGGUUUCAAAAUUUAUAAUUUUAAUGGUAGAUAUGAGGCGUUUUCUCGUUUAACAGUGUAAAAUUAUCCAAAUCAAUUGAAUUUUAGUUAGAAAAUUUUUUAUACUAUUUAGAACAAGAUCUAUACUCUCGAUCUUGGUUACAAAAUUUCUAUCAUCACUUUUUAGAGAAUAUUUAUUUUCAGCCGUUCAUUUUUACGUCCACUCGAUGGACAAGAGAAUAAUAUCGGAAAAGUAUGAAAUUUGAUUUCUAAAUACUUCAAGUGGUAUAGAUUAUGUUUAAUGGUGUCGAUCAUCAAUUUGGAGGUUCCAUCAUCGAAAAUAAAUUAGUGACAACGGAGCUUGUUUACUACUGAUAGUGUUUCAGCUCAACUAGAGCUUUAACAACUGUAGUAAUGAGAAGAAAAAUCAAACGACGAGAGAGUGAGAGUGAGAGAAUGCGAAUAUCUUUUAUUUGAGUAAGCCAUCAGUUCCACCCUAAGAUCCUCCUCGGCUAAUGCCCAAGGCUAAAUCACUUCACAUUUUAAACGCGCAUGCCCGGGAUCCAAAACCCAAACCCAACCUGUUGGAUUCAACGACCUGGGAUACAAAUCAUCUGCUUAAUCAACUACACUAGCAGUGAUGGUGACCGGUGAGAGAGAGACUCCGUGUACUUACGUAGGCCAAGCUAACGCCAAAAAAAACAAAAGAAAAAAGAUGCAUACUACCGUGAGAUGAGGCGCAUUUGACCCUCCCUUAAAGGUGGAUGAAGAAGAUGAGGGCAACUAGAUGAUGGUCCUAGACAAUACGUCACGCCACUCUUUUAUUUUUUAUUAGUUAAAUCGCAACUUCAAAAGGCUAGAAAAAAACAAUGUGAAGCUCAAAACAAUGGCUAGUAUUGCUUGCAGUAUUAUUCGAAGAACCACUAAUAAAUAUAAGUCACAAUUUCCCAAUGUAGAAGAAAGUUAGAAACUUUGAAUUAGAGUUUCUCGUUUUCCAACUUUUUGCCUCAGCAGAAAUGCACGGUGGACAAGAAAAGCCAAAGAAAAGCUCAAAAGAGUAUAGAAAGACAUGCCCGCCUCCUCGAGCAAAUUGUGAUUGUUCUGAAAUUGUUGGAAGAUAAAUGAAGAAACCGGUGACAAGGGGAAAAUAAAAUCAUACAGAUUGCUAAAUCAGAUUGGUGAAAUCAAAGACGAGCAAGAUUAUAAAGUGGAUCACAUCAUUAGAUUAAGCCCAAAGAUUUGUGUUAAGUCAGACACAACUCUUGGAACAAGACUUUCUCACACAUGCAUUAACAUGAACUGCACAAAAACAAACAGAGGUGACGCGGGAUGCGCGAAACUUUCUUAUUCCAGAUUUCAGACGAAGAAAGGGUUCUUGCAAGAGUUCGGUAUCACUUUUUGCCUCGCAGCUUCACGCCGAGAACCCUCUCCAGUUUGGAAAUUAACUGCUGGUUCGGAAUGGCUUUGCCGGAUUCGUACUCCUGAAUGAUUUGUGGCUUCUCAUUGAUCAUCUGUUACACCAAACACGAAAACAAAAAUGCGCCGAAAAAAAAGGGAUAAGAAUGUAAUCUCUCAGGAGAAAACAAGUACACAUUAACUGAAAGAGGUGAUGAUACCUGUGCAAGUUGAGCCUGGGUUAACUUCUUGUCCAGUCGAGCUUGCAUGAUGUUCCUCUUUAGGUCGGUCGACACUCGUUCAUCUAAUACACUCGAAGCAAGACUAGAGUUAAAUGUCAACAAUUAUUGGGUGAAAACAAAAAAAACCUGAUUUGAAGACAUGUCUGCAUCCGAGAACUCCUCAAUAAACGGGAAAAUUAUGAGAAUAAAUUAGAAACUACUGAGACUACAAGAUCAUUCAUUCAGAAAAUUAUAGAGAGUUAGAGACCGAUCAGAUUCACUGAAAUGGCUGCAGGGUAGUUAUUAGGCAUCUAUUUUUUUAACCGUCUUUACUUCGAAAAGGCUACAAUUAAUGCUCAAGGAAAGCAAGAAGUAACAUAGUAUCAGACAGAAGGGUGAAAUAAGCCUAUCACAUACAAAAUAAUAGAGAGGAAAAGGAAAAGUACAAUUUAUUAAAGUUAAUUAAAAGCAGGUAAUUUUCAGCAAAAUGGAAACUCUACAUCAUGGAUAUAUAGACUCACACCAACUGUCUAAUAAUAAUAAUUCUGGAUGAAGACAACGAAAAAAAUAUUGGAGCCCAUUUGUUUAAUUUUGGCUACAUGGCCUUUUCUAAGUUUUGUUUGUGGUUUGGUCCCAAAUAUUUCAAAGGGCAAAACCACCUUUAUCACCUUCUAUUCAAGUCCUUUUAAUCCUGCUUUUCUCAUUCUAUAGUUACAACUCAAAUUACAUUGCUUCCACUAACCAGUACCUUAAUUUCUUUCAGAAAUAUCUAAACCAUGAAAUUUUCUAGAUAGUCGAAAAGUUCUUUGUAUUAGUCCAUGGUUACCUUUUUUCUUACCCAUGUCAAUCCCUGAUUUUCAAUGCUGUGUAAGUGAGCUUACUACACACAGGAAAUAGAGAAAUCUAACUGAAACAUGAAUACAGAUUUUCAAAAUUUUUUGGAAAACAAACACUGCAGCUCUCGGCAGUUCUGGAACCAAUACAAAAAUAGAUAUGCUUCAGUCUUCAGAAGCUUGUUUUAAAUACUAACCAUUACUAACAGUGCAAAAAUGCAGUAAAUCAAAACAAAGUUGGUCAGAAAAUGUAGUUGCAAGUAGUCAAUAUCAGAGUGCCUAAUGGAUCAAAAGGUUCCUUUUCUUAGGGCACGAUGGAACUUCCCUUCCUUCACUUCUCCUUCUUCCCAUCGAGAUAGAAUAGGAGCAAGAUAGUGGCAGGAUGUCGAAGACUGAAUUUCCUUUUUUGCCUCUCGAGUGAUAAUAUUGUUUAGUUCAAAGUUCAAAACUGCAUCUAAGUAAAUAUUAAAUGAACUAGCACUUUGAAAUUCAGAAAUCCUUAGGAUGAAAUAACAUAUAGAUAGUCAAAAACCAUAGCCGACUAUAUUAAAAAGAGCCUAAAAAAUAAUAUCACUCACGAGAAAGAUUCUCUGUUUCCUCAUCAAGCUUCCUUGUGUUUAAAGAUGUGCUGCUAGAAGCAGCUUUGUUUGUACCAGCGUUAGCUGCAAAAACAAAGAAGAAAAGUAAUUUAUAUAUGACUUCAGCAGAUCAAACUUAAUCCCAUAUCAUAUACACAGACAUGACAUGCCAAACAAGAAAGCUCAGCAUAAUCAUUUUAUCCGAAAACAGAGUUGCAGCGAAAAAUAAAAAUAAAAAGCCUGGCACAGUAACAUAUAACAACGCAUUGUACAUCUCACUAAAACAUUAGUUAUAAUACAGGAAAGAAGACUGGCAAACAAUAGGAAUCAACACAAAAAAAUUGCCUUAAAUUUAAUGCACGUAGAACUCAUUGGCUAGAUGUUAUCCCACCAUACCUCAGAAGCAACGAUUCUCCUUCUUGUCUGUUGAACAUUAGUAAUUCAAAAACAUAAAAAACAAACAGAUCCCCAUUCUAUAUUCGCUGUCAUCAAUGUCAUACACUUAGAAUACCUCUCAUAAGCCUAAGUGUAUUACGUCUUUCACUAUUGUCGGUCUCGGUUACUUAGAUUUCGUAACAUUAAAGGUUUUCACAAAUAUCUCUACCCGUAUGUAGAAAAAGAAAACCAAGAAGACCCCAAAGGCAUCCAAUACUAUUUACACACUUCCUAAAUCAACCAAAUAGCAUAAACAGCACUCUUUCCGACAUACCUUACUUAAACCGAGCAUCCAUAUAAAGUAUCUUUCGUAAGCAUGAAUUCAAAAUUACAAGAACAAAUUGAAAACAACCUACAACCUAGUUUAAGUAACAACUCUUGUUCAAGUUAAAGAACCAAGAAUUCAUCUAAGAUUCAGCAAUAAUGAGAAAAUUAGCAUUUACCACAAAACUUUUUUGGCAUUAUAGCACCGACACACUAAUAAAGUCGAUCGGCAUAGCAUGCUAGCCUUAGUAAUUGCCUAUGCUAUUUGAUGUGCAUGGUACCAACUUUGCAAUCUCACGACCUACACAACACCAUCAUUAGUACGUCUUCAAAAAUUAGAGAUCCAAGUUAACUCGGCCGUCAAUGAUUGCGAACUUGCUAUACAUAUAUCAUUUGCAACACCAGCUCUGCAACGUACUCGUUAGACCCUGUUUGGAGGGAUGACUAUCUUGUUUAGUAUAUCCUCUUAAUUUAUUCAAAAAAUUUGUACAUUUGUGCGAUGAGAAGUGUGAUCAAAUGUUUAAAAUAGAAUAGCAUAUUCACCCUUCAAAGUUUCAAGUCAUUUUUUUUUAAAUAAGAUAAAUCAUCUCGUAGGUGAAAUAUAUUAUCCUACCAAAUCAUUAAUAGUAAAACCUUUCAAGAAGUAAAAAUAUCAAAUUUUCUACUUACAAUCAUACUACAAAAUUCUUAUACCUUAUUCAGACAUCCAAACAGGGCCUUAAAAAAUAGCGGUCAUUUCACAUAGUAUCAGAGCAUGAGGUCGUGAGAUCAAAUCUCUCCAAGCUCUCUAGUCUCGUUUAUGCUUCGUUUGGAAGCAGAGAGAAGGAGAGAAAAGAAAAGAAAAUAACAAAAAAUAAGAGAAAAGACAGAACUUUCUCUUCCUUCUCUCCACUUCAGGAGAGAAAACAAACAAGAUGUUAUUGAAGGUCAUUUUCUCUCAGUUUCUCUCAUUUUCGCUCCUCAAGUUUCAAUUUAAACACGAGAGAAAAUAAUUUCACACAACUACGGAUCGUAGCAUCGUAACCAUUAUAGAGAAUAACGAUUAUUUCACACAGCUAACACAAAUUACUCAUACAAAUCUAAAACGAUAUUGCUAAAAAAAAGAUAAUAUAAGAACCCUAUCAUCGAUGCGAUUGCGAUCCUUCCACGAAGGUAGGGUUUGGCCAAAAGUUAGAGAGAGAGAGAGGGAGAAGAGACGAAGGGGUCGUACACUUCUUCAUGGUCUCGAUCUCGGCGCCGCUGCGGCGGGCGGCGUUGACGGCCUUCUCGUCCUUCUUCGCGGCGGCGGUGGGCGCCUUCUUCCGGACCACCACCGGCUCCCAGUCCUGCGUGAAUGGGCCGACUCCCGCCAUGGUAGAGCGAGAGAGAGAGCUUCUCGAGAACGGAGCUAGGGUUAGGGUUAGGGUUUCGAGGGGAGGAAGAGGAGCAAGACACGGAGGAGAGAGAGAGAUAGAGAGAGAGAGAGAGAGAGAAGGGUCGAGCCACCUAAAAUUAAAUGGAUAAGAAAAAAAUCGGGUGCUAUAAUUAAGAGUUAAAUGCAUUCGUGUCCCUAUAAAUAUAAUAAAUAAUAAAUAUAUAUUUUUAUAAAGUUUAAUUUUUGUAUAUUAUUUUUAUAAAAGCUCUAAUAUUUUUAAAUAUAUUUCUCUAAUUUAUUACCGUUGGAGAACUAUUUAUAUUUUUAAUUUUUUCCUCACAAAUACGUCUCUUCAAAAAUUACAACAGUAUAAUAUAUAAAAACUAAACUAAUCAGAAUUUAGUAUUUAACGUAUGAUUAACUACAUUUUUCUAACGAAUUUUAAUAGCAGAACAUGUUUAAAAAUAUUAAAAUUUUUACAAAAACAAUAUAUAAAAAUAAAAUUUUAUAAAAAUAUAUUUAUAAUUCGCUAUGUUUAAAAAGAUCUGAAUGCAAUUAACUUUUUAAUUAAUCAGAAGGAGUGGGCGGAAGAGAAUAUCGGCUCAAAUUUUUCUCCUUCUUCGGCUUCUUGGGAGGCACGCAUACAAAUCUUAUCAAAAGUGAAUGUUGGUUACAUCCUCUUUAUUUUUUUAUUAUUAUUAUUAUUAUUAUUAGUCAAAAUUUUUAAAUUUAUUUGUAAUAUUUAAAAUAUUUUUAAAAAUUCAAUCGUAUUAGUAAACCUAGAAAAAAAAAAUAUUUUUAAAACCAACAAGAAUAUUUUAGAUAUUUUUAAAAUUUUCAGACAUACUUUAGAUAUUAUUUUGAUUUUUUAUUAUAUUAUUUCGAAGGUGAAGAACGAUGGAGUAGUUUUCAACCAUAAUUGUUCAUUUUUGCCGUUUAAUUUUAUCAUAACAUUAUUUUCGAUUGAAAGUCAAAUUCUGCAAAACACCAUAAUUGGCUCCGACCCAUUCCGGACUGAAUUCAAUUACAAAAUAAUAAUAAUAAUAAUAAUAAUAAUAAUAAUAAUAAGUAAAACUAGAUGUACUUCAGUUCUACAACUAUACAACAAAUAGCGAAAAAAAGUAAUAUUUAUCUAAACUUUAGUUCAUUCGAAAGUCUACUUCAACCUGAGUUUCGUUGAACUAGAGUUUACAGAUAAAUUAUUUCUCAUCCACUAUUUAUUUUUAUAAGUGCGGAACUGAAUUUUUUUUCUAAUUUUAUCAUUUGUUAGCAAAAAGUUAAUUGCAUGAAAACUAAUAAAGUUUUGUACUUCAUAUGUUUGUUUUAUUAUAAAAAUUGUUGAAUCCAGCAUGUUAAUAUUGGAGAGGCAAAAACUUGUUCCUUAACGAUAAUUUUUUAUUACAUUUUUUCUCUCUUCUUCUCCGUAAUUGAUAUUGGGAAAAUAGGUGGCUUACGAUAUUUUGAAAAAUUUGAGUUCUGAUCAAAUACAUAUUACGAUAAACCAAGCAACGAUUGUGGGUAUUUUUAGUCAAAAUUUAUUUUAUCUCUCAUCACUUUCAGUAAUACAAACGCAAAUGCUUUGUAGAAUUUAAAAGUAGUGUACAUCUAUAUCGAAUUCAUAUAAUAAUUUAAACAACUAUUUCAAUUUUUUAGUAUUAAAAAAUAAAAAAUGUGAUAAAAAUCUAUACUGACUUUUGAGUUUACAGGUAGCAUUACGUUUUUAAUUUUAGUAUUGAAAGAUAUAAACUUUUUCUAGGAAAAAGAUAUAUAAAGAGCCCUUUUGCUAAUACGCGCCUGAACUUUAAGUAUUAGCAAUUUAAUUUCUUUGUCUCUCUCUUCAAUUAAAAUUAUUAAUUAUACAACUAUUUUGGCUGCGUGUCUUGCAUUUGGUCUUAUAAAACUUCAAAAGAAUAAGAAAAUUAUUUUGCCUAUUUUAACAUAUAAAGAAAGUAACAAAAAAUCGAAUGUUGGUUCACCUAUUUUUCAUUCUUACGCUUGAUUAUCAAAAUUGAAAGAGAAAUUAAGCAUUUUUAUAUUUCAAAGUCUUAUAUGUUUUUAUGCAUGAUAUCGAUAAAAGUUAUUGUCACACCCCAAGAAUCCCACAUCGGAUAAGAAUGGGGAUGUGAUUGAGUAUAUAAGAGAUUUAGACACUAGUAAAAAAAAAUUGGGCUUAAGCAUUUUGGGCUGAUGGUUGGGCCCAACGAGUUAUUGUUACUAGUGUGCUGGGUCCUUACAUUUUGUAUCAGAGGCAAUCACCAGGCAAGAAUGUGUGGCGAGUCUCGACUGAGCCAGAGUCUAAAAGAUAAGAUGAUAGGCUAUGCCAGAAUCUAUAUGACAAGGUGACCGGUUAUGCCAGGGUCUCAAUGACAAGGCUAGCGAGACGAGUCUCACAUCCCUUGGUAAUCUUGGGUUGUGAAGUCUGUCACACCCCAAUAAUCCCAAUAAUCCCACUAGGAUCCCAAGUGCCCGAAUCAAUCAAAAGUUUAAUGGACAUAGGAUCCCAAAAUCAAUCGAAAGUUUAAUGGGAAAGUCCUCUAUCCUAAAAUUAGCAGAAAGACGGAUAUUCCUUGCUCAUUAUCAGACCUAGAAAUGAGACAUUGGAAGAAUCUUUUUGGACUAGAUGAUCCUAUUUGGUCAAAUACCUAGCGACAAACUCCUAUGGAAAUGGGGAUGUGAUUGGGUAUAUAAGAAAUUUAGACACUCUUAAAAAAAAAAAAAAAAAAAAAACUGGACUUAAGUAUUUUGGGAUUUGAGACGGUGGUUGGGCCCAACGAGUUAUUGUUGCUAGUGGGCUGGAUUGUUACAAUUGUUGCAUGCUUAAUAACUUUGAUAGAGAAAAGGGGUCAAUUAAAGCAGUUGAUGAAAUUUAGGGAGCCAAACCAAAUUACCAAAGUUAAUCACUCAUGAUCUGUAGUUAGGCCACAAAAAAUCCUCCUAGAAUUACAUUAAUGGGUUAUUUGAUUACAUACAGAUCUAAAUUCAGUAUUUAAUUUACUGCAUUUGAAUUUAGCUACUGCAAUUGAAACUGUAUGAGUAGGCUCAAUUAUAGCCAGCUAAAACUGUGCCUAAAUUAGCUACAGAUUCAACUACAGUAACUAGAUAGAGUAACUUUAAACAAAGUUGAGCUCAGCUCCCUAACAACCAUCUGAAUAGAACAUAUAUUUAUUUCUGUUUAGAGGAUAAUCUCAACAUCCUAUAUAAAAGUUAUAAAACUCUGUAAAUAUAUUUCUCAACAGAAGAAAAAUAGUUAAAGUAUUUAUUUCAGUAUAGCCUACAGUUGAGGAGGUCUACAUGCAUUUUUUAACAAAAAGAAAAAAAAGAAGAAAAAAAAAGAAAAGACCAAGUACUGUAGUCAAUUAAUCUUGAGUAAAUUAAUUAAGCUCAUAAUUAUGUAUUAGCAGUAGUUUGUCACAUAGUUAAGAAUUUUGCUCACAAAGCCUGUGUGGCGCUCGCUUCCUCAAUGAAGAUGGGUAAGUUUUGCUUUCUGUUUGCUAGUCCAGACCUUCGCAUCCUACGACUAAGUGCAACAAAGAAAAAAAAGCAACAAAAUUUUUGCGAAAAAAACUAAGUACUCUAUUACUUAGAAAAUGUGGAUUACAAGCACGUACAAUUCUCUCUAUCUCUUUGGCCUCAACUAUUCUCCUAUUUAUAGCCCUCCAGGAUAUAGAGAAAACUGCCAACAUUAAUGCAAAGUGAACUUAAUAAGGGUUGCUCAUAACCUUUUGUGUUUCCACUGGACCCAUUUCUUGAGGCAUUAUUAAUAGCUGCAGUUUCAAAAUGCUCCAUCUCCCAUAAGAGCUUUGCUUCCUAAACAAUGCCUCUUCCGUUGCCCACUUAGCGAAAUUGGGCCAGGGACUUGAACUUGGCUGAAACUUUUUCUAAGUCCCUGACAAACUGCUAGCUUUAGUAAUCUCAGCCUCGAGAGCUUCCAUUUGCAGCUCCAACUCCCUCAGCCUCCUGUUCAUGCUCUCGAGUCUCUUCCUUGAAGCCUCAUCUGCAGUGUUUCAUUGCUCUUAGUUUUAGAUUAUCUGUUUAUCAGACUUCAUUAAGAGGUUGUUUGGUUUCUUAGAAAAGCACGAAGAAAAAAAUUUCUGAGAAAAAUGUUUUUCAUGAAAAACUGCUUUUCCAGUUUUUCAUCCGUUUGGUUUCAAGAAAAACUACUUGUUUGGAAAGCUUUUUUUCAAAUUUCAUGGCAAGUUAGUGUUUUCCUUUCCUGAUAUUUUUUUUUAGAAAAAUGAGAAGGAUGAUUUUUCAUUAAAUCUGAAAAAAAACUUUCUAAAAAAAUAGUUUUGUCUUGAAACCAAAUCGGCGAAAAAUUGAAAAAGGGAUUUUCCAUAAAAUAUUUUUUUUCUUGAAUAUUUUUUUUUUCCAUACUGAUUUGAAGAACCAAACAGUCUGUUUGGUGAAAUAAGAUUCUAAAUUCUGAGAACAAAACUUCAGUUUUACAACUUCUAUAUUUGCGAAAGAGAAAAACUAUCAGAAAAAAGAAAACAAGUAAAAUGCAUGAAAGUUACCCCGACAAUAAACCCACUUUGAUCCAACCGCUUAACCUUAAAAAACAUGAUUCCUUUAGUUUGUAUUAUGUCCUUUUAAUGACAAAUUUUGAGUUCACCGCUUGCUCUAAUAAAAAUAUAGCCACAUGAAUUACGUGCGAUACUCUAAUUGACCUGCGAAUAAUGCUAUCUGUACACUCCAUUUGGGGUACACAUAUUACACUUUUCAAAUGCGAGAGUCAAAACUUUUUCUUUUUAGGAAAAAUUUCAAAAACCCCCCUGUGGUUUCGUAGUUUCUCACUUUGCCCCCCCUGUGGUUUAAAAUGUAUCAAUUUGCCUCCCUGUGGUUUCUUUUUUCUCUUUUUCUUAUCAAUUUCAUUAUUUUUUUUCUUAAAUCAGUGAUAAAGUUAAAAUUAAAGGGUACUAAAAUGAAUAUUUAAUAAAUCUAGAUGGGUAUCUGAAGUUUUUUGUAUAUAAUUUAAUGAAAUAUUAACGAAAAAGCUACCGAAAAGAUAAAAACGAAACCACAUGGGGGCAAUUUGAUACAUUUUAAACCACAGGGGGGCAAAGUGAGAAACUACGAAACCACAGGAGGGUUUUUUUGAAGUUUUCCUUUUUAUAAUACUAAAAUCUAAUAGUUCUUAAACAUAAAGUUGGAGGGUAUAAAAUAUACAUUUCUUUUUGGGAUACACACCUGUCAUUUUUCGUAACCUGCUUAAAAUAUAAGUCAUCCAAAAUCUGAAGUAACAAAAUUAUCAAGUGAUCAAAAACUUCUAAAACUUUGACAAUCAGAUCAAAAUAGUCAUAAUUUGAGGUAUCCAUAUAGUGUCUACCAUUUUUUUCUUAGCUCUCUACAAUACUUUUUCCCAUAGAAAUAUAUUGAGUAACACUGCAACUCACAGCAAGGCCAAUAAAGAGAGCAUUUAUAUGUAUAGAUAUGGGACUUUUGCUUUAUAUAUCUCUCACACUACUGAUCAAAAUUUUUAAAUUUAAAUUAAAAUUACUAAAAUACCCUUCUAAAUUUCGAGUCCUAUUAGUAAAUCCUAGAAAUUUGAGAAUAUUUGAAAAAAAAAAAUUUAAAAAAUAAAUAAGGGUACGUUAAUCAACCAAACAUAUUUUAGAUAUUUUUAAAAUUUUUGAAUGGCACAUUAGAUAUUAUUCCAUAUAUAUAUAUAUAUAUAUAUGCACUAGACCAGUGAUGCUACUGGUACACCCCAAUAUAAGAUGUACAUCUUACACCCACUUUAUCCAAUGAUUAUUAAUUAUCUACUUGUGACUUGUCCCCUCAAUUUUUUUUUAAUUUUUAUUAAAAAUUAUUUAGAUUUUUGUGAAUUCUAAAAUGAGAGUGUAAUAACCUAAACCCCCUUUGGGACUAGACAAGAAGAAUUUCUCUUACCAGACUGGGAAAUGAAGUCGGAGAUGGUUUCACUGUAGCCGCCGACUUCUGCAGUUGCAACGGCUCCCUGAUGAGCUGUAUUACUACUGUCUUCUCCAUCACCCUUCCUCAGUACAACUUCUCUCUUUCUCCCCAACAUACCUGCAGCUGCAAGACGACGAUGACGACGACGACGACGACGAUGAUUCUUUUCUUUCUUAAUUCCCUUUCUCCUUCCACUUCUGCAACUUGAGCUACUGUGUAUCUACUUAUGCAAAUUAGUUGUAAUGUUUUGGUUAGUUAUUGUUAUUAUUAUUAUAUGUAUAGGGGUUAUUUUUUUGUGUUGGAGGAGGGGAUAGCAUUUUUAUGAGCAGAAGAGGAGGUAGUGUUCAAAAAGUUUGGGUCGUGGUCAAGUUCAACCUGGCGACUUUGACCGGAUUUAAAAAAAAAAAAAAGAAUAGCCGCCAUGGAAGUAGCAGUAUGAUGAUGAUGACGACGACGACGAAGAAGAAGAAGAAGACGACGACGACGACCAAAUGGGCUCAGAUUCCCUUUUUUAAUUCCGAUGGUUUCAUAUUUUUUUAUUUUAAUAUUCUAUAAUUUAAAAUACAAUAAUUUAGUAUCUGUGGUUUUAUUUUUCUCUUUUUAUUAUCUUUCCCGCUAUUUUUUUUUUGUUAAAUAAGUAACAAAGUUAAAACUAAAAGGUACUAAAGUGAAUAUUCGAGAAAUCUAAGUGAGAUAUUUAAAGUUUUUUUGUAUAUAAUUUAACUAAAUGUUAACGGAGGAGCUGACGAAAAAAAUGAAAUCAUAAAUCACUAAAUUGAUACACUUUAAAUCACAUGGAUAGUAUUUAGAGUUUACCUUCUUUUUUUUUUUUUUGUAUUAAGCUCACUCUCUUGGUGAGAUCACCUGUUGUGGGAUCUCGUUAAUGUUGUUGAGAACAUAAUUUAAGGAAUGAUAUCUAAUAUAAUAUAAUAUACCUUUUAGAAAUUCAAAACUAUCUAAUAUAUUCCUGACUGACCAAAAUGUCAUUAUCGAUUUUCAAAAAUCUCUUCAAAUAUCUCCAAACUUUUUAAGGGUUUACUAAUGGAAUUUAGGGUUGAACUAAAAAUCGAGUAGUAGUGGGGAAUAAAGGAGCUGAAGCCUCUUUUUUUUUUUUUNUUUCUUUUGAGAGAGAAAGGUAGCAUGUUACUCGCUUCGUUUAUUUUUUAAAAAAUAAAUUUAGUUGAAAAUAUGAAGCAACUAGGGCAUCGAAUUUAGAACCUCAAGUAUCAACUAUCAAGUACUUUGCCACUUGUACUAGGGACAGUCGGUUAAAGCCUCUAACAUUAGAGGGGCGUUUCUUUAUAUACCCUUUAUUACUAUUAAAGAUUUUUAAAUUUGCCUUCCAAUACUCAAAAUAUCCUUCUAAAGUUCCAUCUCAUUAGUAAACUCUAAAGAGAAAAAAAAUUAUUUGAGGAAAUUUUUUUAAAUCAACAAGGAUGCUUUACUAGCCCAAGAAUAAAUAAAAUAUUUUAAAAUUUUGAAGAGUAUAUUAGAUAUUAUAUUUAUUUUUAUUUUACUCUUCUCAAUAUCAAAAACGUAUGCACGCCACUUUUUCUAAAAAUAAUAAUAAUAAAUACAAAUCUUUGAAUGGUCGGAGUAAUAAGAAAAAAUCUGAAAUGGGAUACGUCGAUACUGACCCAUCACACUCUGACUUUACACAGAAAAUGUAUGUGUAAUAGUAGUGUAGAGCUAUCCAAAUCGUAGAGAAUUUGAUUUUUUUUUAUUUUUUUGAUAUUUGGAUCAAGAAUUAUACUCCAAGAAUUGAAUAGUAUCCUAGAGUUGAGUGAUCCUCACAGGAUAAUAAUAUUAAUUCAAAGAUUAAAAAUAAUUAAAAAAACUGUUCUAAGAGUCAAAAAGUCAGAAACAUCAGAUUUUCUAUUCUUUCGAUGGUAUAGUAACUCUACUCGUAAUAGUACGUGGAAAAUUGGAAAAUAAGCUACUGUCCAGUAACUGAACAAAAAUGAAAUAAUUCAAUCGAGAAAGACUUAUUAAAAUAUGGGCUUUUUAAUAAGUAUUAAGGCUUUAUUUAGGAUUACAAAAAAAUUACAUUAAAUAUGGUAAAAAAGUACCAUGAUUUUUUUUUUUUAUUUUGGUGUAUAAUAACAAACUGUGCAUAUCAUAAUGAGUCGAUUACGAUAUAUUUUCUAUGGUCUUUUGGAAAAUAGAAAAGUAUAUUUUUAUAUACUUACUCUCAAGCCUUGGAAAAAAAAAAAAAAAAAAAGAAUUAGGACACCGAAGCUCUUGAAAUUUGGCUGGAUUAUACUUGUCCCUCGUGAAGUUGAAAACAUUGGAAAGUUAUACCUACAUAUAUAUAUAUUACAUAGAAGUAAAUAAUAAGUUAUAGGUAUAUAAAUUAAAUAUGAUGUGAUAUUAUAUAUUUUUCACUUUGUCAUUAUCAGCUAUUUGAGCCCAAAUUUUCUCAGUAAUUAGCAUUUUUAUGAGAAAAAUAAAGAACUCGAAUAUAUCUAAAUAUAUACAUCUCCGCAUUCAAAAAAAAGAAACAAGUAAACAUAAGCUUUUAAAUGGCAAGUGACUAAAAAGGCUUUCAGAAUGUGAUUGAUAAUACGACAAUGAACAAAGUGUCGCAUUACUAGCAUGUCAGUAACACAUCAAUACUCAAUCAGUAAAUUUAAUUUCAACAAUCUAAAAAUUUUGGGUCAAAAAAAUAUAUAUAACAAGGCAUACCCGGCUCAUAAUUUGAGGAUCAAAAACAUAAUUUAGUACAUAUAAUAAUUUUAGGCAAUGGUUUCUCAUUCCUGUAACAUGCAUUGCAGGAGGAAAAUAAAAAAAAAAAGGGGUAAAAACUUCAAUAUCCACCCCUCGGUUUCGCAUUUUUUCACUUUAGUACCCUGUAGUUUAAAUGCAUCAAUUUAGUACUCUGUGGUUUCAUUUUUUUCUUUUCGUCGGCUUCUCUGUUAAUAUUUCGUUAAAUUAAAUACAAAAAACUUCAAAUACCCUACAUACGUUUAUCGAAUAUUUACUUUAGUAUCCUUUAGUUUUAGCUUUAUCGCUCAUUUUUUUUUCCUCCAUUAAUAUUUCGUUAAAUUAUAUACAAAAAACUUCAGAUAUCCUACCUAGGUUUAUCGAAUAUUCAUUUUAGUACUCUUUAGUUUUAACUUCGUCACCGAUUUAACGAAAUAAAUUCAUGAAAUGAAUAAUAAAAAGAGAAAAAUGAAACCACAUGGUACUAACUUGAUAUACUUUAAACUACAUGGUACUAAAGUGAGAAAGUGCGAAACCACAUGGGCUAACUUGAUACACUUUAAACCACAUAAUACUAAAGUGAGAAAGUGUGAAACCAUAGGGGGUAUUUGAAGUUUAUCCUAAAAAAAAAAAAAAGCUAGGAUUUAAUAAAGCUUUAAAGCUUAUUAUAGUAAUCACGAAACUAUGAGUGAAAUCAAGAGGAUAAGUACUCAAUUGGAUUUGCCAAAAAACAACAGAGAAAAAUCACGAGAAUACAUAGGGAACCAAUUAAAACGCAGUAGAAACAAUGACAACAAAGUUGAUGGUCACAAGAACUGCACCAUGAUUCAACAAAGCGACCAGUUACCAUUCAAAGGAGGAAAAAAAAAAUGUAUGCCGCAGAGACACUGCCAAAACUUACCAGCAAAAAUAGACUACUACUUGUAGCCAGAGAGAGAGAGAGAGAGUUAAGUGAAUCAAUGGCGUCGACACGCAACUUCAACAUCACGAUGUGGAAGAUAAUCUGAAGAAGACACGUGAGUUUUAUUAUAAAACUAUGAAUUGUACUAUAUUAAUACAUAUUAUUUAUAUUUAGAUAUUUUCUUUUCACCAUUCUUUACCAUUCCAUGAAAUUAACCAAACACAAUUUCAGUUAUUCCUGAGAAUAGCAGCAUUACAAACCAAAUAUAAUUUUACUUCUAUUCCUGAUUAUUUAGAAAUAGUAAGCUAUUCUAAAUAUAAAAAAAUUUAUCCCGCUGUUCGUUAUCCCCUAGCUCCGAAAGCGGGAAUCCUAGAAUGUGAAAAACAUCUUAUACAGCAAUGUCAAAUCUCCCUAUCCUCUAUGUCACUUUUCCUCGGUUAGUCAGUCUGUUUACUCUCCCAUGCAGCAAAACAUCUACUUUACAUUGUUCUAUUUGUCUGUUCUGUACUGUCUGUCACCUAAACUAUUCACUAUAUACUCCUGAGGUAAGGAACUUGGCAGAGUUUUCUAUAAUAGAGAUAUCAAUAAUGUACUAACUGAAUUUCCUGAGAAACAACAAGUAAGAUUGUUUGUGUCUCAAGACCAUCUUGCUUCCAAGCAUGCAGAAUUGAUGGACCUAACCCAGAUGUCACCACAUAUCCAUCAAAUCCCAUUAUGCUAUUACAAUAUGAGUUAUUAUUUUACCACCAUAUCAUUAGGAUUGUCCAGUGGAUGCUGCUGCUUUUUCCUGCGUAUUGGUAGCAUAAAACUUUCAAUAUCCUUUAUCAACUGAGUCUUCCUCGCGUAACCAAAUGUAUUAGACAGAAAUGACUUAUUGUUUUAGAUCGAUGGCUCGGAGAAACCUGCAAACUGGGUGUCUACAUAACUGAGGAAGUAGCAUAGGCUAAUAUGCUAUUAAGCGCCAUCUAUCUAAUUCGGCAUAUUUUUGAAGAAUGUAUCUCUUCUAACAGCUUAUGUUGCCAUCCUCAAACUCUCAAAACAUAGCAUGAUAAUGAUGAGUAAUUUUACCAUAUGAGAAUAUUGUUAGAAUAAGAUGAUAAAGGAUGGAUAAAGAAAGAGUGAAGAGGGAGAGAGGGAGAAAAGGAAGCUAGUUAUUUGGAUCCCACGGUGAUAUAGAAAAAACUAAUUAUGUCCUGCAAUUAGAUAAAAUAGUGAUGACUAAUUACCAGAUGAAGAUAGUGCAUACAAGGUGUUAAAGUACGAUUACGAGGAGAAGGAAAGAUGUAAAGGAUAAGAGAGCGACAACGAUGGAAGAGAGGGAUAACAAUGCAAAAGAUUACGUCCCGUAAAGAUGUAGGACAAACCAGAGAUGUCCAACAAAUUAGAAUUAAGAAAAAUAGAAUAUCUGCAGAACAUACCAUGUAAAUCAGAAAAAAAAAAGAAAUUACAUAAAUAAAAACACCCCAGCCAAUUCAAAAGGUGACUGAAAUCUUUGUCAAGUCAGCUUUGCAAUAGAAGUGGCAAUCUUCAUGCAAGUAAACAUAUGAACAGUAAACCUAAAACAGUCAGCCAACAGCACAGAACUACAAAGAUGUUGGAGGCGUCCAACGUUAUUUACUACGAAUUGUAGCAAGACAUGAAACCACCGAGAAGGACAAAUGUUUCAACAUGGUAUUUUAUUUGCAGUUGCAACUGACUACUCUUUACGAUAAAAACAUCAAAACUGCAUCAUAUAAUUUAAAUACACUAAUAACACAAAUGUGUAGUAUCAGAUUUUAACAAUCAUUGAUAUUUGCAUCAAACUUAUUGUUACUGAAUGACUAUAUUUCGAACAACAUACAGCUUAGAAGGUGUAAUAUCAUUGGCACGAGGAAUUGGCAAUGCCAACAGGAUAUAGACAAUGGUUCCCACCUACCAACUGCAGUCUCGCAAUAAUAGGGGAAACCACAUAAAAGGGACAAUAAGAGGAAACAAAAUUAUCAUUACCUAUACAUUCUUUUUCUUUUUGCUGGGUAUCACAAACUGGAUGAACUAUAAUCUGAUCGCUCACUUGUUAACAUGUCAAAACUCGGAGUUCGGGGAUGUAGGCUUUGCAAGCACCUAAAGAAAAGACAAAAAUGGAAAUUAUGAACCUAUAAUGAGAUGCAUGAAAACAAAUCAUAAGUACAUUCAAGUGAAAAUUCUAGUACUUCUGCAAAGCGUGUUUGGCGGUGCUGUGGUUUUGGUGGCUGAUUAGUCAUUGCACGCAAAGCUUGUUUCUUUUGUUGGACUUGAAUACCAAAAACUGACUGUGCAGGUGGUUUCUUUGAUGAAACAGAAGGUAAGGUGCGAGAAAGCCAGGACUCCGAAGGUGAUUUGGGCAACGGAAGCGGAAGAACGGAUUGCACGGGUUUAAAGUUCUUUUUGAUGAGAUCUUCUCCUUUAGACUGGAAUGGACCAUCACUAAUUUUAUUGCACUUAAAAGUUUCACGGCCAUUUAUCUCUCCAGGGUCUGACACUGCCAAGGUAGUCGGUAAGCCACGUUCAUCCCUGUUACGAGCUUCUAUAAUAGAACUUUCUUUUAUCUUUCGACUUACUUCCUCAAUCUCAAAAUCCUUCUCCCCUGAUUCUAUCCUCACCUUUGGAUCUGCAUCAGGCACAUCCACAGAGUCAACCUCAACACCUUUCUCUGCUGCAGGGCUCAUCGAGCCUGAGCCUGACCCCUGCUGACUGCUAUUCUGUGGUGUCGUAUCCCAACAGUCCUCACCAUCUUUCUCGCCUAAAUCAGAGCAAUCGCCCUUACUACUCUUCCGGUCUCGAUUUGGGACUCCAAGCAAACCUUUCCCCUCAUGAAAUGGUGAUUCACGAGCCUCAUUCCGUAAGGGCGAACCUUCUCCAGUUGACCUAUGAAAUGGAGAAGACCCAUCUGCUGUUUGGGAAUCACUCCAGUAAGUAAGCUGGUUUGAAUCAUUAGUCAAUUUACUCCUUCCAUCCUCACCUCGAGAUAGAUACUUCUGCCCCAAUUUGUGCUUAUAAACAGCUUCCCAUGAAUGCUAUGCAUAUGGAACAAAGCAACAAAGUUUGAAUCAAUAACAAUAAUUCAAAAGAAGAAAAGCUAAAAACAUGCAAACCUUACCAAAACUAUAGUACAUUUGGAAAUGGUUACUUGAGCUCUUAACAUUUUGAAUUUCCUUCCUAAGACUACAUUAAGCAUCUCUGUCAUAACCAGUGAUUGUUUUAAGGCCUCGUUUGGAUGUCAGAAAAAAUUAUCCACUUAUCAUUUAUUCAGUACAAAGAUUUUCUUUGUAAGGGGAAGGUAGGAAGUUAACUUUUGCUCCUUGAAAGGCCUUGGCAUCUAUGAUUUGGUAGGAAUGCAUAUUUCACCUAUGAGCUGAUUUAUCUUUAUUCUGAAAAUGACUCAAAUGCUGAAUAUGCUAUUCCAUUCUAGACAUUUGACCACACUCCUGACUUCCAAUCAUAAUAAAAAAUACUCAUACCGGAUAGGGUAUCACUGGAUAACUUAUUCCGACAUCCAAACAUGGCCUUAGUUUUUUCUAUGGCAUGGUAUGUGACUAAUAUAAUCUAAUGAAAUUUUCUGUCACUUGAUAGAAUACUCUAUUUUUUUGACAGAAACAGCUAAAAGUUCCAUCAAAAUUUGACGGAGUUUCCUCUAAUAAGAAAUCAUGGAACUUCAGGCAGUUAAAUCAAAAGUGUUAUAAGGUUAAUGAAUUCAUUUCAGAAUGUGCCAUAGUUCAAGGUCCUGAAAAAGGGUAGAAGCUUCCAAUUACCUCAUCUCCAGCUUGGCUGAGAGUAGCAUUAUGUGAGCUCCUGAUCAAUGGGCCGGCGCUCCUUCUAGCAUGUGGUGGGGGCGGCGGUCGGCCACGGACCUUCAAUGCGGGAACUGGAUUUAGAAGACAAAGCGAGCUCUUCAGACAGAAUUUCGGAAGAAACCCACAACCGCUGGAAGGAAAAUGCCGCGCAUCAUAAUCGUCAUCUUCCUCCUCUUCCUCAUCAUUCUCAUAGCUCUCCUCUCCUUCUGGCGGCAAUGGUGGCCGCGAAUACUGCAAGUUACUAUUAUAAUUAGGCGUAUGCUGGAAGGGAAGGGGAACCGGCGGCCUCCGCCGGUGAUCUCUGGUCACAACCCUCUCCGGCUGCUUAGGGUUAGCUGCUUUACGAAAAGUGUACUGCGGAGAUCCCGACGCCACGGCUUGGGCGGCGGGCAGGAACCUCCCCAUCAUGAAAUCGCGCGCCAGCAGGUCCUUCGCAAAGCUCUCGCGAGGAGGAUCGGAAGAAGAGUGGGGCAUGCCACUCAGGCCGCUCAUGCUGCAGUUCAUGAAGAAGGACUCUGUUCGCGAUAACGUGUCGCGCGCAUCCGAGAACACAUCAUCGUCAUCGUCAUCAUCACCACCACUAUCACCAUCACCAUCACCAUCUUUCUUACUAUCGGCAUGAAGAGUGCAAUUGUUUGACUCAAUUCUCGGCUGUUCCGGUGGCGGCGGUGGUUGAUCAGUCAUUUCGUCGAACACCUUGUGCGCGCUACUCUCCGCCGGCUCGGGCGAAGCCGUCACCGCCUCAGCAUCGGGAGGCAGCGUCGGAGGCGUGGGGGUGGCCGCGCGGCGGGCGCGGCCGCUGCCGCCGCGCCGGGCCCGUCCUUGGGCUGGCCCGGGCGCUGCUCCCACACGAAGGGGACGACGCCGGGGUUCCGCACCGGCCCCGAUUUCAACUCCGACAUGUACGUCGGAAGCGGCGAUCUCCGCACGCCGUUCGAAGCCGCCGCCGCCGCCGCCGCCGCCAACUCAGCCGCCGCGGGUGGCGGCGCCGCCGCGCCGCUGCCGGAGAAGCGGCGGACGGAGAGGAGCGGGGCGUCGAAAUCGAGGCGCUUGUCCUCCAUCAGGCUCCCCAGCAUCGUCCCCGUCGGAUUCCGAACCCUAGAUCGAACCCAGAUCAACCAAAUCAAGCAAAUCGAAUGCGAAAAAACAAGGUGGAAUCAACGAUAUCUCCCGUGAGAUCGGGUAAAGAUGCAGCAAACGAUCGGCUUUUGAUCGAUUUUGGUGAUGCGAUCGGGGUUAGUGGGGAUUGUUUAGGAACGAAGCGAGCUUCGUCGUUCUCUCUCUAGGAAUUUAGAGAGAGAGAGAGAGAGAGAGAGAGAGAGAGGAGAGUGGAGGGAUCUAUACGUCGGAGGUGUGAGAGUGAGUGCCCGACUGUUACACCAAAUGAGCAUCUUUUUUCUGUGUACCCGUGAUAUAUCACUGUUACACGUAGACUUCUAUCCCCAUGUAGCGUCAAAGUAGGGGAGACAAUUCCGCUCGUGCUCAUAUUCGACUCGAAACGAGUUCGAGAUCGAAUUAUUUAUUUAGUAAACGUGCUAAACACGAGUUGAAUUUUUUAGCUCAUUUUAUAAAUAAGCCGAAUACGAGUUGGAGUCAGUUCGCUCGUACUUGACUCGAUAACAGCUCAAACACACAUAUUUUAUAUAUUUAUAUAAUUUACUUAAUUUAUAUUUAUAUAUAAAUAAAUAAUUAUAUAUAACAUAUAUUUUUAUUAUUUAAUUUUUAGUAAAAUAAAAAUAUAAAUGGGAGCUCAAUUAUAAAAAAAAAUUUAUUUAUAUAUAAAUAUAAAUUAAGUAAAUUAUAUAAAUAUAANAGUAAACAAGCCGAACAUGAGUUGAAUUUUUCAGUUCAUUUAAUAAACGAGCCGAAUACGAUCUCAAUAAUAACUCGAAUACAUAUAUUUUAUAUUUAUAUAUAUAAAUAACAUAUAUUUUUAUUAUUUAAUUUUUAGUAAAAUAAAAAUAUAAAUGGGAGCUCAAUUAUAAAAAAAAAUUUAUUUAUAUAUAAAGUUUUAACUAUUAGAUCAAAAUCUAAUGGAUAAAAUUUUAUAAAUUUUAUAUAUAUAUAUAUCCAAUUUAAUUUUUUUAAUUUAUUUUUUUAACUUUUUGUUCGUUGGUCAGCUUGUGAGUUAGCUCGUGUCGAGCCGAAAUGAAUUUUUUGGCUCGAUACUUUAACGAGCCAGCUCGUGUUUAACUCGUUUAUUAAACGGGCCAAGCACGAGCUGACCCAGCUCGUUCGUGUUCAGCUCAUUAACACCCCUACGUCAAAGUGCAAAUUUCACCACUAGUUCCUAUGCUUUCAGCGAUUUAGUAUUUGACCUUAUACAUCUGGAAUUUAUUUGAAUGACGAAAUAAACUAUCCAAUAAUAAUUUAUUCUACAUAACCGACCGUCCCUAGAGCAAGUGGCAAAGAACUUGGUGGUUGGUAUUCAAGACCCAAGUUUGAAUCUUAGUUGAUUCACAUUUUCAGCUAAGUUUAUUUCUAAAUAAAAUAAACGAAGCAGGUAGCGUGCUACCUAUCUCUAAAAAAAAAACAUAGUAUACUCUUACUAGCCAAAUAAUUUAUUUUAUUUUAAAAAAUAAUUUAAUGAACCAAUCAGAUACUUAUUUAAUAAAAAAAAUUUUAUAUAGGAUUUGGCACAUACAAACAGGAUCUUUAAGUUUGCCAUUUAAAACUCUAAAAUUUGAAAUUAUUUAAAUAGCUCGUAUUCAUAUUUCUUAUUAGGCUAAAAUAUAGGAAAAAGACAUUUGUUUUUUACUCUUUUUUCUUGGGCUUUUAAAAAUUUAUAUUUUAUUUUCUGAAAAUUUUAAGUGAAUGCAUUUAGCUCCUUAAUGUUAUUAACGUUCUAUCACUAUUAUGUCUAUUUCUUAAAAUUUAUAACUGAAUAUACCGAAAAUAUCCUUAAAAUAAGUGAAAUUAUAUUAAAAAUAAUUUUUUCUUAGAACAAGUAAGGACAGUUUAGUUGUUUCAUUUUCUCUGUUAACAUCGUAGCUUUCUGAAAUAUUUCUAAAAUAUAAGAAUAAAAAUUUUUCGCAUUUUAGCGUUAUUAAGAUAAAAUAUUAUCUAUAUCCACCACAUCGCUAUAUUUAUAUGGCAUAUUUUCAUCAAACACUGAUAUUAGAUCUUAUAUUUUAAUUUUAUCAAUUAGGUGCCUAUAGUUUUGCAAUUCUAAAAAAUGCCCAACGGAAAAUGUCGACCUUGAAAAGUUUUAGCACCAAAAUAAAAGUUACCUGUGCUAGCAGUGCUAGGCGUGGCAAUCCAGCCUGUUAUUUGCGAGCCAGCUCGUGUUCGGCUCAAAAUGAGCUCGAAAUCAAACUGCUUAUUUAGUAAACAAGCCGAACAUGAGUUGAAUUUUUCAGUUCAUUUAAUAAACGAGCCGAAUACGAUCUCAAUAAUAACUCGAAUACAUAUAUUUUAUAUUUAUAUAUAUAAAUAAUAUAAAUUUUUAUUAUUUGAUUUUUAGUCCAAUCUAAAUAUAAAGUCCAACUCAAUUAUAAAAAGGUUCAUUUAUGUGUAAAGUUUGAAGGAAAAACUCCAAAAACCCUCCCGUGGUUUCGUAGUUUCUCACUUUGCCCCCCUGUGGUUUAAAAUGUAUCAAUUUGCCCCCAUGUGAUUUCUUUUUUCCCUUUUUCUUAUCAAUUUUAUUAUUUUUUUUUCUUAAAUCAGUGAUAAAGUUAAAAUUAAAGGGUACUAAAGUAAAUAUUUGAUAAAUCUAGAUGAGUAUCUGAAGUUUUUUAUAUAUAAUUUAAUAAAAUAUUAACGAAAAAGAUACCGAAAAGAUAAAAACGAAACCACAGAGGGGCAGUUUGAUAUAUUUUAAAUCAUAGGGGGGCAAAGUGAAAAACUACGAAACCACAGGGGGGGGUUUUUUAAGUUUUCCCAAGUUUUAACCAUUAGAUCAAAGUCCAAUCGGUAAGAUCUCAAAAAUUUAUAUCCUAUAUAUAUCAUUUCUAACCUUUUAACUUAUUGUCCGUGAGUCAGCUCGUGUUCAGCUCGUUAAUAAGCGAGCCGAACAAAAGCUGAAUUUUCAACUCAAUACUUUCAUCAGCCAGCUCGAGGUCGGCUUGCUUAUGAAACGAACUGAAAACGAGCCGAACUCAACUCGCUCGUGUUUAGCUCGUUGACACCCCUAAGUAGUGCUCUUAAUAAAAUAAUAGCUAUAAAAAAAAAUAGAAAGAAAAUAAAAUAAGCUUAUGGAUGAGGUGUCUGAAAGUGGGCUUCUACCUGAAACUUUUUAUGUUUUCAGUGGACUGUUGACCUUGACUGCUAAAAAAUGGAAUCCUACCUAACUGAAUUUCUAGGCCACUAAUCCUACAAAAUUUUAUAAAUAUAAAAUAUCUGUAUUCAAAAUGUUUACUGUAAAAUUAGAUUUAAGCGGUGAAUAAUUUAUCGUUUUCAGAAAGCAAUACUUGUACUAAACUUAUAUAUUUUCUACAUUCGAGCCCUAAAAAUUGUAUAACAUUAAAUAAAAAAUAAUUUAAAAACGGUGAUCAUUUACCGUACAAGACUAAUUUUAAAUAAUUUUUUAAAUAACUAUUUUUAUAAUUUAAUAUUUUUUAAGUUUAUUAAUGGAAAAAAAAACCAACCUAACACCGAUGGACAAGAUUACUAUAUUAGUAGGGGUGAAAACAUAUCGGAUAUGAACGGAUAUUUGAUGAAACCAUAUCCAACUCCCUUUUUUUCUUUUUUUGAAAUGAAUUCACAUACAAAAUAUGUCUGGAAAGUUAAAUUUUUAUUACUAUAUUCACUAAAAAUAGACUCGGAUACAAUCGAAUAUUUCUUUAGAUUCAAAUAUAGAUUGGAAAUGUAUUUAGAUAUUAUUUGAAUGGUAAUAUACAUGACUAAUAUGCACAUAUAAAUAUGAACUAAAAUUACCAACAAUGCAACUAAAGUUUCAUAUUUAUAUCCAAAUUUCUAUAUAUCUAUAUUUAAUUGAAUAAAAUAUAUGAUUUGACAAGCACAAAUGCUAUUUUUAUAUAAAACUUAUAAUAAAAUAAACAAAGCGCACAAAGAAUUAUUUUAUUUUUCUACAAUAUAUUUUAUAUUUUCACAAAAAGCAAUCAAACAACUCCUUAUUUCACCAUAAGUUCUAUUAAACCACCUUUUAUCUCCCAAAAAAAAACAAUAUUUACUCCUUAUCUCCCCACAUAUCAAUCAAAUAAUUUAAAUAGUUAUUUUAUUUUUACAUAUCUAAAAAAUUGAAAACACAAUAUUAAAGCAGGAGAAUGAGAUAUUUGGAUCAAGGGUUUAGAAAAAUAUAAUAUUGUAAUAUAAUUUAAUAUUAUAAAAUAUAAUACUAUUAAAAGAUUCGGAUAUUCAUAUUUAUAUCCAUUUUUUCGUAUAUUUGAAUAAUUUUUAUUUUCUAGAACCAUGCAUAUAUGUGUCCAUAUCCCAUAGAAUCCCGAUAUUUUCUAUCCAAAUAUUAAUAAUAUUAAAUUAGAUAUAAAUGCAACAGUUAUAAUUACGUAUAUUUUGUUUAGUUAAAUAGAAUAGAAAGUGCAGCACUUUUAAGUAUUUUGUUUGAUUAUAUAUGUUGACAAGUGCAUUUAUAGAAUUUUAUUAUUUUAUAGAUAGAAUGAUGAGUUAAAUUCAAAUGCGUAAAAUCAAACGAUAUAUUUGAAUUUGUAUGCAAUUACAACUAUAGUAUAGUUACAAUUAUAUACAAUCAAAGAGGACCUUAAUUAAAAAGAUGGUCAAUGAAUGAUGAUGUUGUAAGAUGUAUGCUCAAAUUUAAUGGGUAAACAAUUAAUGGGCGACAAAAAAAGGGAAGUUAAACUUACCUUCAAAGGUUAAAACAAACACCCUUUUUGAUUAAAAAAAAAAAAAAAAAGUAAGCUCAAUUUAGAGAAUCUGCUUCAACCACACUCAUCAACCACUGAGAAUGGAUAAAGUAGAUCUUAAAAAAUAAUAAUAAUGGUAUUAUUAACUGGUUGACCAUAAUUAUUUUAGUUUUUAUUUACCAUUAAUUUAAGUUUUUAAUAUUUAUAAAAUUAGCAAAUUUCUAAUCUUAUUGACUAUAAUUAUUAAGUAAAAAUAUGAAAUAUAUAUAUUGUAAUCAAUUAAUUGCUAAAAAUAAAUCUAGUAGUAAUCCUAGCACUCCUAACACUCCUCUUCUAAUCCUACAUUGUAAAUAAAAAAAAAAAGAAAAAUAGGCUAUCAGGUACCACAACAACCUUUGUCUUUAGAUAUAAAUCCUUUUUCUUUUGUUUAUUGAUGUGAAGAAGAUUUUGGAUCCUAACCAAUUUGUCUAAUAUAUAUAUAUAUAUAUUCCUAAUAAGGUCCUAUUUGUAUUGCGAUUCAUUUAAUAAUAGCAGGCAAAACAGAAUUGGGGCAAAAACGACAAAAAAAAAUAUAUAUCAUACUAGCUAAUUACGAUAAACAGAUCAUAAUAUUACAUACAAAAAUGAAAAUAAUAUUUUUUGUCGUUUUUUCUCGUCACACGUAACGUAAUUUCUCUCGUAAUCACAAACAAAGCCUAAAUCAGUUAGAUUUGGACAAUCUCCAUGGAACAAAUCAAGAAUUAAGCUAACUUAGGUGAGAGAGAAAGCCAAUGUGGUGUUUUGUGUGGUCACCACAAUUGUUACCUAAUGCUAUUAAAGAGCUAGCUACCAUGCAAUGCAUUUAUGCAUUUUGUUUCCCAACCAAAGGAGAGAAGAACAAGAUUGGCACUAUCCUGAAGCCUGUGUGGCAAGUUGAAAUUUAGCAAUCAAAUGGUUCAUGUGUUGGCAAUCUGAUACGCGCUUUAAUACUAAAUUUUGAGAAUUCGCAAUUCACUUUGAUGCCAACUGCUAUAAAUUCGGUACUCGGUCUAGUAUCUGUCGUUGAGAUUGUGCAACGAAAUUAUGAAAUCAAAUUUUUAUCAUAAAUAUGUUUCUUCAGCAAAAGCUAGGGGUGUAAACGCACGAAACAGCUGGCUCGUUAACAGAUAUCGAGCCGAAAAAUUUAGCUCGUGUUCGGCUCGUUAUUAACGAGCCGAACACAGAUGGCUACGAGCUGGCCAGCGAAUAAUAAAUUUUAAAAAAUAUUAGAUUAAAUAUAUAUAAAAAAUUAAUUUAUAAAAUCUAUCUAUUAGACUUUGAUCUAACAGUGCAAACUUUAUAUAUAAAUGAGUUUUUUAUAAUUAAGCUCGAGUAUAUAUUUUAUUUUGCUAAAAUUUAAAUAAUAAAUAUAUAUUAUAUAUAAUUAUUUAUUAUAUAUAAAAAUAUAAAUUAAUAUAAAUUAUAUAAAAUAUUAAAUAUAUGUUAUCGAGCUGUUAUCGAGCCGACACGAGCAGAGCUGACCCAGCCUCGUGUUCGGCCUUUUAUUAAACGAGCUAAAAAUCCAGCUCGUGUUUCGCUUUACUAAACGAGUGAGCCGAUCUCGAGUCUCAUUUCGAGCCGAACACGAUGCUGCUCUGCGAACAGCGAGCUGAUUGCAUCCCUAGCAAAAGCUGAUCAAAAGAAGAAUUAUAUAUAUAUAUUUUAAUAUAAAAUAGCUUCAAUCUAAACUAUCUUUCUGAAUCACUUUCAUCCUUCUAUCUUCUUCUAUAAAUUCUAGAAGACUUAUCUUUUUUUCCGCCAUGCAUGCGUAGCCAACUCUCUCUCAAAUUUGGACCACCACCGGUUAGCCAUACACCACCCAAGUACAUCAAUAGCUAUUCAAAUCCAACUAGGAUUCAACUAUAGAUUUAUCCAAAUCCUGACAAUGUACAUGUACAAUAGUCGGAUAAAUAAAAAAUAAAAAAAUAAAAAGAACUAGUAUUCAAAUGCCUCUGAUAUAAUCCUCUGCGACAUUAACUCUGAACGAGCGAUGCAUAGUUGUUGAAAAUUGAUGGAUCGUUCGCCAUGCGCUACCAAUACUGAUGUACGAAAACAGAAAAAUCGAACGGUGAGAGAAUAAAUACAGAAAGAAGGUACCAAAAUUUACACCUACGUGCACAGCGAGAGUAAGAAUAACAAACUCACGCCUUAUAUCUUCUCCGAAUCAAAACCAAGAAUCUUAUGAGGAAUCUCAUCUUUCUGUUGUUUUAUCAGAAAACUCAUCAUCAUAAAUAAGAAGACUAAAUUAGAGAAAUAUAUAAACCUCCGACCAAAUUCUAAAUGCCGUUGCUUUGAAGGAUCAGAACCGCUCAGACAACUAGUUAAGAACCACCACUUCGCUGCCGACCUCGAACAUGACGCCGCAUGAAAGUUGUCGAACCUCACGAGAUGCCUCUCUCUCUCUCUCUCUGCUUCACGAGGUUUGUGUUGGGCCGUAUGCUAAUUAAUUAGCUAGAUUUAAUUUCCUAAACUAAUCCAAUUCCAAGUCAACUCGAAUUAGGAGAGAGCCCAAGCCCGAGUCUAAUUAAAAAAUUAAUCUCAAAGCUCUACCUGGACCAAACAAAAAAAAAAGGGGCACAACUUAAACACGUAAGCGCGCGCACUAAUCUUGAGAUAUUUUUAAUUUUUUUAGGGCUUAAGAAUUUUGAAAUUGUACACUGUCACGGCCUGUUAAUAGAGAAGGCGAGAUCGGUACACAUUUCACGUGUCGCUUGUCAGACUCGCUCUCGCGGGAAAAAUUCUAAAAUGCACCACUUAUAUUACUGAUGUGGCACCUUUAAUGAAUUAAGAAGUUUUUCUAAAAUUUAUCGAUCCCAUCAUAAUUUUUUUAAAAAUAUUUUUAUUAUUUUUUAAAAAAUAAGAGAUAUGGUUUAAUUAAACUUUCUAUCAUAAUUUCUAUCAGUUUCCAUAUAUAUAUAUAUAUAUAUAUUCAAGCAUGAAUCAAAUAAGAGGUAAAUUAAACUUUUUGGUCCUCAAACUAUGAGGCGUGUAACACUUUAGUCCUCUAAUUUUAAAUAGUUGUAAUUUUUGAUUCGAACUAUAAGGCAGUGACACUUGUAAACCUCAAACUUUCUGAAUUGCUGCAAUCAAGUUUUACAACCGAAUUUUUUUUAAUACGAAUUAGUAAAUUAAUUACUAACAUAGAAGAGGCGCAAGAUUUUAAUUAUUGCUACAAUUCAGAAAUUUUGAGAACUAAAUUGUCACAUAUCUUCUAGUCCUGAGCCAAAAUAUGUUAUGAAUUAAAGUUUGAAAAUUAAUGUAUCACAUGCCUCAUGGUUCAGGUCAAUAAUUGCAAUAAUUAAAAUUCGGGGGCUAAAGUGUCACAAUGCUCGUAGUUUGAGGACGAAAAAUGUAAUUUACCCAUCAAACAAAUCUAUUUAUUCUACAUGCAUGUGGAAAUUCUGAGAAUGGUAAAGCUAGAAUGCUUCUAAAAAUAAACAAGGUUGUUUACUUUCGUGUUGUUUCCGCUAGGGAAUAUCCGACCAAACGAUCAAUAGUUUAAAUAUGAUCUUGGCUAUCUGAAUUUUCUAUAAAUUUUAUAAAUAUUUUUAAUAUCAUUUGUCAUGUGAUCAAGUGAUCUCAAAUUCAUCUAAGCCACUAAAAAUAGUCAAUUUUAAGACUAUUUGAAUAUUAAGAUAAAUAAUAUAGAAAAAUCAUGAAAUGUAGAAAAUUUAAAUAAUCUAGAUCAAAUUUAAUGAUGCCAAUCACCAUUUCGAAUGUCUCAUUUUUGAAAACGAUGCAAAACGAAUUAACUAAUGCUACAUGUACAUUUCUAGAUACCCAUCAUAAGGCCCAAAUUUUGGCUCGACUUAUUAUUAUUAUUAUUAUAUCACUUUGUCAAUAUCCGUGUUUUCAUUUUUUUCUCCUAACUUUUAAAAACAUAUAUUUUGCUCCCUUAAAAAUUGAGAAAUGUUCACUAUGAGUCUAUGACCCCCAGCGUUAAAAAUCUGUUAGGGUGCUGUUUAUGUCAUAUUAUUAUAUAUUUUUUAUACACAAAAUACUUUCGAAAUUCUCGUCUUAUAUGCGCCUCCUCACCGACGUCUUCAGCUGCGCUACCUCGCCCUCCUCCGCCACCUCGUCCUUGCGCACCCUCUAUCCGUGCCCACACACACACCCACGCCCUCGCCCUCCUCCGUCGCCUUGCCUUAGCCUACCUCUCCUUCCAUGCCCAUCCCGAUCUUCUUCCUACAAUUGCCGAAAUAGAGGGGUGACGAGUUUGCUGGAGGAGCGGGGGAGCAGGCGAAAAAAAUGGAGUCGGAGUUGGGGUCAAGGGAAGGGAGAAAGACAGAGAAGGAGAGGCUGCGAAUGAGCAAGAUUGGGGAGGAGACGAAGAGGAUGAGAGAUAAUUUGGUCAUUUGGUUAUCACAGUUAAGACCGUACUCUUCUGUGAAUAUUUUUUAUUUUUUAAGGAGGCAUAAUGUAGAUUUAUAAAUGAGAUAAGUGAAAAAUCAAAUUUUGCCCAGGGAUUUGCUGUAAUUUAGCCCUUUUUUUUUCUAUGAAGACCUAAAAGAUUUUUGUAAAUCCUAAAACUGAGAGCAUAUAAGAUUUACACCUAUAUAUAAGUAUACCGGCUAUAUUUUCCAAAAGAAAUGUCUAGUGUACUUCUCAAAGUAUUCUAACUUUAAUGUUGUGAGCAUGGCUAUUAUUGAGAGAGUUAUUUGCAAGAUUAACAACAACAGGAGUUUAUAAGAAAAUAUAUAAUAAUUUUUGGCCCGGCACGGCCCGGUCUGGCCCAUUCGUAAAGAGGCCCACCUAUUUAUAGGCCCAAACACUUUGCUGGUCUAAGCUUAGCACACAAUUGAAGUGCAAACAUUUUAUUAUUCAUGAUCACAACAAUAUUCUUUUUUUUGUUCUUUCUCUUGCUUUACAAGAUUAUGACUAAUUCAUUAUUUUCUUUUUGAGUAAUUGUUGCACGCAUAACUUUUUAUUGAAAAAUAAAACUUGAUUUUGUCAAAGUUCCUAAAAAUAUGAAUUAUUCUUUUCUAACUAGAUCGACUAGAGCACUCAAACUGUUCGUUGACGCAAAAGAAUUUUCUUUUUUCCACCAUCACCUAUCCUUAAAAACUAGUUAAGGAGCCUGCGCGAUGUGGCAGAAAAACAAUACAACAGUAAGUUAUUAAAUUAUUAGCAUCACUUUUUUCUAUUAUGCAUUAAUAUUUUUAAAUAUUAUUUAUCUCAGUAUUGAAUAAUUAAAAAUUAAAAAAUAAAUUAAAGAAUGAAAUGAAAGUAUAUUUUUUUUAUAAAAAUAUAUAAACUUAAUAAGUUAAAUGAAUAAAUCAGUUUAAAAUCAAAAUAAAAGCUCAUUACAGUAUUAAAAAAGAUAAAUAAUAUUUUUCUAUUAUCAUCAAGAUAGAAUUUAUAAAUAAAAAAUAUAAAAAAUUAAUUGGAGUGCAAGUACUAUUUUUACUAUUCUUGACGGCAACGUCUUUAUUGUGUCCUCGUUAACUUUUAUUGUUACACGUACAACUAAUAAAGAAUAUAAUUCAGAUUAAUAGUAUACGAAUUAACAAAAUAUUACUCACAUGAACUAAAUAAUAUAAUUUAACUGGAGAACAAAACUAAUAGCAUAAAAACAUCCAAGAAAAAAAAAUCAAAAAUUGAAUUCUCUCAUUUCAAGAUAGUAAUUUGUUACUUUUGAAAAAAAUAAAAAAAUAAUUAAAAUUAUCAAUCAAGCAUCAUGAGUCAAUAAUCACAAUUUGAAGAGUCUUAAUUCAUAUUUGAAUAUGUGAAUAACCCAAUAUACAAAACACGAUUACAUUGCUAAAGGUCUUAUCAUAAUUUUUAUUAAAAGUAAAAAAUUAAAUGCAUUAGAUGCAACUUGCUAAUGGCCUACUAUCUUGUAUCUACUCUUAUGUAGCAAACUAUCUGAGAUGAUUAAANGUCUUAAUUCAUAUUUGAAUAUGUGAAUAACCCAAUAUACAAAACACGAUUACAUUGCUAAAGGUCUUAUCAUAAUUUUUAUUAAAAGUAAAAAAAAAAAUGCAUUAGAUGCAACUUGCUAAUGGCCUACUAUCUUGUAUCUACUCUUAUGUAGCAAACUAUCUGAGAUGAUUAAAAAAUAAUAAAUCAACUUGAUAGAUCAAACCUAAUUGUUCUCAUUUGUCUAAAUUUAAAUAAAAUUUAAAUUACAUAUUUAAAUUGUACAUUAAAAUUUUAAUUCGAAUGCAAAUUCAAAUAUCAAAAUAAAAAUAAAAAAAUUAAGUUUGAAAUCAAAAAUUAAAAAAUUUAAGUUUGAAAUCAAAUUUUAGAUUCAAUUUAAAAUUCAAAUUUAAAAUUUGAAUUGAAUUCUAUUUUAAAUAUGUUAUCGAGUACUAUAUUUAUAUAGUCCGGCUGAAGUACUAUCGAUGCCACCAAGAAUUUGGUGCUAUCGAGUUUUCUACCGUUAGAUUUAACCCUUUGAUUAUUUUUACCCGUUAAAUUAUACUAUUCAACCAACCACUUACUCAACCCUAGGGGGUCCACAUCAUCCUAACCACAAAUUUCUCAAUCCAAGGGCUAAAAAAUCAAUAGCACCAAUAGCUUGGUGCUAUUGAUAGUAUUCCAGCUUAGUUAUAUAUAUAUAUAUAUAUAUAUAGGCUACUAUACUAUCUAUAGUACCGNCAAACUUGAUGGGUGAUUAGAAAGUUAGGAGCACAAGGGCUGCUGUCCUCCUAAUAGCAUAGUAGUCCUACUUAUAUAUAUAUAUAUAUAUAUAUAUAUAGGCUAAUGCUACUAUCCUAUUAAUAGGAUAGGAGCACUUGUCCUAUCAAGUUGUUCUUGACGAUCGAGAUUCCGAAUCGAUGAUCAGAGCCGUUGAAGUUGAUCUAGAGUAUUUGAAAUAUCUAGAAACUAAAUUUCAUAAAUUUUGAUAAUGGUUUACAUGGUGAUCAAAGUGUCGUAAAAUCGAUAAUUUUUGACGGCCUAUAUGAGCCGUUUGCUUGUUUAACGGUGUAGAGCAAUCCAAAUUGCUUGAAUUUUUGAUAGAAAAUUCUUUAUACUAUUUAGAUAAUGUUUGAUAACUCUGAUUACGAACUGAGAAAGUCUAACUAACCUCUAUUUUAAAAAGGUUAUUCAUUUAUGACUGUUCAUUUUUCAACUCUUAAGAUAAACUUGAUAAUGAUUUUAAAAUAAUACAAAAUUUGGUUUCUAAACCUUUCUAAUUGUGUAGAUCAACUUCAACGGUGCCGAUUAUCAAUUUGAAGUUCCGAUCAUUCAAAUCAACUUGAUAGGACAAGAGUCCCAAUCCUAUUAAUAGGAUAGUAGCCGGACUAUAUAUAUAUAGAGUUGGACUGGGUUACUAUUAGUAGCAAAAUUCUAUUGUUGCUACCAGUUUUUUAGCCUUUGGAUCAACUCUUUUCAUUAUUUCUAACCGUUGGAUUAAAUACUAUAACCCAGUGGGGACCACUCAAUUCUAACCGACUAAUAUCAUCUUGGCCCUACAAUUUUUCAUCCAAGGAUUAAAACCUUGAUAGCAAAAAGAAUAUUUUACUAUUAAUAGUAUUCCAGCAUAAUUCUAUAUAUAUAUAUAUAUAUAUAAUUAAAGAGGGAGAGAGAGGUCUACUAAACUCUCUCUCUUAGGCGGUCCACGAGAAGAUGAAGCCCACCUCGUGGACGCGUGCAAAAAUGCUAGUGAACCCCACCAUUUUUGGUGGGCCCCACUGCGGAGAGGCAUUGUUGGUUCCCAAUUCAUAAAUUUAUAAAUAAAUUGCAUUGUUCUUUUUUUUUCUUUUUCUAUAAGGUGAAGCUCCCCCUUUUCUUCUUCUUCUUCUUAAUCUUCUCCUUUAAUUUUCUUCCGGCUUUUUCAAAUUUCUUUGGUACUCCGGCCAAGAAAAAAAAAUUGAGUGAGAAAAUUUCCAACUACGCUUCCUUGGGAGCCCGCAAUCCGCAUAUUAUUUAUGCUUCUAUCAAAGAAUGAUAAUCCUUCUCUUUAGGUAGCGUUUGGUUCGGGUAUAAGUAAGAACUAGCUAUUACAGGGAUAGGUACAAGUAUGGGGAUAAAAAAAAUAGCGUUUGGAUAAAAAUUAGGUUGUUGCCGGGGAUAAGAAAAAUAGCGUUUCAAUAAAUAAUAUGGAAUAAGAAAAAUAGUUGAUAAUUAUAUAUAGAAAAUAGAGGUGUUGGUGGGGAUAGUAAUACUGGUUAUUUUAGGUAUCUGAAAAUUACUAUUCUCGGAUAAAAAAUUUGCGUUUGGGUAUAAAGGGGAUAAGUGGUUAUCCCUCUCCUUAUCCCCAAUCCAAACACUGCCUUACGUUUUUAAAAAAUCUAAAAUUUUGGUAUUAAAAAAUACCUGCAAACAUAGUGAAUGACAAAUAUAUCUCUACAAAAUUCAACUUUUAUAUCUUAUCCCCGCAAAAGUUCAGAUAUUUUCAAAUAUAUUUAUCAGGUUUGUUACUGUCAGAAAACUAUUUAUAUUUUUAAUUUUGCCAUCACAAAUAUGUCCCUCCAAAAGUCAUAACAGUGUAAUAUAAGCGGAGUAAAAAUGUCAAAAAUUAACCAGGAUUAAGUAUUUAACCUAUUAUUAACUAAAUUUUUCUAACGGAUUCUAACUGUAGGGAUAUAUUUGAAAAUAUAAAAAUUUUACAAAAAUAAUAUAUAAAAAUUAAAUUUUAUAAAAAUAUAUUUAUCAUUCAUUAUAUUUAUAAAAAUUUGUAUAAAAUUAACUUUAAAAUUAAGAGUAGGACUACUAUGCUAUUAGGAGCACAACAAUCUUUGUGCUCCUAACUUUCUAAUCAUCCAUCAAUUUUGAUGGAUGAUUCGGACGAGAUAGAGAAUAGAAAUUCAAAUAGAAGAAAAAUUAAGACACCCAAUUUCUUUCCAAUUUUUCUUCGCUUUUUCAUUUUAACCAUCCAUCAAAUUAAUAAAUAAUUAAAAAAUUAAAAGCAUAUAAAAAUUACUGUACUCAUACAGUAGUCCUGCUCCUAAAAUUAAUAUAUAGUCCUGCUCCUAAUGUUUUGGGACAGUCCCUCCCCGCUGAAAUUUUAUCCUGCCUGCUGCUGCAGCUGAAAUUUUAUGCCCGAGACGAGAUCUGCGGGAUCUGCUGGGGAUUGCUGGCGAUGAUGAUGGACGGCGAUGAUGGAGACGGCGAUGGGACGUCUGGAUGGGAUUGCCGGCGAGUGUGUGGACGGGCGUUGCGUGGCGGCGCGAUUCGCGGGAUUUCUGCCACAUCGUGCGGCACGAAGAGGGAGGGAGAGGGUAGAUAAAAUAGGUAUUAAGUGCUUCAAAUGAGGUUAAAAUACCAAAAAAAGGAAAAAAAAAAAAAAGAAAAUGCUUGUUUUGCUCUUUUUUUUUUUCUUUUUUUUUCUAUUUUUUUUUAAGGUACCUCUAAAAAUGUAUAUUUUAUUUUUUAAAAAAAUUUAAAAAUAUUUUUAGAAAAUUGUGAUAUUAAUAAAAAGAAUAAAAUGAUCAAAUUAUUUUUAUUAGUUGUUUCCACACGCUAUUCUUAUUUUAAAAAUUUUAAAUUUAAAAUUAAAAUGUAAAAAAAUUUAAAUUUAAAUUAAAAGUUUUAAAUUUUAUAAUUUUAAAUUCAAAAUGUAAACUUUAAAAUUUUAUAUUUUAAAUUUAAAAUUUAAAAUUUUAUGCGUUAAAAUUUAAAAUUAAAAUUUGAUACUUUAUAUUUUCAAAUUUAAAUUUGAUCUUGAAUUUAAAGUUUGAAAUUAAAAAUUAUUAAUUUUGAAUUUAAAGUUGAAAUUUAAAAUUUAUAAUUUUGAACUUAAAAUAUGAUUUUAAAUUUUAAAUUUUAAUUUAAAAAUAUAAGUAUAAAUUAAAAAUUCAAAAUUCAAUAUUAUGAGAGUGGUAAUAAUUAUUUUUAUUUAAAUUAUUUACUAUCCUAUUUAUUCUAUAUUUAUUUUUAUUCUCAGGAGAAUAAACUAAUUUUUAUCCACACGCCAAAAAUUGGUAUUUUAUACAUUGUUUCUGAAACAGGCAGUUCUUAUUUUAUCCGAAAUCAAAUGAUACAUAUGGUAAUAUAUGUAGUUUUUGAAAGUCAGAAAAGAUAAUUGAAAAGAUGAGUAUUAUCAAGAGUUUUCUAUAUUUUAGCCUUAAAAUAAUUAGGAGUACUAAGUUGAUCAUAAUUUCACGGGUGUGUAAAUAUAAAGAAAAAAAAAUGUACACUUAUCUAAACUAUAAGACCAUCUGGAUUUUGCUAUCCAAUAUUUCGAAAUUUUUAAAUUUAUUAUCCGAUUUUUUAAUUUGUUUAAUUUCAAUCAAUCAACGAUAGUUUUAAUUUUUAAAAUUUAAGUAAUUAAUAUACGAAUUUAUAAUGUCGAUAAUUGCAGUAAAAUAUUGAUUAAAUCUGUAAAGAUAAAUAAUCCAUUCAAAUUGUAAAUUCAAACACUCGUUCACUGAUUCAAAUCAAAAAUCGGAAAAACAUAUAAUACCAUCCUAUGGUUUCACACUUUUUCACUUUAGUGCCAUGUGGUUUAAAGUGUAUCAAUUUAGUGCCCUAUGGUCUUCAUUUUUAUCUUUUUUAUAAUCAAUUCCACUAAUUUUUUUUGUUAAAUUAGUGACAAAGUUAAAACUAAAGGUACUUAAAGUGAAUAUUCGAUAACCUAGGUGGAGUAUCUAAAGUUUUUUGUUGUAAUUUAACAAAUAUUAAUGGAUAAGCUUGAUGAAAAGAUAAAAAUAAAACCACAGGACUACUAACUUGAUAACACUUUAAACCACAUGUACUAAAAUGAGAAAAUACAAAACCGACAUGAAGGGUAUUUAAAGUUUACCCAUAAAAAAAACUGAAAUAUGGAUAGUCAAAUCAAAUGUUUAAUAGUUCAGAUAAGUCGUAUACAUUUUUACCUUAAAAAUAAUUAGCACGCAUAUAGAGUAUAUUUUUAGGGAUGUAUAUAUAUAUAAAUUGAGCUAGAAUACUUUUAGAAGCUAUCAAUCUGUUGGUGCUUCUAAGUUUUUAGCCCUUGGAUCUACUCCUUAAUUACUAAUACCCUUGAUUCAAACACUAUUCCAACUACACCACCUACCACCAGCUGCACUAUCAUCAUCAACCAUCUACAUUCUUCCAUCACAUGUAAAAACGUUAAAAAGCACCAACCCCGUGGUGCUUUCUGAAGUAUUCUAGCUCAACUAUUAUUAUAUAAUAUAUAUUAUAUAUAACUAUAUAUAUAUAUAUAUAUAUGAAAUAGGGAUUAAGGUAUUGGUGCAAUUUCAAGUAUAAUCUUCUAAAACUCCAAAAUAUCCAAAAUAUAAUAGAUGCUCUUUCUAGAUCUAAAAUAUCGUCAAUCUAUAUAUCUAUACCUUAUCUAUACCUCUAUAUCUUCUACACAUUAUUUUCUCUAAAUUUGUCACAUGGCAACGUUCGCUUUAUUGUUGGGUGUGGGCUCCACCCCGAACUUGCUCAAAUCCAUUUUUGUCUUUCUUUACUUGAACCAAACCGAAAUUUUAUCUUUCUUUGCUUGAACCAAUCCAAUUAUUAUUGAGUGUGGGUUCUCCCAAACCGGCUCAAGUCCUCCACAUAUUUUUUUCUUUUUUUUCUUGAACCUAACUGGGUUUUCCUUUUUUUUUUAUUAAACCGAACCGGAUCACACCUCUACAUUGGACCGAACUAUUCCUAUUCCACUUUUUUUGGCUAUUACCUUCAUUCAUCGGCAAGAUGAAUCUCACUCCUUAUCGUCACUUCUUCCAUCGCCGUUUCCUCUUCCUUUGUCGUCAUUUUCUACUUUUUUUCUAAUUAUCUACUCGUCGCAUCACACAGAUUACUACAUUAGUCUAUAUCUAUAUAUUAUAUAUAUCUAAAGUGGGUGGGAGAAGGUAUAGAGGGGGCACAUGGACACAUAUUAUAUUAGUUAAUUUAGUGCACCCGGUGCACCAUAAACCAUACUAAGUGGGUGGAGGAAGAUGGGAAGGGACACAAGUUGUGUCGGUUAAUUCAGUGCACCUGGUGCACUAUAAAAGGGUAAAUUGUAUUGUUACCUGAACUUUUGGCGAAGUUUCACUUUACCCCUCGAAUUCUAAAAUAGACAUCUGACACCCUAAACUCUAAUAUUUCAUUCACGUUACUCCUUCCAUCAGUUUUCCGUCAAGCUCCGUUAACCAGAAACUGACGGAAGGGGUAAAACGAAUGAAAUAUUAGAGUUUAGGGUGUUAGAUGCCUAUCUUAGGAGUUUAGGGGGUUAAGUGAAACUCGCCAAAAGUUCAGGAGGUAACAAUGCAAUUUAUCCCGACUAUAAAUUAUUUUUAUAUUAAAAAUUUUUAAUUGGCUGAAAUGAAGUACACAAAUUUUAUUUAAGUGUAUUUUCUAGAGCAAUACUUAUAAAGAUAAAAGAGACAAACAAGUACUACAGAAAAUUAACUGAAAAUUAAAAUAUCUAUAUCCGAGUGAGGUCGCCUAUUGUAAAGCAACCAUAUUAGUGAGUACGCCAGGAUAGUAGAGUGUUCGAGCAUCGUAGGUAAUUAGUAUCACUAUUUUUUUAUCUUUAAGCCACUCUAUUCAUUUCUUUCGCCUUUAUUUUAUUACAAUAAAAUAUAGAAUAAAUUAUGUUAUGAUUUAUUUUAGAAUAAAAAAUAUAUAUAAAUUCAAAAUCAAGUAUGAUCACUAACUUGAGGAUUAGUAAUAAAUUAUGUUAUGAUUUAUUUUAGAAUAAAAAAUAUAUAUAAAUUCAAAAUCAAGUAUGAUCACUAACUUGAGGAUUAGUAGUCAAUCCAUAAGUAAAAUAUUAUAAUAAAAUAAUUUAUAGUCAAGAGUCCUCAACGGGGUAAAUUGCACUACUACCUUUUGAACUUUUAGCGAGUUUCAUUUAACUCCCCAAACUCCUAAAAUAGACAUUUAACACCCUAAACUCUAAUAUUUCAUUAAUUUUACCCCUUCCGUCAGUUUCUUGUUAACGGAGCUUGAUGAAAAACUGACGGAAGGGAUAAUAUGAACGAAAUAUUAGAGUUUAGGGUGUUAGAUGUCUAUUUUAAGAGUUCGAGGGGUAAAGUAAAACUUCGCGAAAAGUUCAGGGGGUAACAAUACAAUUUACCUCACUAUAAAACAUAACCAAAUAUCAUAAACUUUAAUUAAUUAAUAAACAAAAAAAUUAUCUAUUAUCUAUUAUCUAUUAUCUAUUACUAUAUACUAAAGUGCGUGAGAUUCUUCUUUUAUUGACGUGUCCGGCUCAACUACUCAGUACACCCGAUGCAUCGUAGACCGUUGAUUAUCGACAUAUGUAUGGUCUAUGAAGGUCUAUGAAAAAAUCUUAGGUGCAUCUGAUUUAUUUCUAUCUAUUCUUUCUUCUACAUUAAAAAAGGGUUUGAGGAUGACACGUAUCCCCCAAAACCCUCACCUCCUCUCACUCCUUACCUAUAUAUAGAUAGGGUUUUAAAAUUUUAUAUUAUAAAAUUCUAAAUUUUGGAUAUCGAAAUUUUAAUUUAUUCCUAAAUUUUCAACUUUAAAAUUUUAAAUUUUAAAUCCUAAACUAUAUAGAAUUUUGAGGUAUUUUUCUAAAUUGCUUUAAUUCAUUGUCCACAAACUACUAAACCAAUGAGAAUACACAUUCAUUUUUUGUCAUUUAUCUAUUGUAAGUCCAAAUUUUAGAACAAAUUAAAUCUUUUCACGUUGGUGCUUAAUUGUGGUAAAUUUAAAAACUUCUUACAAAAUUAAAUACAUGUUCAUAAAUUCAAAAAAAAUUAUAAAGUCAGUCAAUUAAAAACCUACGAAUCAAAUAACUACUUUUUAUUUUAUCAUAAUAUUUUCAAUUCUCGAUAUUGCUUGCAUGGGUCAACAAAGUUACAAAAAUGAUCUGAAUAGAGUUAGAAGAAUAAGAAUUUAAAAAACACAAAAAGAUGAUAUGUAUUUUUUAAAACAAACUGGCGUAAAAAUAAACAUGUUACAAACUCUUCCUUUUUACUUCUGAAAAUUUUGAAAGUUUACGGAAUCUCAAGAAUCUAAAUUUAAACUAUAAAAUAUCUAGAGACAAAAUCUGUAACAAAAUUUUUUAUUUUGAAAUCAGAUAUUGAUACAAAAAACAAGGCCAUCGUACCCGCAACAAAGCGCGGGUACAUCGCUAGCAUUCUUUUAAAACACAAAAAUAAUUAUCCCAUUAAACAUAGAAAUCUAUCGCAAAUAUCCUCCUAAACUUCAAAAUCUUAGCCUAAACCCUAAACCCUGUUGUAUAUACAAGGACGGCAAUGAUAUUUUACACUUUGAGGGGUAUUUAUGAAGUUACCAGUUUGUAGAGGACAUUAAAUUAUAUGUGUGUGAGUUACAUAGUUCUUAGGCUUAGUUUGGUAUUAAGGCCUAUCUAACGCUAUUUGAUAAAAUGGAGUUGUGAAAAAAGCAUAUAGGGAUAUGCUUUUGCGUUCUCCAGUGGGAUCGCAGAAAAUAUAGCGUAACCGACUCAUCGUGAUAUGCGGAACGCAAUAUUACGUACGGAAACAAACAUGGUAUUUUUCCAACGUACUUUCUCACCGCACGUAACGCAAUCUCCCGGCAAUUCCGAACGAAGCCUUACACGAUGGGUAAAGUUUAGGGUUAAUUUCAUACAGAUCCCUGCAAACAUGGUGAAUAGCAGAUAUAUAUUCCUGCAAAAUUCAACUUUCAUAAGUUAUCUCUGCAAAAGUCCAAUGUAUUCAGAUAUAUCCCUACCGUUAAUACCCGUUAGAAAAAUCUAGUUAACCACACUUAGGGCGUGUUUGGUUCGAAGUCGGAGUCGGAAUCGGAAUCGGAAUCAAAAUAAGUUGGAAUCGGAAUUGGAAUGACUCAUUACCUAAUUCUGUUUGGUUCAUCACCUGAAUCGAAAUCGGAAUAAAUCAUUCCCAUUGUCGGUGUUUGGUUCAGAUGGAUAUAAAAACAUAAUCAAAUGAAUAUACUAACAUUAUCUUUAUAAUAUAUUAAUUUAAAUUUAAAUUAAAAUUAAAUAUUAAAAAUUUACAUCAAAAUUUUAAACUUAAUAGGUGAGUUGAAGUUUCAAAUUAAAAAAAAUUUUUUUUAUCUAAAUUUUAAAACUGUAAUAAAGNNNNNNCUUUGAAGUUGAGUGGAUAAUUCAAAAUAUGAAACUAAAUUUUGAUUUAUUCAAAUUCAAACUUAAAAUUAUAAUUUAAAUUUUAAUUUGAAUUCAUAAAUUUAAUUUAAGUUUGAAAAAAAAAUGAAUAAACUUUAUAUAAAUUAAAAUUUAAUUUAAAUUCAAAUUCAUAAGUUAGAUUCGAAAUACUUGAUUAAAUUUUAAUUUUUAAUUUAAGUUCAAAUUAAAAUUUAAAAUUAUAUAUUUAAUUUCUAAAUUUUAACUCAUAUUUUAAUUAAAAAAGUUGAAAAAAUAAAUUUAAUCCAAAUAAAUAUCUAUUCCGCCCGAAUUCAACUUUCAAUCCGGCCUUCUAGGCCGGAUUGAAAAAAUGGUGAUUGAGCGAUUCCCAUUCCACUCGAAAAUCGGAAUCGGAAUGGGACUCCCACGUACCAAACACCCACAAACGGAUUCACUCAUUCCCAUUCCGAUUCCAUGGUGAAAAAGAAGCGAACCAAACACGCCCUUAAAAUAUUUAACCAUGAUUAGUUAAUAAGGUAAAAUGAUAUUUUUACCUUUCUUCCUCUUCCCCUUCCUCUUCUUCUUCCUCUUCCUCUCCUGCUUCUUCUUCUUCCUCUUCCAUUUUGUAUCCUCAUUUUCCUCCUCUUUUUCUCCUCCUCCUUCUUCUUCGUCGUCUUCGUCGAUGAUCCGAUCGUCGUCGCCGUCGUGGUGCCCGCGUGGGCCGUCGUCACGGGCGCCUCCGACGUCAUCGACUGCGCCUUGGCCUUCCGCUUCUUCCUUGUCCUCGUUGGCCGCAAUCCCGACAAACUCCGCAAGGUGGCCGUCGCCGCCGUCCGCUCCCACAACAUGAAGAGGAAAAGGAAGAUGAAGAGGACAAGGGCAAAAUAGUCAUUUCACAACUCUACUGUUAAAAUAUUAACAGUUCUCUAACAUAUCUAAACCAGAGGGACAUAUCUGAAUACAUUAGGGUUUUUGCAGGAAUAACUUAUGAAAGUUGAAUUUUACAGGAGUAUAUCUGCUAUUCACCAUAUUUGCAGGGAUCUAUAUGAAAUUAAUCCUAAAAUUUAAAUCUAAGAGACCAAAAAUUAAGAUCUAAACUAUUAAAUAUGAUAAAAAAAUAAAAAGAAUGUCUGUAAAGUUUUAUAAAUAUUAAAAAUUAAUUUCUUAUAUAUCGAAUGAUGUGAAACGAAGAAUCCAAAAUUUUCUGGGAAGCAUAAUCAGCAUUAUAUUGAAAACUAAAGGUAUAGAUUUCGAAAAAUUUUAGGGAGUGAAAAAAUAUUACAGAUAUUUUAGAGUGCUUAGCUGGCCCGCUUAAACCCUAAGUCCUAAACUCUAAAUUGAAAUUUGAAUUUAAAUUUGAAUUCAAUGGAUUUUGAAAAUUCAUAUUCAAACUCGAGUCUGACCAAAAAUAUGAAACCGAAAUCCGAACUCAAACCCAAAAAUCCGAACCCGAAAUAAUUAUUUCUCAUUAUCGUAUUUCAAAAACAUAUUAUUUUUAAAAUCUCAAAAUUUUAAAUUACAAGCUAAAUAAAAUUUAACAUCAAAUAUUAUAAGGUAAAAACAAUUCGGUUUGGGUCGGGUUCAAGUUCGGGUCACGUCAGAAUAAAAUCCAUACUCGAAUUCAAAUCUAUCAAGUUUUCUUUUUCUAUGCCCAUCUGUUUAGUAUCGAGUAAACUCACUCCGAUCGAAUUCGGAUUCAAAAUAAAAUUUUUGGUAUUUGUACCAUUGACAUCCCUAAACAAACAUUUAAGUGCAAGUAAUAUUUCCACACCCAUUUGAUUAUGGUUAACCCUCUAACCAAAAUAUACUCUUCUAAAAGUUAAUUUCAUUAGUAAAUAGAUAUUUGAAGAAUUUUUUUAAAAUUAAUAAGAAUAUUUUGUCCUAUUUAAAUUAAAUAUUUUUAAAAUUUUGUACAAAAAAAAACUUAUUAUAUAUAUUUACUAAUGAAAUUAACUUUUAGUUGCUCAAAACAUCCAUAAUUUAACAAAUACUUAUUUAUUUUAUCUAUAAUUUUUUAAAUAAAAAAAUAAUAUUUAUAAAUCAUAAAUUUAUAAAUAAUUUGUGAAUAUCUGCAUAUACCAAUUAAGAUAGUGAAAUCUAGUCCUCGUAUAAGAGAAAACAAUGAUUAGUUUAGAUUUUUUUUUUUUUUGUGGUUUUCGAAAUAUUUUAUGUGGUGUGUGAAAUGUGCACGUAAACGACCGCUGCCGGUAACAAUCUUUCUUGUGUGCGCCUUUUCCUCGCUGUCUUCCCGCCCCCCUUAUUUAUUCGGCGCUCCUUCGCCCGCAGACGUACGCCAAAAAACGAAAAGCGACGACCGACCGCUGGUCCUCGCAGCACGCCCCCAUCACAAUCCAACGGCGGGCAGCUCACCUUUCUCUCUCCCCCCACCUGAUAGCGAGAUUAUCGAGGAUCACUCCCCCGCUUUUCCAACUCUACCCCUCCCACCUCUUUUUGUUUCACCAAGCAAAAAUAUUUUGUUUGGUUCGGAAAUAAAUAAAAAAUGACUAUUUCAAAAAUAGAUAUAUAAAUCAAAAAUAUAAAGAGGAUUAGAUAGGUAUAAAUUACAAGAUUUUUUUAUAAAUAUCAUUUUUUUAAUUUUUUCUCGCUAAUUUUUUUAAAAAUAUUCUUUCCCCUCUUAAUAUUUUAAAUUAGGAAAAAUUUCGAAUACCAUCCCUAUAGUUUCGCAUCUUUUAACUUUAGUAUCAUACUAUCAUGUGGUUUAAAGUGUGUCAAUUUAGUACUCGGUGGUUUCGCACUUUCUUACUUUAGUAUCAUAUGGUUUAAAAUGCAUCAAUGUAGUACCCUGUGGUUUUUUUUUUUUUCUUUUCGACAAAUUAUAUACAAAAUACUUCAAAUAUUCUACCUAAGUUUAUCGAAUAUUUACUUUAGUACCUUUAGUUUUAACUCUGUUACUGAUUUUAUUUUCCUCCAUUAAUAUUUCGUUAAAUUAUAUACAAAAAAACGUAAGAUACCCUAUCUAGGUUUAUCGAAUAUUUACUUUAGUACCUUUAGUUUUAACUCUGUUACUGAUUUUAUUUUCCUCCAUUAAUAUUUCGUUAAAUUAUAUACAAAAAAACGUAAGAUACCCUAUCUAGGUUUAUCGAAUAUUCACUUGUACCCCAUAAUUUUAACUUUGUCACUAAUUUAAUGAAAAUAAUUAGUGAAAUAGAUAAUUAAAAAAAAAAAAAAACCACAGGGUACGAACUUGAUACACUUUAAACCAUAGAGUACUAAAGUGAGAAAGUACGAAACCAUAAGGGCUAACUUGAUACACUUUAAAUCACAUGGUACUAAAGUGAGAAAAAUGUGAAAACCACAAAGGGAGUAUUUAAAGAUUACCCUUUAAAUUAUUACAUUUAACCUUUCUCUCUCAUAGUUUCAUUACUGUUCCGUUCAUUUCUUAUAAUUUAUAUCAAAAAUAUUUUUUAAAAUAACAAAAAUAUAUUAAAAAACUAUUUUUUUUAAAAAAAAAUAAUUUGAUCAUUUUACUUUCUUCAUUAAUGUUUUUUUAAAAUAUUUUUAAAAUUUUAAGAGAAUAAAUUAUAAAAUUUUGAGACUGAGAGAGUGAAAGUGAAAAAGUAAGUGUUUAUAGAAAAGUUUUCUAUAAUCUAGCCGAAAUAUUUUAAAGGCGGUUUGGUUCUUCAAAAAAUAUAAAAAAAUUGAGAAAAAAUAUUUUAAAAAACUUUUUUUUAGUUUUCUAUCUAUUUGAUUUUAAAACAAAUUAACUUUUUAAAAAACUAGUCUUUUAGUUUUUCUAAAAAGAGAUUCAAAAAAUUAAAACACGAAUUUUUAUGAAAUUCCACAAUUUUUUUUUUAAAAAAACCUAGUUCUUUGGAAACAACUGGACAAAAAAGUGAAAAUGAGUUUUUUCUUUUUUUUUUUUUUACUGCUUGAUGCAUUUAGCCUUGUCUAUUAAGAUUUCAUUACUGUUUUAUCUAUUUCAUAAAUAUUUUUUAAAAUAGUAAAAAAUAUAUCAAAAUAUUAUUUCGUUUACUCUAGAACAACCAAAAAGACAAUUUGAUCAUUUCACCCUUUUGAUCAACGUUGUAAUUUUUUGAAAAUAUUUCUAAAAUUUUGAGGAGGAAAAAAACAUAGGUUUUAAAAAUCAAGAAGGAAAAGUUAAAAAAUGAUAUAUUUACAAAAAUAUUUUCUAUAUUUUAGCUAAUUUUUUAUUUGCAACAAAUAAAUUUCAAACUGAUCAUUCCCAACGCAAGUUAUUAAGAACUUGAUAGGUUAAAUCCAAGGUAAUAAAUUUGAAACUUAAUUACUUAUACAUUUUUAGUUAAAGAAUUGUUUGGAUUUUAGAAAGCGUAUGAAAGAGGUUUUUCGAAAAAAAAAAAUUUAUGGAAUUUUUUUUUUUUCAAUUUUUCGUCUGUUUGGUAUUAUAAAAAACUAGCAAUUUUAAAAUUUAUAUUUCUGAUUUUAUAGAAAACUAGUGUUUUUGUUUUUUGACGCUAGUUUCUAUAAAAUCGAACCCUUUUUUUUUCAAAAAAGCUAUUUUUUCUUGAAAAUAAAUGGGUGAAAACAAGAGAGAAAAACCUUUAUUUUCCUUAUUUUUUUUCAUACUUUUGCAAGAAAACCAAAAAAAUCCUUUAUUUAUUAAUAACAUGCACGAAGUAGAUACCAUGCUAUUUUUAUCUCAAAAAAAAAAAUAAAUUUUACAAUAUUUUACAAAUUAUGUAAUUUAAUGGUUGGAUUUCAAUCUCAAUAUUAAAAGUCAUGCUUAGCUUCUCGUGAUUUAUACUUUAUUAUUAAUUAAUACCAGCUACGCUCUUCUACAAAGUAUUGUAAAUUAAUCAAUUUGUAAGCAUAAUAUUACUCUUCAACAUAAUAGAUUGAAGUGAGACUUCGAGGUAAACUAGAGUUCAAGUAAAACUUACUUCCUCCUGUUCUUCAUUUAUAGAGCUGUGAAAUUGAAGUUUUUCGAGAUCUAUUUUUUAUUUGGUAAGAAAUGAAUGACGUGAAAAUUAAAGAUGUGAAAAAUGAAUUAAUAUUUUAUUAUUAUUAUUAUUAUAUCGUAAUUGACUUUUAGUUUGGGGCACUGUCUUGAGGACAUUGAGAUUUAACUAAAGAUGAAGUUACGGUGAUCUAAAUAAAGAAAGUAGACAUUUACUGCUAAAAACCACUUUACCCAUUUCUAGGUGAAAUAAACACACAAAUUAAAAGUGAUUUCUCUAGAACUAAAAUCUAGAUAACAAUUAUUUAUUUUUUUACGGGGGUCAUUCAUCCUAGAACUACUCCCGUUCUAAUACGUUUUAACUCUCUUAACCUCUUGGAUCUAGCCACCACCUAAAAUACUUAAGCCGGAUUAUUAUGUCUAGUCCAAAAUCACUAGACGAUGUAAAACUUGUCUCGUAAGGCUUUGUCAUUCACUGACCCUGAUUUAAUUUGUCAGCCUAAGAAUGUUAGCUGAUGUGAGACUUGUCUCGUUAGCUUUUGUCAUUCUGAUCAUAAUUUAGCCUGUCAUUCAUCAACUCUGGCUCAGCCAAGACUCACCUCAUAUUUUCGACCGGUGAAUCGGCUCUGAUACCAAAUAUAACAACCCAACCCGCUAGCAAUAAUAACUUGUUGGAUCCAAACUAUCGACCAAACUAUUAAACCUAGUUAUUAUUAUUAGGGUGGAGUCCUCUUGUAUACCCAAAAAAAACUCAAUUCUCAUCCGAUGUUCGAGCUAUCACCUUAUCUUUUAGGCAGGGACUCAGUCGAAACUUGCCACACAUUUUUCUGCUGGUGAAUAGCUCUAAUACCAAUUAUAAUAAUCCAAUCCACUAGCAACAAUAUCCAGACCCUGGUAUAGCGGUUCACCUUAUCAUUCAGACUCCAGCAUCACCUAUCACCUUGUCUUUUAGACCCUAACUCAGUCGAGACUCGCAACAUAUUUUCAGUUAGUGAACUGGCUCUGAUACCAAUUAUAACGACCCUACCCGUCAGUAACAAUAACUUGUUGGGUCCAAACCACCGGCUCAAAAUGUUUAAGCCUAAUUAUUAUUAUUAGCGUGUAAGCUUUAUAUAUUCUAAUCAAAAUUAUUUUUCCAUCCUACUAAUAAUACUAACUCGUUGGGCCAAACCAUCGGCUUAAAAUGCUUAAGCUCAGUUAUUAUUACUAGCAUAUAGGCUUCAUAUAUUCUAAUCAGAAUUAGUUUUUUCACUCGAUGUGAGACAAUUGCGGUGUUACAAACUCUCAUUGUCCUCGUCGAGUCCAAAUCAGAUUACAGAUGCAAACCAAAAUUAGCAGGCGGUGUAAGAUUCAAAAGGUAACUCCCAUCAAAUUCGUUGGUGUAGCACUUUGUUCCACAUAACACUUAGCUCUCACACUUCCGGCUGACAUUCGGUUCUAAUACCAACUAUGAUGUCCCAAUUUCUCAGGUGGUCAUCCAUUCUAGGACUAUUCUCGUCCUAACACGCUUAACUCUCUUAUCCAUCGCCCAGCACAAAGUUAAUUACAACGUUAUGAUAAAUAGAGUCACGAAGAAAUUUAAUUUAUAAUAAAUUGGCCAACCAAAAUAAGCAUUCACAACCGAAAACAACUUCGCCUCUCUGCACUUUCGGCAAAAGGAACGUGCCCUUAGCCGUAUGUCAAUAUUUAAUUUUCGUUCUAAUCACGUACCGGAAAUUUAUUGUCUAUUAAUUAAUUAAUAAUAAUAAUAUAAUACAAUAUAUAUUAUUAUAUUAUAUAUUUAAUUUUUUGAAUAAAUUGUUUGGUGAAUAAUAAUAAUAAUAAAUAUAAAUAUAAAUAAAAUAAUAAUAAUAAUAAUUUGUGCCUCUUCCCUCGCGUUUCCCGGUCAAACCGUCCCCAGAUCCAACGGCGGUGAUGCUCCGAUCCGCUUUCCCUCGCCCCCCCGGCCCUCGCCUGACCCAUCACGCGCCAACACGUCGGCGCACGCGUACCCCCCGCCACAUGCUUCGCACGCGCUUUCGCACGUCCGGCGCCCCCCGCCGCUCCUUUUUCCUUCCCCCCAACCCCCCAACCCCAACCCUAACCUAACCCUAAUCCCCCCCCCCCCUCCCCUCCCCAGUUCCCAAGACCUACCGAUCCCACACAGAAAAAAAAAGGGGUGGGCGAAGCAACACGAACGUAGAACAACGUAGGACUUGAUCAAAAAGAUAAAUUUGUAGGAAAGUUAUAUUAUUUGUCACAUCCAGGGAUGGAAGUGAACUAGUGACGAAAGUUGAAGGGUUUUAAUGAAAACUAUAGGACUGAGUAACAAUUUUGGAUAGUUUAGGGACUAACGCUUACAAAUCGCCCGUUUAUUAGUUUCUCCAACAUAAAUAAUUAGAAGUCACUAAAAAAAUAAUAAUAAUAAAUAAUAAAUUAAAAAAAGGUAGCAAAACCUUUGCGCUCCUCACGAGCGAGAGGACGCCGAAGCUCGAUCCCCUCCAUCUCCUCCGCGAUACCCUAACCUAGAGAGAGAGAGAGAGAGAGAGAGAGAGAGAGGAGGAGGAGGAGGAGGAGAUUGAGAGGGAUUACUUACUAGGGUUUGGAGGAGGAGAUGGAGGGGAGGGAGACGAGGGGGCCGCCGAACCCGGCGCUGCCGUACAGGGAGGAUUGCUGGAGCGAGGGGGAGACGUCGGCGUUGGUGGAGGCGUGGGGCGACCGGUACCUCGAGCUGAACAGGGGGAACCUCCGCCAGAAGCACUGGCAGGAGGUCGCCGACGCCGUCAACUCCCGCCGCGGCGCCGCCGUCUCCGCCGGAGCCGGAGGAGGAGGAGGAGGAGGGGGAGGGAGACGGCCGCCGCGCACCGACGUGCAGUGCAAGAACCGGAUCGACACCCUCAAGAAGAAGUACAAGGUCGAGAAGGCCCGCAUCGCCGACUCCGCCGGCGCCCUCCAUAGCCCCUGGCCCUUCUACGCCCGCCUCGACGCCCUCAUCGGCUCCUCCACACCCCCCGCCGCCCCUCACUCCUCCGCAUCCGCCUCCGCCUCCGCCUCCGCCGCCCCUAAAAAGCCCUCCUCCUCCCCUCCCUUCGCCCUCCCCCUGCCCUUCCACCGCAAGGGCUUCCGCAAGGCGGCCGCCGCCGCCGCGGCGGCCGCGGCCGACGACGACGAGGACGAGGAGUCCGGAUCGUCGUCGAGGUCGCUUUCCUCGCGGUCGAAGUUGGGGAAGCGGAGGAGGGGGAGGGAGCGGGACGAUGGGGACGGGAUCCGGGAGCUGGCGAGGGCGAUCGAGAGGUUCGCGGAGAUCUACGAACGGGUGGAGGGGGCGAAGCAGCGGCAGAUGAUGGAGCUGGAGAAGCAGCGGAUGGAGUUCGCCAAGGGGCUGGAGUUCCAGCGGAUGCAGAUCUUCGUCGACUCGCAGGUCCAGCUCGAGAAGAUCAAGCGCUCCAAGCGGGCGGACGCCGGGGAGCCGAUUAGAUCCGUCGCUGCCCUUCAUUUCCUUUCUACCCCGCGGUUCUUUGGAUGAACUAAAGUGCUCGACCGUUCGAUCUCUAGGUAUAAGAUUCUAUUCCUUUUCUUUGCUUUUGAUUUUAUAUACGUUUCGACGAAUGUGAUUUACGUAUUCUAUACAUCUCUAUCUUUAGAUCUUUACUUUUGGUCUUGUCAUCUUUUUUUUGUUGUUAGAAGAAUAGUAAUCGAGUUUUUCUUUCCUUUGAAGUUGUUUAAAUAGGAAAUUGGAGGCGUCAGAUUGGUGUAUUGUGUUAUGUGUUGAUGUCGAGGUGAGUACUGUAGGUAGAUAUUAUUUCAAUCAAUUGAGAGUAGGUUUUAUUCGGAAUUGCCUUUUUUAGGUAGUAUAGAUGUGCUUGGUGCCAUUGAGUGCUUGUUGGUUAGGAGGUGAAGAUAGUGAAUCUUACAAAUUUGAAUUUGUUAGGUAAUUUAGUGGUAUUAUUUCCACUGUUAGAGAGAUUUUGUAAUUAAUGGAGCCUCUGUUAUCUCAAUUAAAAUUGUUGUGUUGUUAUGGAGGUGAUUUCUGUAAGCACCUGUCUAGUUUUCAUUAGAUAUCGGUGAGAAACUAAAUGCAACUUUGACAUGAUGCACAUAUGUAAUGUGCAUUCACUAGCCCAAUUGAUUUUGGUUUACGAAAUCUAUGAAGCUGAUUGCUUUUCGAUGUUUGUAUUUUCAUAAGUUGUUUUUUAUAUGAACGAAGUGGUCUCUUCUAUUUUGGUGACUAGAUAGUUAGGAAACAAAGGUUAAAUAAUGUCAAAAUUAGAUGAUACAUUGCUUCUUGAAGUUCCAGUUAUUCAUGUUGCUUAGCUAGAGAUGUAAUCUGUAAGAGCCUUUCCACUUGGAUUCUUAUUAAGAAUCAUGUUUUGUCUUUAUUAAUGACCCGUGCUUGUUGAAUAUGAGUGAUGAUUCCUAACCAAUCACUAUGAUGCCUUCAAGUUUUUCAAACUUUGUGAUUAAGCUUCAUAUAUACUGGAGAUAGUUCAAAAGAUGCCAUGUAUUCUACAUAGAAAUUGCAUUCUUACUUCGAUGUUUUUCUGUUCAUCCUCUAUGAACGAUUUGCAAUGGUGAACAAAUUAUCCUUCAUCGUCCUAAUAUCCUAUUAUUUUUCAUUUUUAAGCCUAGAGUGUUUGGCACAUUGAACUAAUAGCUAGAAGAUUCUUGAAAGUGUUUUUUUUUUUUUUUGUUUUUUAACACUUAUGCAUGGUAGAUGCUUAUUUGAAAUAUUAAACACUGCUGGUUUUUGAUCUGGUGGAGAAUUAUAUAUCUGUGAUAAGAGUAUGCAUGAUGUGGUUAUAUUUACCUGUCAAAAUAAGAGUAAUAUUAUUUAUAGGUUUUUCUCUUCUUUGUAUACUGCUUAACAGCCAUUGUGUUUGUGGCCUCGGCCGUUUUGCCUUUUUAUCCUCCACCUACUACUAAUAUUUUGUGCUACUGAGGUGCCCUUGUUAUCUUUUAUGUUGACACGCACUGCUUGAUGGGAAUUGGUCUUUCUUGCUAAUUUUAACUCGAAACUUUUGCAUCUAUCAUCUGUUGAACUUUAUUAAACCAUUAGACAUGGUAAAGUAAAUAUUGUGAGUGAUUAAAGCAAUAUUGCUGAUUAAAACACCACUUCUCUACAAUACUCCUCGAAAAAGUCUUUACAGGUUGUAAAAUCGAAUCGUCGUUUUAGCUUCUCAAGUUAACCAUCUCCAGGAGAGUAAAUGAUUUACAGCUUGCAAUAAGUGCGUUACAUGAAAUUCAAUUCAUCAGUCAAACUUCUUCUGCCUGAUUGGAAGCAACCUGGGGGAGCACAUCUGUAGAGCUUCAAGCAUCUAACGUGCCAAUCUGAUAUUUCUUUACAUUUGUCAUAGUGGGAAAAACUAACAUGGUUAUUUGAGAGUGAGUUUAGUCGAAACAAUACGUAAACUCUAGUGUUAGUUGAGUUCAACUAGGUGCUGAGAAAGUAUUGUAUAAAGACCCGUGGUUAUAUCCUUUUCAAGAGCUUUCUUCAGUUGUGGGGAAUAGAUUUUUGGUCUCCUCAUACUUGUUGUCGUAAAUGUCAAUUCAUGGCAUGAGAAUAUUGGGUAUAGAUCAAUUACAUUGGAAAUUAUAUGCUAUUCUUUUGUUUCAUUUGCCUAAUGCUUCAAUCUUUCUUUUUGGCAACCAGCAAAGAUAGGUUUGUAAUUUGUCCUCGAGGAAUAAUUGUUUCUGUUUUUACUAUGCUGGUUUGUUCUUCUACACCUCAUAAACACAUGGCAGUAUCGUGUCUCAUUUAUUAGUUUUCCUGUAGAAAAGUUGAUUAGAGAAUCAUGUGUUACCUUUGUGAUCUUUUUUUGAUUCUGAUCUAAUUAGUUGUAUUAGGUUGCACAUGCUGCAUGCGCAACUUUAGUUUGUCUGCCACGUAUAAGUUUUGAAAACCUUUGAACUCUAUCAUGGCUUGAUUAUUCAAUGUUCUGUUGGAAACCUUCUAGAUUAGAGACCACAAUUAAUCUUCCAGUCUUUAUAUAACUGGUAUAUACGCCGCAAGGACUAUUUGCUGCUGCUGAUUAGUUAAAGAUCAAGUUGAAGCCAAAAUAAAAAAGAAAAUAACGAGGAUAUUGCUGUAUUCACAUUAGUGUCUUCCUAAACCUAAAAUGGUAGGAAGCUUCACGCAUAUCUGACAUAGGACUCCUGAUCAACGUCUGCUAAACAUCUAGAGCUUCCCAUGUAUAUUUUCUUUAUCACCUACUUCAUGCACAUAUAAAACGAGACUUUUCAGGACCAUCAACAAAUUAUCAGAAAAAUUUCUCCAGUGUGACCUGAAAAUCUUAUAUUGCAUUCGCAUUUCCGUCGCUCCUGGUCCUUGCUAAAAUUUGUCCACUUUAUCCUACGUCCCAUUGCUCUUACUAUCUAAUCGAAAGCAUUUCAUGCACAUCCUUUUCCCGUUCUUAUUCUUCAUGUUGACGUAUGUUGCAGCUGACAUAUCUGAUAGGUUUUCACAAUCAUGGAGUUUAGUGGCCAUAAGAAGUGUGUGUAACUGUGGCCACUUAUUCUGUCUGUGUUCAAGUGAGUGAAGAAAGAUCCGCACACACAUUCACACCACCAGUUUGUGUAUGUCCCUGUGUCGGUGUUUGUUCUUGUAACGCAUGGAAUCAAUGUUUAAGGAAUAAAUUAACAUGCAUGUGUAUGCAUGCUGGUGUGCAUGUAUAUUUUUGUUGUCUGUGCAUGCCUUUUUCUUUCUGUGGAUGUGCUUGGGUCCUAGGAUUUUGAAGAGAGAGGCAUAUUAAAAAUAAGAUUGUGUAUGUGGGAGAAAGGUUUGGACCUUACUUGCAAUAUUGGCGUAAGGAGCAAGUUUAUGCAACUACUGAAAGUAAAUCGAAAAAAAAAUGGAUGAUGCUAUGGUGAAACAUCUCCAGCAAGACCUUACUGAGAUGGUUUAAAGGAGUUCUGUCUUUGCGUUCUAUAUUGGUGAAUAAAUCAGCAUAAAGAGGAAUGUAGAGGAAUGUUUGUAUGGUCUAUUUAUAUUAUGGCUUGGAUAUGCUUGGUUGAUUAGCUGACGAAGUGCUCUAUUCUGGUAUUUGAGAAUCUGCAACACUUGAUUUAGAAAGAACGACACUUUUAUUAUUGGUAUGAGUGGUCAUAGUAUUAGUUAGAUUUACUUCUUUCUGAUAUAUUUGCUGGAACUAAAAGAAACUAAAUAACAGAAGGCUUAUCCUUGAAUUGCGUCAACAGGUUAGACUUCCGGUAGGUCAAUUUAGCUCGAACAAGUGCAGACCCAUUUUGCCUAAUGGGUCGGCCCAACUUGCAAACUUUUGGUAGGGAAGCAGAAAAGAAGAUGCGAAGAGGAAGAGUGUGACAGAAGUGUUGAGGUGGAGGAUAAAGAAAAUGGGGGAAAGAUUGCAAGAGUUUAGGUGCAUGACAAUGUUCCUGAUGAAAGGUCACUGCAAAAGUCAAAGAGGAAGACAGGAGGGGUUGGUGAUUUUGAGAUUUGGGUGGGAAGCAGAAGGGUCAUGGUGAGAAGAGGUAAAGGGGGACUAUGGGUGUAAGGGGAGGGAGGUUAUGAUCUGAUCUGACUUGCAUCUGGUUGACUAAUCUCCUCUUAAACCCAAACGGUAUAAUCAUCAGGUCUAGUUAAACUAGUUUGUUUAGUUCUGGACUUUAGGUUGGCUUUGCCUGUUUGGGGUUUUGUAUUACCACCAUUUAUAGGAACUAAAUAGGAGUCUUCAAAGAAGUUUUGUUGCGGUACCAAGAUGAAGUGAUGUCAGUAUCAGCAUGUUACUACAGCAGUUGUAGACAAAAUUGUGCACACCACUUACUCUGGCUUAACACUAAUAAUAAUAAUAUAUACAAUAUAAAGCAAUAUAAUCUUAGGAGAUACUAUCAUUUUCCCUAGGAUUGAUAAGAGGCUUGUUGAGACUGCCCUUGAACUGGAUCAAGGACACUAAGAUUCUACAAACUAUGAAAUUUAACUUCAAUUGUUUUACCAACAAGAAUUACUUACAACUGGAAAUAACUGGUGAAUAGAAGGAAAAUUGGGAAAAUUCGAGAGAAGUUAAUGUGCUAAUCAAUAGCAUUUUGUAUAAUUUGAAUGUUCGUGUUUCUCAUUGAGCCCAUUUAAUUCGAACCUUAAAUUAAAUUUGGAAAUUUAACAAAAAGUGCAUAUUUAGACCAAGGUCUGUCCUCUAGGGUUUGUAUUGUGGAUGACCCGUAUUUUAGCAUAACUUGACCUAUUUGUUGCUCCAAGUUAGAUAGUCUAAAUCGGGUAAAUACUAAUAAUGGCCGCAAUAGUUUACUUGAAUCAUAAAUUGACUGUUGGGCUAGAUGUAUUCAUCAGAAUAUAAUGAUCUGCAUUUGAAAUUAUCAUUAAAUAUGAGCAGCAACAUUGUUUACUUUUGUGCCAUUGAGAUGGGUAAAAGACUAACAAAGUAUCUACCAUUCCUCUCUCUCUUAAAAAAAAAAAAAAAAAAAUCAAAUUUGAGGUCCAUUUAUGAAGUUAUCUGAAUUUGCACAAUGAUUUAAAUACCGAUGAUGGCAUUUAUAUUUGCUACCUAAUUUAUUGUUUAAAUAUUGCUUGUUCUUCAGAUUACAUGUAGCUUGCCGUGGAACAAGUAUUGCUGUUAGGUGGCGGGCCUUCAUAACUUAAACGUGUUGCGAAUAUUCGCUGUCAUCUUCGAACCGCGAUUUGGUGGAUGGUGGUCGUUUCUUGGUAGAUCCUCCUCAUAUUGUAAUUCUGAAGGAACUUUGGAUAUAUGUAGUAAUAGCAGUAGCUGAUGCCCUAACAAUGGCUUUUUGUUAUUUACGUCUGGUAGAUAACUGCGGCUAGAAACUUUCUAGGCCCUUUGUUGCUUGUUUAUGUUAGAAAACAGACGUACAUUAUUUAGUUCAUCUUUUUCCUUUUCUUUUGCUGCUGCACCACAUUUCGCCUCCAUUUAAUGUGAUUACUCAAGUUCCUCAAAAUUUGCCUUGCACUGAUCAUCAUAGAAAUUUUUAUUAGAUGUCCUGAAUGUAGAGUCCUUUCGACAAAAGGGAGCUACAAGGCCUUAGUAGUAGUGUAAUAUUGUGGCUAAAAGCACCGUUUUUAUAUUUUGGGUGACCCAAAUGUUUCCGAAAUUGUUUUCAAUCUUUUGUUUCUCCAAUGCUAUAAAGUUACGGUAGAAAUCUUCAUUGGAGGAGAGAAAAUUGAACAUAUUCUCAAAAUUUUUGGGCCAUCGAAAGCAUAGAACUAAUGCUUUUAGCCACCACGUUGUCAAACUAUGCCUAGCAGGUGUUCUCUGGUGAUCUGUUGCUGCCAAGGAAGUCCUACUGGUAGCUGUUGUAGAAGUGUUGUUUAGAUAAGAGCUGCUUGGAGAAGCACAAACAGCUUGGCAUUUUAAUAUUUCCCGCCGUCAACUGCUUGCGGCAGCAGCAGUCGAAAUUUCAAAUGCAUGUUAGCAUCUUGGUAAAAAGCUGGGAUAUAUGGAUGGAGUCCCUCUUCAAGUGAGUCAUCUUUGCUUUGCCUGGUUCGGUGAAAGCCGCGGUGCUAUGAAAAAUCACAGAUUGUUUUAGCUUCUGUUGCUUGUUUUUGAUGGAGCUGCUGCUGGUGCUCUGAAGAAAUAUGAAGUACAUCAAUUGUUUUUUUGUUUUGAAGGAGAGUAAUUAUUAUUUAUUAGUUUUUAGUGAAGCUAUAGAGGAAGAUGGACCAAAGAAGAAGUUACUUGCGAAGAUUGCGAGGGAUAUUCGACGCUGCAGUUACAAUACUUUUUAUUAUUACUUUCAUCAGCAACUAUAAGAUAAUAGUUUUCUCGGCUUAGGGUGGGAUGGUACUAUUUCGUACAUUUAUAUGGUCCAGCUAUUAUAUUUUUAUUAGUACAUUUAUCAUUUUCGAUGAUAGAACUUUCGUAUCGAUAAUUUAUACGACUAAAUAUAAUUUGAAGCAUUUAAACAUUCUCAAAUACCUAAUUUAGUAAUAUUUAGACUUCGAUGUACCUUAUUAUCAAAUGACUCUGUAUAUAAAUCAUAAUUGGUUGAAUUUUUAAUAAAAAUUUUUAUUUACUAUUUAGAUCAAAAUUAAUAACUCGGAUUUAAAAUUUUUUUUAAAAAUUAAUUCUUUACUUUUAAGAGCUCGUUUGAUUUUGACCUUUUAUUUUAUACUCGCCCAAUGAAUUUUAUUAUGAAUGCGAAAAAUUAUAAAAUUUAAUUUCUACAUAAUUCAAAUACUUCGUAUCAUGUUAUUGCCACGGAUCAUCGAGUCUCUAUGAUCUAAAAUAAUUUAUAAAAAUAUAAAGGCUUUCAAAUGUAAAGACUUUCGUACUUUUUUUUUGAAAAGAAGUAGGAAGCUAUCAAUUUCAUUUCAUUAGACAAAAUGAGCUAAGCAUACAAGAUAAAAGUUGUUGAGGCUUCUGAAGAAAAGAGAGACAUAAGUAAGAAAAAAUAAGAAGUGAAAGAAAAGGAAAUACAGAUAAUAAAAGAAGUUUUGGCUGAGAUAGGGGUCAAGCGGUUGGCGAUCAGUGGAUCUCAUUCCAAGAGGCCAGCAAGAGUUUGACAUGCUCAAUCGAUCAGGUAGGUUUGGGGAGUUUCGCUCAGAAGAUAAUGUUAUACCUCUCUGUCCAGACGACUCACCAGAUUGCCAACAAAAGGGUUAAACGUUUUGUUCUCUUCACAGUAUCAUUAGGCUAGUUGUCCUUAACUAGAGUACACGAACGUCGUCCGAGACGUCAGCGAGAAUCUCCGAACCAUCCACACAUAGAAAAAGGUAUCAAACAAACAUGCAGUUAUACAAGAGAUGAUCGCAGCUUUCCGCAAUAAAAGCACAGAAAGCGCAAUGUUGCUCCACCUACCGACCUCGUAUAAGCAGUCUAUUGGCCGUAAGAAUUCUUUUACGUAAAAGCAUCCAAAUGAAUACUUUAAUUUUAGCGGGGAUUUUUAGUCGCCAGAUAAAAGGGCUCAUCAAGUCUCUCUGUUUAGCGUCAGUGAGAAACAUAUAAAUGGAUUUGACGAUAAACAAUUGAUUUGAGGUCCAGCGCCAGUUGACCGAAUCUGGCUUACUGUUAGGGCGGAAGGGUUGAAGUAGGUCCCUAAAUGACGUCAACUGUCUGCGAUUUUUUGCUGAAUGGGACGCUGCAAAACCACGGCAGAUGAAGCGCCAUCUCUAGCCGUUUGGAUUCUAGCAUUGAGACACUUUAACCUUCUUAUUCCUUAUCCGGUGCAAUACCUACUGAGGCGCUUUGAAGACGGAGAGAUAGAACAACAGCAGAUCGGGGAUUGAGGCGCUUUGAAGAUGGAGAGGUAGAAUAGCGGCAGAUUCGUGAAGACAGAGUUGACAAGGAUGAGCCUAUCCCUUUGGGAGAGUAGGGUGUAAAAAAUAGUGUUAUAGCUCUACUCUUUAAGUAGACAAAUGGCCCAUCCGUGCUUGGAAUUACCAGGUGGAGUUUGUGCCAGGAGCGUGUUUGAAAUUUAAUAAAAUGGAGAAUCACAAAAUCGCCAGUUUAUUAAUGAAGCCAGAGUUCACUUUGAACUCAGUGACUCGAUACCGAUAUCAGAGAAAGUCAACCGUGGAAGUGAGCCCAACUUCAACACGAACAAACACCCAGCCCCACAUAGGCUGGCUGGAAACCAGGUCUGGAAAUGCAUUUGAAGCCAAAAGAAAAAAAAUUUAAAAAACAAAAACAAAAACAAAACCCACAGUACGAACGAGCUUCGCGCACCCUCCUUUUUUUUUUUUUUUUUUUUUUUUUUUUCUUAGGAGGGAGAUGUUGAUCAAGAGAAAAUCNUUUUUUUUUUUUUUUUUUUGUUUUUCUUUUCUACGCUGAAACACACGAGGGUACACGAAUAAAUGUUUUUCUAUGCUUAAAUACAACAACAUAGCACCUGAGAUACGAAAUUCUACGGUAAAAGAAACCACUAAACCAAUAUGAAAAGAAUCUUACUUAUUUGCUUGGCUCGGGUCAUAUUCACCCCCCCAAAAAAAACAGAAUAAAAGAAAAAGAAGAAAAAGAGCACAGGAUGAAGGUCAAAGAGACUUGGGGCCAUCACAAGUAAGUGAUUGGUGCAAAAUCAAGCAAUUCCUGUCAUGAGCUGCUGCUGGUGCUCUACCUUUCUCUCUAUAUUUGCUCCCAGAGAAAGAAGCUUGGCUUCGAAAUUUUCAUAGCCUCUAUCGAUAUGAGACACGCCGCUGAUCUCGGUCACCCCUUCCACCGCCAUUCCUGCUAGAACGAGGGCCGCCCCGCCUCUCAAAUCGGCGGCCUCAACUGGGCAGCCAGAAAGCGCAGCGCUGGGCCAGGAAUGAAAGUAUUGAGAGAGCAAACAAAUCUAUUUACACUUUGUUACACACACACACACACACACACACACACACACAUAUAUAUAUAUAUAUAUAUAUAAGAAAACGAGUGGAAUUGAUCUAGACUUCAGGUUAUUUGCAAAACGACUGUCCAACCUUGGAACCUGUUCAUUUACUUUUCUAACAUUUUAAUUUCUUUGAUUUUAGUCUUGAAAAUGUCGCCGAUGUUGCACGCACACCAACUCCGCAUACUGUGCUGUCCAUGAUGCAUCUCAUGUGUUUCUUCCAACCAUCUAUAUAUCAUGAACACUUCUGUAAGACUCGUGUGUCCGAUAUGGACAUGCGCAAACGUCCGUGUCAAACUCGUGUCCGACGCGGACACACCAUGGACGCACGUUCGAUGCGGGUUCAUAGAGCAUCUCAUUGAAAAAAUAUAUGUAGUCUUUUUAUUUUACUUUCUUUUAUGUAUAUAUAAUAUAAGAUAAUGAAGAUUUUAGCUUUUUGAUGAAUGCAUAUUAUUAACUAAUUUCGUGGUGGAGAUUGAAUCAUCAAAGAUGGAACGAUGGAGUCGCAGUGCAUAAAUGAAUGGAUGGACUGGCUGCAUGCAAUAGUUUCUCAGUACCGUCAUAUGACUCAACUCAGGUGACUUGCUGUUAAGACUAAAAUUUUCAAAAAGUUGGGCAGUCGUUUCAAAAUGAUCUAAAGUUCAAGAAAGUCAUGACCUGGGAGAUGCUGGGAGAAAGAAUUACCUUCUGUGCCUUUUUCCUUGGAUAAAUGCCGAACUUCCGGAGAGUCUGAUUCUGGCGCCGAGUUUCUGAAGCUCUUUCACUACCACCAGCAGAAGAAAAAUAAUCAAGGUUGAUCAGAUUUAACUUGACAUUAAAUCUAUGCUGUGCGCGUAGUAUUGAGUAUCACAUCAUGCAUAUCGGAUUUGGAUACGAAUGAAUUAGUUUUAUGUUACUUUUUUAGGAUAAAUUGCACCAUUAGUUGUUGAACAUAUCACGAGAUCUUACUUAGGUCACCAAAUUUUUAUAUGUUGAAAUUGAUGCACAGAAAUUGUGGUUAGAAAGAGAUGACUUGGCAGUUGAUUUAGUUGCCACCUGCCUUGUCAUCCCUAGAUUGACAUGGCCGCCAUUGGCAGUUGUCUUCGAGAGUACGUUACAGCUGAGUUACUUACCACAUCAUCUCUCCAAUAGGAAAAUUGAACAGCAUUUAACUUUGGACCGCAUAAAACGAUGUUCAGUACAAUACUUGCAACAAUUUAAAAUUUGGUGCACUAAGGGGGUGUUUGGUUUUCCAGAAAAUAUCCAAGAAAAUAAUUUUUAACUGGAAAAGUAUUUUCUGUCUGUUUGGUUCCUAGGAAGAGUAGUUUUCUUGGAAAAUUUUUUUUCCAUAUUUCAUAUUAAAGUAUUGUUUUCGUUUUCCAAAUUUUCUAUCUGGAAAACGAGAAGUGUGGAAAAGGAUGUUUUCCAUGGAAAACUUUUUUACCAGAGAAAUAGUUUUCAAGCUUUUCCAACUAACCAAACACACCCUAAAGUGAAAUUUCGCAGCAAGUUCAACGACAAGUAGUGUAAUUUAACUGCUAUUUUCUGGCUAGGAAAUUGAGAUCAUGAACCCAAAAUGGGCAUAUAGCUAGAUAAAAGCAGUUGAAAAUGUACCAACUUGAAACAGAAGAAACAACCUUAGAAAACAACCGAAUUGUUUUACCACAUACCGUGAUGCAUACGAUUCUCAAAGACAGAUUCUUCCACGACACUUAACCCACUACACGUUGUUAGUAACGCCAUGAACUGAGGCUGGAGAUCGGUAGGGAACCCAGGAUACGGAAGCGUUUUCAGAUAAAACCCUUGAAGGUCUCCAUUAUUUGGCGAACUCAGAGCAGAUACCUGUAAAGCCCACACAGUCUCUCAGAGUCCUGAUUUUUAAUACCAGGAAGAUGAGUUUACUACCUAAAAGAACUCCUACCUCAAGAAUAUGACGUCCCUUCUGAAUAAUCUUGCAACCAGCAGCAGAAAGCUUGUCCAUAAUACUAGUUAAAUGACCAGGGAUCACAGGAGACAAUGAAAUACAAGAGCGUGUAAUUGCUGCAGCUACCAUUAAUGUACCAGCUUCUAUCCUAUCAGGGAUUAUAGUGAAUUCAGCGCCAUGUAAACGCUUUUUACCAUUAAUAACAAGUGUGCUUGUCCCAGCCCCUUCAAUUUGUGCGCCACAGGUAACAAGAAACUUAGCAAGGUCAGCAACUUCAGGCUCCUGUAGGUCAGUUAGCCACAUUAAUUUGCAGUUGAAUAUAUAUAUAUCCUGAUAUCAAUGCAGCACCAAAGAAAAGAAAGUAAAGUUUCAUUGUUCAGAAUCUCACUCGAGCUACGUUAGAGAGUAUAGUCACUCCAUCAGCCAAAGAAGCUGCCGUCAUUAGAGUUUCGGUUGCUCCGACGCUAGGAUAAUCAAGAUGAAAUUGACCUCCGACAAGUCCUUUCCCAUUCGCUGCCUCGACACGAACUUUCCCAUGCCUACAAAGUGCGGCUACAUAUUCAGUGGCUGACGCUCCAGAUGUUAAUUAGUAUGUUAGAAUUCUUAUAGAAAAAUGCGGGAUUAUUUUGCGUUCCACAUUACUACAUAAACAUAUAUUGCGUCGCUAUUUCAUCCAGGCCAGGCUCAAGUCCAGCAAACAUUGACUCAUCUCGACCUCACCCAAAACAACAAGCCAAAAUCAUACAAUCAAAGUUGUCUUUUAAUUGGGUUGGCCGACAAGCACGAUAGAUAGUCUGACCGAUUUGCAUCCCCGCCGCAGUAGGGUCUAUGCAGCUAGAGUGGUUAAUUUGACCAAUUACCCAGUCCCGGUUAAAUCCGGAGUCAAUCCCAACCUGAACCUGAUUAAUACCUGAGGUACUACUGAUCAGCAGGGUCUGGUCACAAGAAAGGGCCUGUUAAAAUUCGGGUCCGGUUGUGGGUUUAGUAGAUGUAGGGCUUCAACCAAGACAUGGUUUCUAUCUUCAAUUAAAUAUAUAUUUGGUUAUAUAAUAUUAAGGAGAGCUGGAUUAAUAAUUGGAGGCUACAAACUUACAAUAGCAUCUUUAUUAACUUAUAAUUGCUUGCAUGAAUGAUACCUCCUUUUUUGUCAAUUUUUCAUAAUAGUUUGUUUAUUUGUUUCUCAUUAUUCUUCAAUACUACUCGUUUUACUUUGAUAUGAAGAUAGGUAGGCCAAAAGUAUAGAAACCACAUGUCCAAAUGAUUAUGUCGUAGGUCCGAAACAUCGUUUUCUCGACACUUUUCUUAAUCAACUGUCGAUUUCGUCCAAUAAUAGAAGAAUCUACCAACAGCAAUAAAUUACAAAGAACUCACAUCAUCCACACAAACAAGUAGUACAUGACAAACUAUAAAUACUACAACGUUUUAUGCAUCUCCUCGCAAGCAAAUAAACAAAGGGUUUGAGCUUCUUCAACAGUUACCUCAAUUGGACGACGGCGCCGAGCGCGGCGAGGCCGCGGAGGUAAAGAUCGAUCGGCCGCGCCCCGAUCCUGCACCCGCCCGGGAGCGCCACCUCCGCCUCGCCGAAGCGCGCCACGAGCGGUCCCAGCACGAAGAACCCGGCGCGGAUCCUCCCAAUCGCUUCCGAAUCGGGCUCCACCGAGGUCACGGCGCCCGCGUCGACGACGACCUCCCCGCCGCCGUGCUCCUCCACGCGCGCCCCGAGGGAGCGGAGCACCGCGGCCAUGGUGCGGGUGUCGGAGAGGUCGGGGACCCCGCGGAGCGCGAAGGCGCCGGAGGAGCAGCAGAGGGCGCCGGCGAGGACGGCGAGGGCGGCGUUCUUGGAGCCGCUGACGCCGACGUGGCCGGCGAGGCGGCCGCCGCCGGAGACGACGAGGCGGUGGUCUGCGUCGGCGUUAGCGGCGGCGUCGGCGGAGGCUGCGGAGAUGGGCCGCGGAGGGAGGCGGCGGAGGCGGAGGGGGGAGGGGGACGGGGAGGGGGAGGGGGAGGGGAAGGGGAGGGAGGAGGAGGAGAGGAGGGCCAUGGGAGGGUUGAGGUGGGACUCAUUGUUAGGGUUAGGGUUUUUGGAGUGGUGUGCGCUCCACGUUUUCACCGUGCUCUCUCUCUCUCUCGCUUCUCUUUCUUCUCUCACCUCGGUGCUCUGCUUCAGUCACGGCGCCGAGCUCCGUCUCGGGAGUCGAGCAGUGUGGCCGUAGGAAGAAGUAAUUAUUUCGUGCACCGCAUGUAUUUAAAAAAACAUUGAAUGCAUAUUGGUCCCGCAAAUAUUUAACACUGUAUAAUUUGGCACUUUCUCCGAUCCACGUAGCAUCCUUAAUUUUGGUUCAUUCCAGUGGCGAUGUUAUCUCUUAUCAGAGCUCUCUCUUUUCCCAUCUCCCACCUGAGCCUCUCUCCCUUCAUCUCCCCUGCCAGCUGGCCCUCUCUCUCUUCACACCCUCUCUCUCUCUCUCUCUUCCCCCUCUCCAGCUGGCCCCUUCUUUCUUCCCCUCUCCUACCUUUCUUCUCCCCCCCCCCCCCCCCCCCCCUUCUCUCACCUUCCCUGCAAGCUGGCCCUCUCUCUCUCUCCACCAACCGCACGUCUUCCCUAUCCACUUUGUCUCUCUCUCUUCCCCACUGUCCAGAUGCCCCCCUCUCUCUACCCCUCUCUUAACCGGGUCUCUCAUUCUCUUCCCCUCUCCUCCAAGUGGCUAUGUCACGCCCCGGGGUCCCUUUUAAGUUUGGAAAAACAGCGAAAACGACUAUUUUUUUUUUUUUUUUGAAGCACCUGACCCCAGAGUAUGUCAGAUCCGCCACAAAUACAGGAAAUCCACUGUUCACACGGACAGAGUCUCCCCUAUAUUUGCACGGCGUCGCACAAGUACAAAAGUACAAGCAGUAUACAACCACAACUAAAUGUAUAUACAGAUAGCUAUACGUUCAUACAUUUACCAUUCACACCGUAGUUUUACAUUCGAUGUUUAAACAAAAGUCCACGAAAAAUCUUUUAAAAACUGUUCCAUACGCGAAAACUUUUAUCUUUUAUAAAAGCUACCACGAGGGGUAGAAAACCUUUUAUUUUACCAAAUCCAGAAAUUCUUUUAUUACAUUCAUGAAAGUCCACAUAUUCCAAUGUAAUAAAAAUACUGAACCAUAUAAACUGACUAAGCUAUAACAACAGAAUAGUAGGGAUAAAACUAAACCGAUAAUCUGGGUCGGAAGCUCUAUCGACCGCUACGAACGUACCUCACGGCUCGUCCCAAAACUCAACGUCUGCAAUAUCUGAAAAAUAGUGGGGGAGGUGAGAACAUGUAAACAUGUCUCCCCUCCCAGUGGGUACCGCAAGCCGAAGAAGGCGAGGAGUACUCACCGGAUCAGGAAGAGAUAAACAACAGUAUGGGUAAGUAAAAUACAGUAGCAACGAUAAUGAACGAAUGAGAUAUAUAUAUGAAAGCACAACUACUGCUACUGUAAUGUACAACUGCAAGCAUACAAGGAUAUCAAAACAAUAGUAGCAAGACAACUAUAAAGAAAGAACUAGAAAUAUAUAUGCAACAACCGCUACUAUAGCUAUAUGCGUCAACCGGACGAGAAGUCCAAAAGUACCCAAUCUAAACCGCCGUGUCGGUCUAAGGACCUCAGGCAAAAGCCACUACCUGCUCACACCUGGCAUGUAACCCUAGCACAAAGAGAACACCGCUGGGCUCACGGGUCGGAUUUACGACCAUUUUUCCGGAAAAGAACACCCUCCUGCGGGGGAUCAACCCGCUGGUGUACGUGAAAUGCACUCGAGCUGCGGCGAUCAAUGCGGAUAUGAUCAAUAGCCAAAUGUCGGCAACCAGCCGACAAUCACCGCCCCUCGGGGCAAACCGACCAAUAGGUCAUCAAACUAUAAAGAAGCACAAGAACCGACCACUCAAGUCAACUAGGAUGGAACGACUCUACAUCCUCUCAACUGUAUGUAAGUAUUGACUAAUCAAGUCAACUGGGAUGGAACAACUCAACAUCCUACCAAAAAUAUGUAGAUACUGAUCAAUUGGUCAACUACUGUAUAUAUGCAAGAAUCGAUCAACAAGUCAUCUGAGUAUAUAAUCUAGAACUACCGUCGGCCAUGGCCGACAAUCCUACCCCUCAGGGUACACCGACCUCAAAGGUCAUCAAACGACAGAAGUCAAGAAACAGACCAACCCAAUACAUAAUGCAACAACCGACCAACCAGGUCAACAGAUAUAAGAUAAAAGCACCGAUCAACUAGAUCACCGAAACGAAGUACGAGAACCGACCAAUCAGGUCACCGAAACGAAGUACGAGAACCGACCAAUUAGGUCACCGAAACAAAGUACGAGAAUCGACCAAUCAGGUCACCGAAACAAAGUACGAGAACCGACCAAUCAGGUCACCGAAACAAAGUACGAGAACCGACCAAUCAGGUCACCGGUAUCACAUAUGGAUAAACUACUCUACUCCUACACAUGAUACUAAGCAUAGAAACAUAUGAGUAGAGUAUAAUAGAAACAACGGGGAUGCAAGCUCAAUAUAUAAUACGAAAAUAGCAACAGAAGAACAGGGAUAGAAGAAAUAUCACCGAGCGUGCACCACUGUACCGACGUCGGAUCGAAGUACCCACCUGUAUAAAGCUGAAACGGUCUCGCGAAGGCGGAGACGAAGCGACCGGACCUACGAAGGGUCCACCGGGUUAGAGUCUAACCCACAAACACAAUAACACGACCAUUCUCACACAAAUCCCAAAAUCAUAACCCCUCGGAAAUCGGUUUCUCAAACGCAACUACCGAACCAGCCGGAAAUCCCGGAAACCGUACCGAAACUCCACCGUCGCUCACCCGUCGUUUCCGAACCCUCGAGAAGACGCGGGUGACCAGCCAACAAGGCUCAGCGACGCUACAAUCAACCACGAGGCACCGUCGGAUGAAUUCCGAGUCGAACGCGCGUUCUAUCGGCGGAUUUCACCGAAAACGCUCCGGAAAUGACAGAUAGAUUUCCGCAAGGGCUUGGGGCCUUGGACGAUCAGUCCAGAGGUUAUCUUAAGCCUUAACCUGCUGCCAACAGCAGCCACAACGAAGCGAAACGCAAAAGGAUCCCUAAUGGCCCAUGAAAUCACAUUAUUUUAUGUGAUUUCAUGGCUCUAACGGGUCGUACCAGCAAACCAGGGAUCUACGGAGGUUGCCAUCGCACUUGCUGCAAGGUUUCAGCAUGCCUGAGGCCGUGCUCACCUUUCGGAGCACUGCCGGCAGCAACCACGCGCGCACGAGCGACGCGAACCUCAGCGAAUCAGUGCGCAUACUGUGGAAAACAGCCUUUUCUCACUAACCAGGGCACCGUUAACCUAAAUGGAGGUGAGCAUCGUGUUCAGCACGAGCCCACGAUCACCGUGCUCACCUCCCGAGGUGCCAGGGAGUCAUCGGAUCACCGAAAAAGUGACCGGAACGCAAAACAGCAGUGCUGGAACCAAAGUAAACUACUCACCGGAGCUGUGGGAGCUAGGGAUGGCCGCCGGCGAUCGGGCGGCGGGCGCUCCGGCCGGUGAUGGGAGCAGCAGGUCGGGGAGGUCCGGGGGAGGUGCUGGCCGGCGGCGGGCAGCAGCCGGUGGCGCGGCGGCGGAGAUCGGGCCCGCACACUUCCUCUCGGGCUGGAGCUUGCCGGCGGCGAGGCGGCGACCGGGGGAGGUCGGGGCGGCGAUGAUCCGGUGCCUGAGACCAAGGGGGAGGUGGUGCUCACCUCAGAGGGCAACGGCAGCGCUCGGGAGUGGCGCGGCUCCAAGGUCGGCCCGCACAGGACCCGAGCGGCGGCGGGAGACCUUGGCGGCGGCCGGCGGGGCGCGGGGACGGCCGGGGACGCGCGCGCCGGGUUGCUGGAGGUCGCCGGGGUCGACAGGGGGGCUUGGCCGCAGGGGAAGUGCGGUCCCAAGGCCCGCAACCUGAGCUCGGCCUGGCUCGGGUCUGGGCAGACCCGGUUGGCUGCAGCCUCUUCCGGCGGCUCCGGCGACGCUCGGGGGUGGCCGGGGCCGGCGGGGGAGGGCGCCUGAGGAAGGUCUCGACCAGGGGAAGGUGGUGCUCGGGCUAACAGGCCUCUCCAAGCACCAAGCUUAAACCGGUGGUGAGGUGGUCCAAGAGAGGAGGAAUAUUGGCUGCAGGCUGUUUCCGGCGGCCGGGGCUGCUCGGCGGCGGCCGGAACGCGAGCACGGGCAGGGCAGGGAGGUGCUGGGAUGGCAGGGGCGGCUGGGGUUAGCUGGGGGGUUCUAGGGUUAGGGUUAGCUCAAGAAACCCUAGGACAACCUAUAUAUAGGUGCGGAAAACUCGCGGAAAACCCCCUCGAAAGGAAUCUAAUUAAUCCCAGCUCUCAACCAGCAGUCGCAUAACGCACGAUAGUCCCUCUAAGUUCGAAAACUCGCAAUUCGACGCAUAAAAUAUAGGGCCUUUUCGCGAAUAAUCCGAUUACUCAAAUCAGCCCCUUCGCGGACUUUUCGCGAUUCCCGAAGAUCCGUCCGUCGGAUUUCCGAUCGGAUCGUACCAGCGCGAUCAGUACGACAGAGGCAUCGAAUCUAGCAUUUCGUUUCGCCCGAAAAGGUUCCCGAUUUGCGACAAAACCAUCCCUCAUAGGUUCCACCAAAAACCACAUAUAGACAACUAUAUGUAAAAACCAUUAAACCCUUUUUCUCGAAAUCCGUGCAUCCAAAUCCAAUUCCGUCAGUGCCAUUGGGUCCAGGAUAGUCGAGCGGUUGAAAACGAGCUAUUGGAAGGCUAUAUUCGGAGUCCGAUACGCGUCGAAAGUCCACUCUACUCCGCGGCCUCUCUGGAAAACCGGAGUUACUAUUCACUUAAGUCAAACUUCCGGGUCGCGUAACUUCUCCGUUUUAACUCGUUUUCUCCUGAAAUUCGACGAGUACACUUAUAAUUAUAUUACACACAAGAACAUCGUCAAACAAAAGGGUUUAAUCAAUAAAUCAAAAAUCUCAGUUAUUACAGGCUAUCUCUCUCUCUUUUCCCUGUCACACCCCAAUAAUCCCACAUCGGAUAGGAAUGAAAAUAUGAUUGGAUAUAUAAGUGACUUAGACAUUAGUAAUAAUAACUGGGCUUAAGCAUUUUGGGUCGGUGGUUGGGCCGAACUAGUUAUUGUUGCUAGUGGGCUGGAUCGUUACAUUUGGUAUCAGAGCCAAUCACCAGCCGGAAUUGUGCGGCGAGUCUCAGCUGAGGGCAUAGUCCGUACGACAAGGAAUCAUCAGCCAGAAUUGUGCGGCGAGUCUCGGUUGAGGGCAUAGUUUGUACGACAAGGUGAUCGACUAUGCCAGGGUCUGGAUCGCCUGGUGAUCUUUGCCUGUGUGUGGGGGAUUAUUGCGGUCUGUCACACCCCAAUAAUCCCACAUAUGAUAGGAAUAGGGAUGUGAUUGGGUAUAUAAGAGACUUAGAUACUAAUAAUAAUAACUGAGCUUAAGCAUUUUGGGCCGGUGGUUGGAGUUAUUGUUGCUAGUGGACUGGGAUGAACCGUGCACGGCACUCGUGCUCACCCUAUGAUGAGCUGUGUCCUACGUUCGUAGGCCAGGAUAGGUUGCAAGUGGGGCGCAUCCUUUCCCUCUCUCUCUGCUAACCCUAGGGAGUGGUGGCGGCGGCGGCGAGGAUAGCGCGACAAUGUCGACUCCCCCUUCAAACCCCCGAGCUUCGCCGUAUAUUUCCACUAAUAAUUCUCUCCACCCCUUUUUCAAUUUUUCAAAUUUGAAUUUGAAUUUUUCCUUUUGGUCUUGUUAGUAGCCAAAUUUUUCGACCCUUGACCCGGUCAAAGAUCCUUCUCAGGAAGUGCGUCGGGAUGAGGAAUGGCUACGGAUAGUGACUCUCGAAGUUUGCGCCCUUCGACAGAUCAAGCGAUUCUGCUGACGAGGGAUCGAGCCAGCCGGGUUCGAAAACUACUACUAUCUGUUCGGUUCGGCUGAAACGAAGCCGGAAGAAGAGUCGAAUGGCUAAAGCAACACGAGAUUGGGUCGGCUUGAAGAGCCGAAAUGACUUUCUAUUGAUUGAUUACUGAGAAGUAUAAGGACGGAUAUAUAGUUUACAACGAUUCGGCUAAUGAGGGAUCGAAUCAGCCGGAUCCAAAAAUCUUCACUAUAAACUGAAAGAGCCGAAUAAAUGAAAUAUACAAUGACUGGUCGGCUGAAAGAGCCGAAUGCCUAAAUAUAUAUAUAUAUUAAUAAAACAGAGUGUGCCCGAAGGGCAUACAGACUCUGCAAAUAUGUAGUUUACAACGGAGCGAUGCCCAUGGGGUAGACAAAUUCUAGGGUUCUACUUAAAAACUAUUCCUAGGAAAGCAGUAAAUGCGAAAAAGAAAAGAUUACAUUUAAACUACUCCUAGAAAAGCGAUAAAAUUGCGAGGAAAUAAGGGUGGUUUUUUGUUCACAGGGGAAAAGACCCCUAUUGCAGGCUUCGAAAUUACUAUUUAUAGUAAUAUCAACCCACAUUAUUGAUUGGUUGAAAGUAGUGGGGGGAGUGGUUAUAACCAUGAUCGUGGAAGUUACGCCCACUCAGAAGUUACGCCCCAUCGUGGAAGUUACGCCCCACUUCUCAACCGUACCCGCCUAAAACCUUCAAGCGCCUUAUUGCCGACUCCUGGUGUACCAUGAGUCCUUAUUGGCUCAUACGUAGGUUAGGUCGGCAUGUUAAUUUCAAUUUUGGCAUCAACAGGUCUAACUUACUAUUAGGGAGGUGAGGCAGUGCUCUACAACGGAUACGGUGCUGGAUCGCUUCAGCGUGCGGCGCACCAACAUUUCCACCACCCCAAGGUUUCCCUUUUUUUUUUACUUCGAAAAAAAAAAUCAAAAUUAAAUCAAAGUCCUCCCUUCUAACUUCAAAACAUAAUUUUAAAACAAAAAUCUUGCCCAUUACCUUUUCUCUUUUUUAUUUUAUUAUUUUUUUUUGUGGAACAAUAGGGUGGGGCGAUGGGUGCGCAGAGCUACGGAGGAGCGCCGCCGAGAGGAGCGGCGGCGGCACUGCCGCCGCAGGCCAUCGCCUCGUCGGGCAGCGGCGCUGCGGGGACAAGCCACUGACCCUCACAGCAUCAUAGAACGAGUAAGCUUACUCUUUUUUUUUCCUUCCAUUUUUGUUGCAUUGAAAAAUAAAAUAAAAAAUUAAGAAAAUUUUUAAAAAUAUUUAAAGUAAUUUCUAAUCUAUUUCUUGAAGCUCGAUCUCCCCCCCAAAUGAACCAUAUAGCCAAGAGAAACCAUGAACCAGAAUAGAAGAGCUUGCCCCACCCAUGAGUAAAUAUUUCAUAGUAGCCUCAUUAGACCGUACAUCUCUCUUGGUAUAUCCGGAUAAUAGGUAGGAACAUAAACUGAAACAUUCUGGAGCUACAAAGAUAGUUAUUAAAUCGUUUCGUUUGUUUUCGUGCGAACAGCUUCGCAGGGAGAGAAUCGCGGAGCGAAUGAAGGCCCUUCAAGAAUUAGUCCCUAACGCCAACAAGGUAAUAAAACAAUUUAUUUAUAAAAAAUUAAAAAAUACACUGUAAUUUGGGAGUGUUUUAACUUCCUACUAUUGUACAAAUGAUAGCUGAUGUUGCACAUGUAGUAUGUGAAAGCGCUUGUAAAGUUCAGCGCAGAGUAGUCUACUUCUUCGUUUGGUUCGGAUAUAAGCAAGAACUAGCUAUUACAGGAAUAGAUAUAAGUAUGGGGAUAAACAAAAUAGCAUUUGGAUAAAAAUUGGGUUGUUUCCGGGAAUAAAAAAAAUACCGUUGAAUAGAUAAUAUGGAAUAAGAAAAAUAGUGGGUAGUUAUAUAUAGAAAAUAGAGGUGUUGGUGGGGAUAGUUAUACCAGCUUAUUUUAGGUAUCUGAGAACUACUAUUCUCGGAUAAAAAAUUUGCGUUUGAGAUAAAAGGGGAUAAAGUGUUAUCCUUCCCCUUAUCCCAUAUCCAAAUGCUACCUAAGCCUUUGGAUAAAUCCUUAUAUUCUGAUAUUUAUUUUGUAUUACAUUAAACAUACACACACACACACACACACACACACACCUUUUAACAAUAUACAACUCUCUAGGACUAGCUGAUAAUUUAAAUAAAAUUCAGCCUGCGAAAAAACAACAACUUACGUAAGAUCUAAUAUCAAUGAUUUGUUACCUCAAAUAUUUACUGUUUAUAUAUUAUGGCCAAUUUGCAUAAAAAAUUCACUAAUUUUGGACUUUUGCAAAAGUAGGCCACAUUUUUCGUUUUUGCAGAUUCGGUCCGAAUUUGUGACACCCCAAUAGUCCCAUAUUGGAUGGGAAUGGGGUUGUCAUUGGGUUUAUAAGAGACUUAGACACUAGUAAUAAUAACUGGGCUUAAGCAUUUUGGGCUGUUGGCUGAGCCCAACGAGUUAUUAUUGCUAGUGGGCUGGGUCGUUACAGAAUUUUCAGCAAACUAACCAAAAUACCCUUAUUACUUUUUCUCUCUCCUCUCUCUCUUUUUUUUUUUCUCGUUCAUUUUUUUUUCUCUCGCCGAAGAGGCAACGGAGGUAGAGGCGGAAGCGGAAACGGCCCACCUCGCCUCUCACCCUCAUGCUCUCGCCCUCGCCCUCGCCCUCGCUCGCGCACCCCCCACCUUCCUCGCCUCCGACCCCGCCGAGGCCGCGCCGCAACUAUUUUUUUUUCCUCUCCGACUCUCCUCCACCAUCUACAACGACGAUGCCUCUCUCACCCUUCCCCGCCCUUCUUGUCCUCUCCCUCUCCCUCCUCCUCUGCCGCCUUCGACGACGACGCAUCUUCGCCGACGUCGACACGUGGAGAUCGCUGCAGUGCUGUAGUCUCGGAGCGGGGGGUGCUUAGCAGAACAGUAUAAAUAUCUCUCAAAGAAUGCAAUUUUCGUUUAAAGAGUGUAACUUUCAUCUUAAUGGAUACAGUUUACAUCUGAAAGAAUGCAAUAAGAGGAGAAACAGUGUAAAUAUUUCCCAAAUAGUUUAAUUUUUAUUUAAAGAGUGUAAUUUUUAUCUUAAAGCUGCAGUUUACAUCUUAAGUGGUACAACUUAUGUUCAUAAUAGUGCAACGUUUUUUAAAACAGUACAAUUUUAUUUUUAACGGUGCAAUUUUAUCUUCAUCUUUUUUUUUCUAUAAUUUUUUUAUUUUUUUUUCUCGCUUCUCCUAUAAUUUUUUUUUAUCACCUCUCUCUGUCAACGGCCACAGCGCCGGCGACGCCGCCGCUAAGGACCCCCUGCUCCGAGGUUACAGCGUCGCAGCGACCUCCACGGUGUUGGCGUCAGCGAAGAUGCGUCGUCGUCGGAGGCGGCAGAGGCGGAGGGAGAGGGAGAGGACAAGAAGGGUGGGGAAGGGCGAGAGAGACGUGGUUGUCGGAGACGGUGGAGGAGAGUCGGAGAGGGAAAGAAAAAAAGAGUCGUGGCGCGGCCUCAGUAGGGUCGGAGGUGAGGAAGGUGGGGAGUGCGCGGGCGAGGGCAAAGGCGAGAGCGAGAGCAUGAGGGUGAGAGGCGUGGCGGGCCGUUUCCGCCUCCGCCUUUGCUUCCGCUGCUUUCUUCGACGAGAGAAAAAAAAUGAACAAAAGAAAAGAAGAGGAGAGAGAAAGAGGAGAGAGAAAAAGUAAUAAGGGUAUUUUGGUCAGUUUGCUGAAAAUUCGAACUGAAUCUGCAAAAACGAAAAAAAUGCCCACUUUUGUAAAAGCCCAAAAUUAGUGGAUUUGUUAUGCAAAUUGGCCAUAUAUUAUACAUAGGAUUAGAUUAAACUAAAUUGGUUACUUUUGUUUUCAGGUUCCAUGAAGCUUCCUCUCCAAAUGAAGAUAAGAUGUGAAGGAUUGCAUUUAAUUUUUAAGUUAUAUUAUAAGUUUCAACUGUCAGCUUUUUUAAAUAAAUUUCCCGACAUUUAAUAUUGCAUUUCUCUUUGUGAUUGUACAUUGCGUUUAUGCAGAUUGAUCCCAAUCUACUUACCAUGUAAAAGACUAUAUUUAAUACUAUAUUUGUCUAUUUAUCAUGUAAAAACCUAUAUUUAAUACUAUAUUUAUCUAUUUAUCUGCAGCGAAGUGUGGGUUUUCACUAGUAAUUCUAUAAAGUUUAUUUUUAUAUAUUAUUUCUGUAAAAAUUUUAAUAUUUUUAAAUAUAUUUUUCUGAUUUAUUAUCAUUAUUGAACUAUUUAUAUUUUAAUAAAAUAUAAAUAAAAUGUUAAUUUUGCCAUCACAAAUAUCUCCCUUAAAAAAUCACAACAGUAUAAUAUAAAAAAAUAAAAAUGUUAAAUUAUCUUAUAAACUAAUCAGGGUUAAGUAUUUAACUUAUAGUUAACUAAAUUUUUCUAACGAAUUCUAAUGGUACAGACAUAUUUGAAAAUAUUAGGAUUUUUGUAGGAACAACAUAUAAACGUUGAACUUUAUGGCUAUAUUUGGUUCAAAGGAUAAAGAAAGAAUAAGAAAUUUAUGCCUCUUAUUCUUCCAAACGGUGUCAAAUAACGCCAAGAACUACUAUUUUCUUCUUAACGGGUUAUUCCGGAAUAACCCGUUAAGAGGGGAGAAUAGUAAUUCCACCUAUUGGGUGGAACAAGCUAUUCUCUACCUUAUUCCUCUACUAAUUAAAUUAUAAAUAAUUAUAUAUUAUAAUUAAUUAAUGCAAUUAAAUUUUUUAAUAAUUGACUAAUUAAUUAUUUAAGUUAUUAAAUUAAUAAAAAUUUAAAUAAUAAUAUAUUUAUAAUUAUUAUUAUUUAUCUAAUUAAAUAGUUAGCCAUAUAUUCAAUUAUUUACUAAUAUUUAUAUUAUUUAAAUAAUUAGUAUUUUAAUUGAUAUAAUUAAUAUAUUAACUAAAAAAAUAAAUGAUUAAAUAAUUAAUUACUAUUAACAUGUCGACUUAUUUUUUAUNAUAGUUAUUUACUAAUUAAUUAGAUAAAUAUAUCUCAUAUAGUAAUUUUAAUUAAUUUAUAAUGUAAUUUUGAUUAAUUUAUUUAUUAACUUAUUAAAAUACUAAUUAUUUAAAUAAUAUAAAUAUUAGUAAAUAAUUGAAUAUAUGGCUAACUAUUUAAUUAGAUAAAUAAUAAUAAUUAUAAAUAUAUUAUUAUUUAAAUUUUUAUUAAUUUAAUAACUUAAAUAAUUAAUUAGUCAAUUAUUAAAAAAUUUAAUUGCAUUAAUUAAUUAUAAUAUAUAAUUAUUUAUAAUUUAAUUNNNNNNNNNNNNNNNNNNNNNNNNNNNNNNNNNNNNNNNNNNNNNNNNNNNNNNNNNNNNNNNNNNNNNNNNNNNNNNNNNNNNNNNNNNNNNNNNNNNNGUGUAUCUAAAGAUAUAGAGCAAGUAUACGUAAGUUGUCUAACAACGAGUAGAAACGAAAAAGGGAAACUUAACCAAGGGGCGCAAAAGAUAAAAUAUAACAAUCACAAGUUUCAAAGCUAGUUAUAAGGGAGUGUUUCUUACAGAAAUGGGGUACAGGUCUCAUUCAACUUCCAAAACAAAAUCGAGAAGAGAGGAUAGACCACUUCGUCGAAUUCCUCGUAGCUAAUCGAGGGAUUCCUUGUCCCCAUCCGGAGCUCUCCCUGGGGGUGGCAAGGCUCUGAAAGAAACAUAAACAGGGGGCGUGAGAUAUAAUUAUAGUUCAGUGGCGAAUUACUGACCUUAGCAAAAUGCACAACUAGCGCAAGUCCAAACCAAUCGAGCGAUAUAGAAAGGAAAAUAGACAACUGCAGGAAUAAAAGCACCUAUAAAAGAAAAUGCUUUAUUACUGCUACUGCCACAAGUAUAUGUGUAAGACAGGAGUACAAUCUACUCUUAUAUGAUCCAAAUAUGCCCCAAUACAUACUCUAAUGUUCUAAUCACGGCUACCGUUGCUAUGCGAUGGCCACAGUCAUACGCUAUCACAGUAUAUACAAUGUCCAAAUGUCCGAUACUAUGCUAAAGGGCACUAUCCAAGUUUAAACCAACUACUAAUGCCUAUCAGUAGUGAAUUGUUAUACACCAGUUAAAUGUCAUGUCUCAAUCUUGUCUCUUAGGGACCGUACACAAGUGUAGGUCCGGCUUGUGCGCCGCUAGCUGCCUUGUGGUAGCCCUAUCAUUCCACGCUAGAGACAUGAGUCUGUCGCGCACAGACGACCCUAACAGGCGCCUCGCCCUACCGCCUAGGCUGCGUGGGUAGCUCGGUCAUUCCCCACGGCUGGAAAUAGGCUGUCCACCGCGACCCCUACAUGCAUCUCAUCCCGGCCGCCCUGCCGCCCCGCCGCUCAACCUGCCGUCCGCAAAAGGCCAACUCGGGUGGCCGGCUUGUAGGGACGACCUCACAGCAAUGUGCGGAAAAAUGAGCACAAAAUGCAAGCAAGCGAUUGAGUUUCUAUCAUGUAUGGAUCUCGUAUCAGUGUCUCUGAAAUAGAUAGCCAUAGUACCCAAGGGAUCUGUCUAUGUCUCAAGUGAAGUCUCCCAAAUUCACUUAAGUCUUAGUGCCUUUUGUAGACCGCUAGAACUAUUACGUAUAUACCAGCUGGUUCAAUUUUUCAUGCCUCUUUAUGAAUUUUAGUUUACUAGUGUUUCAUACAAUGUCCCAACUCAAUUUGCUCGCAUUUAUUCAUUAGAUUAACUAUACCAAUUUCCAAGUCCAAUGCCUCUUAGACAUUAGUUACUCUAUCAAUAGAUAGGUUAAUACGCAAGAUGUCCUUGCCGAUGAUCUCACACUUGCUAAUAUGUACCUAGCAAUGUGAUUCCCAAUGAUAUAAUAUUAAGCAUGCAUCUAUCCACUUAACAACAUGUUUUCAUGCUCCGUAUUGCAACUAUCUAACGAUAGCAAUAGUUCUGAUAAUGCUACAUUGCCCCCCCGGGCCCCCCCUUACACUUUCCAAUGAAUACAAUUUAGCAUGAAUUUUUUUUUCUUGUAACUGUAUCAUACACAUACAAUUCACUAUAUUAUUAAGUUUUGAUAUAUGCCUCUCUUAUGCAUUAAUAUGCUGGCUUAUUCAAUAGCUCAAGCUCAGAUGUCGCUUACGACAUUAGCCUCUCUAACUGCACAAGUUAUUCAAGUUCAAAGCCACUUUUAUGGCUAAUGUAUUCUCUUAUGGUCCAAAUGAGAAUUUAUGUCCAAGGCAUAAUUAAUUUGUCAUGGUUUUAUUAUAUGGGAGCAUGAUUUCAGUCCCGAGUUGAAUUUGCUAAAAACCCAUUCUGACAGUAAGUCUCAAACAUGCAGGUUCUCUACUACAUUAGAGGGUCCGAAUGCAUGUAUAUAAACAUGUGGCAUUUAUUAUCUGUCAUAUUCACUAAAUGCAUAUGAUCUCAAAGCCAACAAUUAGAUGCUAUCCAAUUUAGGGCAAUGCCAACACGAACUCUCUACUACAUUAGAGGUCCGAAUGAUUUGUAUAUAACAUAAGCAUUUCAGCAUUCUAAAAUUCACAUAUAGCAUCUAUCAUGAAAAUCGUGAAAUUCUAUUUUUACGAUAUUAAAAUCCACAUAAAUGAGAUUUUUUAUUUGUGCGAAGGGUCCCCACCGAGACUCUACGCGCUUAGUGCCCCGACUCUCUUGCUCAAUGACUUUAGGUGAAACAUUGACUCACGAUGCUACGAUUCCGAUUUUGUUGAUUUUUUUGUUGGGAGCUUUACGCGCGAAGCUGCAGGCAAUCUGUACCGAAAUCCGGCUUCCUUCAAUAUCUUCGGUAGCUCGUCGUAUGCGAACCGACUUCGGCCAGGUAGUCAGAAACCUAGCAAUUUAGGUUAUAUACAGGCUCAAUCUAGAGUCGACCCUCACGAUAUUACGAAAUCUUCAUUUUUGACCUAAAUGCAAUUUACCCAAAUAAUCCAAAUUAAGAUGUGAGCAGCAAAUGCUAGAAUGCUCAUUAGAGGACUACCGUAGAAGCACUUAAAGCUAAGGAUUAAGACAAACCCAUAGCUACCCAAUGGUGAACGCCAGACGCACGAAAACACGCGCGAUCAGAGCGCACGAAGCUCGAUUCCGUUCGCUGCCCACGCGUUCGCAAGCUUUCUCCGCCGAACGCCGUGAUUUGGGCGAAAGAUCUCUGUAGAGAGAUGACGACGAGAUAUUUUUUAGAGGGAGAAAAGGGAGGGGUUUCGUCUAACUACAAUGAAUCGUGUGGUGUGCCGGUGGUGGUAGUGGCUGGUGAAGAUAGAAGAAGAAGCUAGAAGCUUUUACUUAUAGUCUUACCCCCAAUAGUUAGAUACACUAUUCACUUCAGGCACGUUCGAAAUCUGACUAUUUUUUCGCUGGGACGCCUCUGAAAAAUGCCGGUUUAGUUCAAAUUUUACGUUAUGUUCGGUUGUUUGCUUAACUUGACGAGAAAAAAUUUAAUUUUCGUUUCGACCUCCGUUUAUGGCACGAAAAGCUCGUACGAACUGUAAUUCUUUAUCAGAUCUGUCGGAUUUUACUUUCCACCCUUUCUGAGGGGACGAAUGUCAGUGAUAUGAAAUUUAAACUUAGCUCAUAAAAAUAAUUCUGGAUUUCCUCCAGUUUUUUAGAAUUUUUGAAGAUGUGAAUUUUCUGGUUAAAUAACCAGGCCGCUCGAUUCACACAGAAAAUUCAAAAUCUUCUGUUCUCGCUCCGAUUUCCGCACGAGCCGUUCCCGACUUAUAUUUAACUUCUAUAAGUCCAAUAAAAAUAGUAUCUCACACUAUUUUUAUUUAUACCCUUAUUAUAAAAUCCGGUAUGCUACAGGGCAUUAUCCACACCCCGCAACACAACAGUAGCCAAGUAGGCUACGCAACCUCUACUAAUCAACUGCCUAGCUCGAGAGGAUCUAAUCGUCAUCGCAAACAGCGAACUUUGGCAUCCUCGGUACACCACCUCCGCCUGCCCCAGCUCUCUAAAUGUCACCGUUCGAUUCUUGCAAUCGAUGGUGGCAAAGUAUUUAGUUAACCAAUCCAUGCCCAACACAACGUCAAACUCUCCGAGUUUCUGCAAAGCUAGCAAGUCUAUGGGCAUGAUCCAAUCUCCAACCCGAAUAGGGCAACUGGGGCAAAAUUUCCGAAUGUCCAAAGAAUGGUCGGGUACAACAACUCGGCCCGGGUGCAAUAAGGAUAUAAGUGGGAUGCCAUGCAACUCGGCAAAUAGUCGAUCAAUGAAUGAAUGCGAUGCACCGGUAUCAAAUAAAGCUCUAACUCGAAUACCAUGAAAUAAAAUGAUACCGGCGACCACAUUCUCGGCUGCCGCCGCCUCCUCAGUCUCGGUCGCGUACAUGCGCCCGCUCGGGGCCUGUCGUGACCCCUCCGCCUGCCGCAAAACUGGCGGCCGCCCUACCUGGUGAUGCGCAAAAGAUGUCCCCUGGCUGGGACCUGGCGAUGCUGGUGCAGACACCGAAGAUAGCGCUGGCGCUGGACUCCUCGGACAGUCCGACUGAAAGUGGCCCUCCUGACCACACAAGAAGCACCUGCCCCGACUGCGUGAACACUGUCGUGGGUAAUGAGGACCACCACAGAUCACGUAGCGGGGGGCCUGACGACGAUCGGGUCCUUCUUGCUGAGUAGACUGGCCACGUCCUCGCGACUGGCUCCGGCUCCUGGGGUGCCUCGGCGGCCUCCGUGAGUGCGUCGGACUCACACCCUCAGCCGCGGGCCUCAUGCCCUUCCCUUUCUCCGAGCUCUCGCGACGCUCCUGCAAAUCCGCCGCUCCUGCCUCCACUAUCAAAGCUCGAUCCACAACCUCUCGAUAGGUCUGGAGGUUGGAAGACAGCACCAACCAGAAGAUAGAAGGCCGCAAACCACGCUCAAAGAUGCGGGCCUUGUCCUCGUCGUCCCUCACAACAAACGGUACACAGUGUAAUAUCCGGGAGAACUCCCUCUCAUACUCAGCCACUGACCGCUCAUCCUGGUACAAGCUGCGCAAAUCCUGCUCCAUCUUCCUCUUGACGCUGGUAGGAAAGUGGUGCGCUAGAAGAAGCUCCUUGAACCUCGUCCAAAUAAUCGCUGCCAAGUCGGUGUUCGGGUUGCCCUGGAUAUCCAACCACCAACGGUAGGCCUCGCCGUCCAGAAAGUUAGUGGCGAGCCAAACUCUGUCCCGCUCCUCUACAAAGGUGUCUCGAAACAGCUUCUCCAUAUGCAUCAACCACUUCUCGACAAUCUAGUGGUCGACGUUCUCGCCAUCAAACAUUCUCGCGCUACACCUCCUGAACUCACUGAGACGAUCCAUGAGCCGAUCCCGCUCAGCUCCCUCGGCCAUCACGGGGUAUGCCGCCCCUGUCGCCGGUCUCUGAACUGGUAGUGCCGCAACCACCUCCUCCCGAGGUGCGGUCGCCGGUGCCGCACGUGAAGAACUGGGCGCGAGGGACUGCGCCCUCAGUGCGACGUCCACCACGGGUGCUGGCGGUGUGGGACCCUGGGUCUCCCUCGAAGCUGCUGCCUGCUGAAGUAGGAGGUCCUCAAGAUGCUUCAUCCGCGCCUCCUGCCGAUGGGCCACCUCAGCCUGUCGCUGCGCCGCUGCCGUCUGCUGCGCCAACAGAUCAGUGAGAACCGCAAGCUGGGCCCUCAAGUCAUGGACCUCACUAGAUCCAGAAGUAACGGAGGUCUCGACCUCCUCGGGGUGUGCCGCAUCAUCCGCCCCGGCAGACUGGGAGCGUGUAAUCGGCAUCGUCACUACAAAACAUAAAAGCGCAAGUUAGUAACCCACGCUAUCGCAUCCCCGCUCAAAUAAAUAAAACCCCAAAUCAUGCGAAAGUAAGGAAGUGUCCUUCACUACUAACUCCCGAUGUUACGUUGUCGGUCGCCAACGUAACCCCCCGCGAAGUUAGAAGCCGUACACUCCGAUCAAACUCUAACUUUUUAGAGUUGUCAUAACCCAAUCGUAAUACUUUCGCUCACAAGUCAAUUAUACCUCGUCUCUCACGAGCCUAAUUCCUAUAGUCCAACCGGCCUAAGGUUUGCUAGGUCCUCUACGACUCAACCCUAGGCUCUGAUACCAAAUUAAUCUGUCACGCCCCGGGACCGGCGGAGGCCCUCCCAGUAGCGUGCCCAGACCCGCCAUAUGUCUACACAUAUAAGGCGUCUACAAUAAAAGCGGAAGUAAAAGCAAGAGAUAGAACAAAUAGAAUGAAUAGCAACUAAUGAUAUAAGAGCAAGUAAAGUUCUAUCAUCUAAACCAGAGUAAAAGAAACAUAUCUAAACAAUAAAAGUAGCCAUAAAGUGGUACAAUAUCUGUCUCAAAGGUACACAAAAGGGUGGUCUCUAGUACACUGGUACAACUCUCAACCUCUCCAAAAAGAAAUACAUCGAGAGGUAGACCACCUAAACUCAUCUCUCGCUGAAGGGCUAACUCGAAGCGAUGCCCUUCCCACGGUCCCUAGCCUCUCCCGACGUGGAAGGCUCUGAAAGAAAAUAUAAAACAGAGGGCGUGAGAACUAUAAUUUAUAGUUCUCAGUGGGCAAUUACUGACAUCAGUUCAAUGCACCACUAGGCCCCAAAAGAAAAAGGUAAGUCCUAGAUAGUGAUAACAAUAAAUAAAUUGCAAAUAUGAAAGCAUAAUUAAAAGCUACACUAAUGCAUUGCAAUUAAACAUGGCAUUUAUAUAAUGCACCUUUACCUUGUCAUGAAUGCUAUGCCUCUACAUGGCCACAUGGGAUAUCAUGAGAUACUUUAUGAAGUUAUGAAAGUGAUACUUUAUCAUAACUACAAUGCGUGUAAGAAGGCAAUAAACGACGUCUCCUAGCAUACUACAUGUAUAUAUGCAUACUCAUGUGUCCAACACUAUGCUAGAAGCAAACCCAAGUAAUCUAAUUACUACUCUCUAUCUAGUAGUGAUUGUCACACACUCAAUACUGUGUCGGUUUCCAUUUCCAAUUAAGGACCUACCCAAAGUAGUCCAGCUUGUGCCGCCUAAGUGCCUGUGGUAGCCCAACAUCCCUACUCUUGGAAUGUGUCGCCGCACUCUGACCUCUGAUAGCUUCUUCUUCAUAACCGCACGGAUUUGCGAAAAUAUAAUCGCCGUAGACGCCAAACUCCGAUCCGGCUUCGGGAGACGACCGACUCACAAGCAGUCGAAGAUGAGUCACAAAGCCAAGCAAGCAUCAUCCAACGUCUCAUAUCUCAAUCCUCGUUCCUAAACAUGUGAUCGUCACUACAUUCCGAAGAUCUAGUUCAAUGUCACAAAGCAAGUUCAACAAAGCACUAUCCAUCGCGGCGCUAGGUCCUCUUGAUGACACUUAGGCAAUUGAUUUCAACAUAAGCCAAUCCCCGCAAUGCUAACCACCAGGUUCACAGCAUUGCCGCGAACUCGAUCCGCUUGAUACAUUACUUCUCUAAUUCGGCAUUCAUUCUAUUCAAUAGCCUCUAUAUGGCGAUCUUGUCAUCUUUCAUGCUCACAAAUUAAAUCAAAGUUUAAAUGCAUGAAUCAAGCCCAUUUACCAGCUAUAUGAAGUAGAAAACCAAUCUCAUAAAUGCGAAAUGCAAAACGCAAAGUCUCGCCAACUUCUACUACUACAUAGAGGUCUAAAAUUUUACUAUAUGCAAUAUGGCAUUUUAAGCAUUCCUAAUAAUUCACAAUAAAUACAUACUAAGCAAGGAAUAUGCAUGCUUUUUUGAAUAACCGAUACUUAUUCAUCAACAUUAUGCCAAAGAAUUCCAUGUGUGGCUAGUCAAACCACCGAACUCGUCGCGCUAGGGCCCCGUUUCCUCCGAACAGGAGUUGUCCAAAGAGAUCUCAAUAUCCUAAAAGUAUUGAGCGAAGAGAUACAUCCGCAUUACGAUCAACAUAAGAUCAAUAUUAACCAACAAGACAAAAGGGCUAAAACUCACACUCAAGGAAGAAAUGUCAACCCCGGACCCGAUACUCAAUUUGGGCCGGUCCCUGAGCACGUCAAUCAAGACGCCAACGGACAGAGUUCCCCUACCGCCACAAGCCAUGCACAUUACAAAUCAAACAAAAUGCAUCUACGGAAACAUACAACACGCUUACACGAGUUAAGGCAAUAGCCAAUUAGUGAGAGAAGGAACAAACUAAACAUCUACAACAAUAAUAUGCAUCAUUUUAAUCAUAUACAUUGCAUUCAUUCUUACAUUUGGAUUCUCUUGUAUUUCAUUACAUCAUUUCAUCAUUUCUUCUCUUACAUCACAUUUUUCUCAAAUGAGCUUUCAUUCUUAUACUUUACCAUCACUAAUCAUCAAAUACAAAAAUGAACAAAGGGUAGCUACUAACAAAAUAAACCCAACUCGACUCUGGUGGCCUCUGUCUAAGGCCGGAUAACAUUUGCCUCGUCGCUCGCUCGUUCGCUCGGUCCCGGCUCUGUGGAAUAGUGGGUUAAACAUACAACAAAGUUCCAGUGGUUCGGCCCCAACAUCACCGACCUUCCCACUAGGACUAACUCAGGCAUAUAAGAAAGAAUAAGCUGUAUAGUAACCAAUCUAUCACAUGAUCCUAAUAUGCCUGAAAAAUAGCAAAGAAAUACGCUCAACAUUAAAAGAUGCAGAUUUAUGCAAAUUUUCUCGUUCUUAUAUCUUUACACUUUGAUCUUUUUCUUUAAUCUUUGCUCUUUAAUCUCAAGGCUAACACCGGGGUUUUGCCACAUUAACUGCUUCACAUAAGUCCAUCAUCGCAGAACUCACACCGCUAGGACCGUCUUCGGUCUACUCCAACCCGUGAUGCAUAACUCCGGACGCAUCGCCAGGGGAAGCGACCGCCCUGAGCACCGAACUCAUAGCAAGUAUAUCGAAUCCUUAACUCCAAAGAUUAUAAGUUCAAUCUUGACUACACACUAACUCUAGUGUUCUUCACAUCACUUUAUGUUGCCACUCUAGCAAUCAAUUUCUCUUUUGCAUUUCUUUUACUUUUGCUAACUCUAGCAAUCACAUUCUUAUCAUUACUUUACUUAGCUAUUCUUUAGCUUCACAUCUUUAACUUUACAACGUUCUUUAUGCCCACACUUAACGUAGCUAUUACUCAUUGAUAUCAUCUUUACCUCGCAUUAGUUCUUUGCCUCACACUAACUCAGUGUCACUUUAACAUUUUUCAAAUGCCACUCGAUCUAUGUCAUCGUGCCACUAGGUUCUUUUGGCUCCACUUUGUACUCCACAUUUCUCUCAUACAUACAUAUAGGUUUUAACAUUCAUAAGGUCCUGACCCUCACAUUAAGCAAGUUUUACUCACAUCAUGCAACAUCACAUUUUUUAUCAUCACUUUACCUAAAAUGCAUGCAACAAGUAUAAUAACAUAGCUCAAUUGAAAUGACACAUUAGGCAUAAGGGAGAAGUUCAAACGAGUUGGAAGCACCACCCACCUCGUAGGUCUCUUUAGGUGCUCCGACGAUUUCUUGGGAUUUUAGACACCCGGUUCACUACCUACAGGAAAACGAACCCUAUUAGCCAUUUUGCUCAUAUUUUACUUUGCUUUUCGUAAUGCUAAUCCAAGCGCACAACGCGUCGGAAAUACCCCCAAUUAGGUUUUUGAAAGGUCAAUUCACUUAGAAAUCUCCAAAGAGCAAAAGCCCACAAAUUUUGGUACUCUAGCUCCAUACAUAUACUAAAACCUAGGGUUUGAUCUCAUUAGGAAGCAAAAGUAGCUUCAAUACUACUCCAAAAUAGUCCAUUCGAACCAUCUUUAAACAAAGCAAUAACCCUUACUUAAAGGUUCACCAUGAGAGGUGAUGAACCUCACCUCAAGCCCUCACCAUUUUCAUGGCCUUGAUCUCAAAAGAAGCAAAGGAAAAGCUUCAAAUACCAAAUGGUUCGCAUAAAAUCUAUUUUAGUCAUUUCAAGAACUCAUUCAGGGAUUUUAACUGAUAGUAUGGAUCAAAGCUUACCUACAAAAGCUUUCCUAUGUUGCUCCAAGGAGUGAAGAAGAAGAGGUAGGCUCACUACUUGAAUCUUCUUCCUUCACCUUCUUUCCCCUCUUGUCCUUCCUUUUCUUUCUUAUCUUCUCUCUCCUUUGGUCUUCUAGAAGGAGAGAGGAAGAUGAGAGUGUGAAGAGGGAGUAGAAUGAGAGAAACCCUCAGUGUCCCUCAUACAAACCAUUGGGUCCUGCAAAAGCAUCAAUAACCCCUCAACCUUUAUACUCCUUCCACAAGCCCCUGGACUGGGCUGUUCGCGCCAGCAGGAACCCGUCUCCUCCUUCAGUGGACCGGUUCCCCGAAGGUCGUCCCAGCGCAGCAGAAGCUGCCUGCGCGCCAGUGCCAUACCGGUCUCUCUUUGCGGGACCGGCUCCUCAGGCAAGGAUCGUAUCCGAGAGCUAAAUUUCUCAGAGACUUAGCCGAUAUUGGCUGCACAAAUCAUAUCGCGUCUGGACGUCUUAUCCACCUGUCACUCGCACCCGGAUACUCGUUCCCGGGCACAUCGACAAAUCCGCCGUAAUACAAAGAAAUAUCCCUUGUAUACGAAGCGUCAAAGUAACCUUAAAAUAACGAUACACAAACAGUACAAAGAGCUGCUCCAACAAAAACAAAUAACUGAGUUCAUAUAAUAUACUAGAAUACACAAAAUACAAGGUUACUCGCACUGGCGAGUAAACAACUAAAUACAUAAAUCCAAAACAACAACUACCUUGCAGUUAUGAAAGCCUCUAGCUCUGACUGUCGGGCUAGGAGCUCUAGCUUCGCAACCCCUGCCUGAUCCUGGUCGCGCGGAAUAUCAGCAGCGCACCUGUGGCCGUGCAAAACAGAGUAACAACUGGCGUGAGACACUACUGUAAAAACAGGUAUGUCUACCCAGUGGGUGCCGCCAAACAACAUCGGUCUAACCCACACGUAAAGUUACAGAAAGAGAGCAAAAAAAAGUAGGAAAAGCAGAAGUACACCUACGCGUAUCAAAUCAACACGCCAUCAUGCCUCACACUAACCCAAACUGUAGGAAAUGUCAAAUCUGACCUAAUCCAAUCGGACUGUAAACAUAUCCCUCCUUUGACUGAAUACACGUCCCUGCCGUUCGACUACCAGCUCCCCCCACUAUAACUUGGUCUUGGAGAAGCAAUCCAACGGCAUAGCGACACCAACCGCGAAAGCACAAAGCCUGACUCCGGAGUGCACUCGUGGCCUACCCACCUGAGUAUCAGCGUAUCCUUCGAGCUCAAUCAGCUCCGACCAUAGCAAAGUCCAAGUAAUGAACUCAACAUGAUCCAAACAACCAAUCAGGUAAACGUCCCCCGCACAGGUCUACGCCAAAAUAAGGCUGAUACGGGCCACCGUCAAUCUCUGACGGCACCCAACAGUUCCGAAACAACCUAGAACGACCUGGUAAAAAUCCACAUCGCGAACCAGCACGAGUGUAAAUACAUUCUAGACUACCUGGAGUACUCGUCUCGAAGAAACUGCGACAGUACAAUUUUCUAACGGCUCCUAGAGCUAAAUCAGGCAGUUUAUACAGGUGACAGGUCCAAAUCGCAGGUUUUCUCCUAAUUCAAUUUUCAAGUCCAACAUGUAUAAUCUACUUAAUUUAUAAAACAUGCUCCAAAAUUCAGAUUUCACAAUCUACAAUUAAUCCAUGAAUUUGAGCUAACAUUAAUUACCGAAAUCAAAAUCUAUACAUGUCGACCAAUAAGAACUUAGGAGUAAAGCCGAUGUAACCCACCUCGCACGCAAAUCCCCGGCAGCGAAACACUCUCACAGCUGUGGCUCCACCUGCUGGGUCGAUCGUAGUACUUCGAUCUCAAGAAUCGCGCUAACUCCAAGCUCUACACCAACCAAUCACCGAUUCAGUCCAGAAUUUGCAGCAGUAGAGUAGGAAUGAGAUUCGACCAAGCUAACCUUCACCAAAUCUGGCAAGUGAGGGCUUCGUGGAUUCCUCUCGAAGUUCCGAAUCCAACGAACCAAGUCUCGUCGAAAUCCGAUGCUCCUACGUCGCGUACGAGCCAAAACACCGACAGUAGACGCAGAAAUCUUAGAACCAGCACGACAUCAAGGAUGGCGAAAAUCCGCACUCGCCCGGCCUCCUCGCAGCAACACGACGUCGAAAAUAAGCUCGAGCGGCUCCGCGGCACGCCGUCGACGACGAAUCCGAGCUUCGCGGCUACCUCUACGCGGCUCCUCCGCUUCGGCUCUCCACUCCACACGAAAGAGAGAAAGAAAAACUAAUUAGAGAGGUUUAGGUUGCUUCCCUUAAUUAAAUGCAUGGAUAACUAUGCAUGGGGGCACGUGGCACCCACCUAUAUAUAUAUGUAUAUACAUGGGGCAUGUGGCAUCCAUAUAUAUAUAUAUGGAUGUAUAUUUAAAGGAUACUACAUCCUCCCCCACUACAAUAAGUUUCGUCCUCGAAACUCAAACAUACCUUUGCUCAGGCAUCAAACAAAAAGGGAUAGGCCUCCCUCAUCACCGUCUCAGACUCCCAAGUCGCCUCCCGCUCAUCAUGAUUAUUCCACUGCACUUUCACAUACGGGAUGACCCGACUGCGCAAUUCUUUCGUCUCCCGAGCAAGAAUCCGCAACGGUCGCUCCUCAUAUCUCAGAUCCUCGCCAAUCUCAAGUGGAGUGAAGUCAAUCACAUGAGAGGGAUCGAAAACGUAUCUCCUCAAUGCUGAGACGUGAAAAACAUCAUGGAUGCCAGCAAGUCGCGGGGAUAGAGCUAUCCUGUAAGCCACCGGUCCGAUACGCUCCAAUACCUCGAAAGGGCCAACAAAACGUGGACUAAGCUUCCCACGUACUCCAAAUCGGCGUAUCCCUCUGGACGACGAGACUUUGAGAAAAACAUGAUCUCCAACCUGAAACUCCAAGUCUCAUCUCCUAGUAUCGGCGUAACUCCUCUGUCGGCUCUGUGCUGUCAAAAGGUGUCGUCGAACGACUCUCACCUUUUCCUCAGCCUCAAGUAGAAUCUCUGGUCCAAGUGUCUUCCGCUCUCCCACAUCACUCCAAAAUAAGGGGGAUCGACAUCUGCGUCCAUGCAACGCCUCAAACGGAGCCAUCUGGAUGCUCGCUUGAUAGCUGUUGUUGUACGCAAACUCAACCAGUCUCAAAUGUCGAUACCACCCUCCUCCAAAGUCCAGGACACAUGCCCUCAGCAUGUCCUCUAGAGUCUGAAUGGUCCGCUCUGACUAACCAUCUAUCUGUGGAUGAAACGCCGUGCUAAAAUGUAGCUGUGUACCCAAGGCGGUCUGAAGACUCCUCCAAAACUGGGAUACAAACCUCGGGUCUCUGUCUGAUACAAUCGACACUGGCACGCCGUGCAGCCUAACGAUCUCAUCCAAGUAUAGCUGCGCAAGUCUCUCCCUGGACCAGGUAGUCUGAACCGGUAGGAAGUGAGCAGACUUGGUCAGUCUGUCCACUAUCACCCAAAUCGCGUCGUAGCCACCCUGCGCUCUAGGCAAUCCAACGACGAAGUCCAUCGUGAUGUGCUACCACUUCCACUCGGGAACUGGCAGACUCUGAAGCUUGCCAGCAGGCACCUGAUGCUCGGCCUUCACCUGUUGGCAAGUCAAACACUGAGCCACAAAUCUGCCAAUGUCCCUCUUCAUUCCAGGCCACCAGAACCGUGCCUUAAGAUCCUUAUACAUCUUGGUUCCCCCAGGGUGAACCGUAUAAGGGGAACAAUGAGCCUCUCUCAGAAUAUCCGCUCGAAUCUCCGGAUCCACAGGCACACACAGUCGGUCCCUGUACCGUAGUACUCCCGAACUGUCCAAAGCAAAACCCUCAGCCUGCCCCCUGUCUAGCUGCUCUCUAAUCCUCAACAAGUACGGAUCUCCACUCUGUUUCUCUCGGAUCCUAUCCAACAGAGUGGGCUGUAAAACUAGAGACGUCAGCCUCGCCGUAGACCCAGGGGGUACUAUCUCGAGUCCCAGCCGCUGUAGCUCCUCGAGUAGGGGUCUCUGCUCAGUAAUCCUCAAACUCAGGCUCUGCACUGACUUCCUGCUCAACGCAUCUGCCACCACAUUCGCCCUGCCGGGAUGAUACUGAAUACUAAUGUCAUAGUCCUUCAGUAACUCCAACCACCGGCGCUGCCUCAGAUUCAGCUCCCUCUGUGUGAACAGAUACUUGAGACUUUGAUGAUCGGUGAAAACCUCGCAGUGCUCGCCGUACAAGUAAUGCCGCCAGAGCUUCAAAGCAAAAACCACCGCGGCAAGCUCCAAGUCAUGCGUAGGGUAAUUCUUCUCAUAAUCCUUUAACUGCCGUGAAGCAUAAGCAAUCACCCUACCAUGCUGCAUCAGCACGCAACCAAGUCCACUGUGCGAUGCAUCACUGUAGAUCACGAAUCCAUCCCCCAUCACCGGAAGGGCAAGGAUAGGAGCCGACGUCAACCUCAGUCUCAACUCGUCAAAGCUCCUCUGACAGUCGUCGCUCCAGACAAAACGAAUCCCCUUCCGCGUCAAGCGUGUGAGGGGUGUGGAAAGCUUCGCAAAGCCUUCCACAAACCGACGGUAAUAUCCUGCCAGUCCCAGGAAGCUCCGUACCUCAGUCACCGUCGUCGGUCUAGGCCAAUCUCGAAUCGCCUCAAUCUUCUUCGGGUCCACUGCUACGCCCUCGGCUGAAAUCACGUGGCCCAAGAAAGCGACCUCCCGUAACCAAAACUCGCACUUCUUUAACUUGGCAUACAACUUCUUCUCUCGCAGAAGCUGUAGCACAAUCCUCAAGUGCUCCUCAUGCUCAGCAUCGCUCCGGGAGUAAAUCAAGAUAUCAUUAAUAAAGACUACCACAAACCUAUCCAAGAACGGCUUGAACACUCUGUUCAUCAAAUCCAUGAAUGCGGCAGGGGCAUUCGUCAAUCCAAAAGGCAUCACCGUAAACUCAUAAUGCCCGUACCGAGUCCGAAAAGCCGUCUUGGAAAAUCCUCGGCCCUCACCCUCAGCUGGUGGUAACCUGACUGGAGAUCAAUCUUCGAGAAGACAUAAGAUCCCUGCAGCUGAUCAAACAAAUCAUCAAUGCGCGGCAAGGGAUACUUAUUCUUGAUGGUCACUUUAUUCAGCUCCCGGUAAUCCACACAUAACCUGAGCGAACCAUCCUUCUUCUUUACAAAUAGCACUGGCGCUCCCCAAGGCGACACACUGGGUCUCACAAACCCUUUAUCCAUCAAAUCCUGAAGCUAUGCCUUUAGCUCUCUCAGCUCUGCCGGUGCCAUCCGAUAAGGUACCGUUGAGAUUGGUGCAGUUCCAGGAACUACAUCAAUCACAAACUCAAUCUCCCUCUCCGGCGGCAACGUAGUCAACUCAGGGAAAAAUACAUCUGGAAACUCGCGGACUACUGGGAUGUCCUCAAGUCCCGGCGCCGCCGUUGGUACCUCCACAAUAGUCGCUAGGAAAGCGAUACACCCGCUACUCAGCAUCUGUCGAGCCCUCGCCGAAGAUAUCCAGGUGGCAAAUAGCGUGCUCCUGCAGCCUCUGAAAGUGAACUCCUCCUGACCUGGCUCGCGGAACGUCACCGUCCUCGCUCCACAGUCGAUCGUAGCGUAGUACCGCGCCAGCCAAUCCAUACCGAGCACGACGUCGAAGUCCUGCAGCUGCCCUAACACCAACAAGUCUGCAGGCAUGACACACGAGUCCAACUGCACCGGACACGACAAACAACACUCCGCAACCAGUAAAACAUGGUCCGGGAUCUGCACCUCUCGUGCCUGUGACAAUGCCCCUAACUCUAGCCCAUGCAACAAUGCAAAUGCUCGGCUAACAAAGGAAUGCGAUGUACCAGUGUCGAAAAGAGUGCGAACUCUAAUGCCAGAAAUCAAAGUGAUACCUGCCACCACUCGGUCGGCUGCUGUAGAGUCCUCCACCUGAGCUGCAUAGACUCUACCACUCGGAGCCUGCUGUCGAAGCUCACCCUGUCGCGGCAUGGACGACCUAUCCUCCUGGCGGUAACUCGGUGCUGCUCUGUAAGUCUGCUGAGGUGCUGGUGGAGCUGAAGCUGAUGAUGGUGCUGGAGAUGCUGCUCGAGGACAAGCUGCCCUCAUGUGUCCCGGCUGACCACAUCCGUAGCACCGGCCCUCCCUCUGCUCACACUGUCUGGGCCAGUGUGGUCCUCCGCAGAUCACACACUGCGGCGCCCUCUCAGGCUGUCCUCUCUUACGGGAGUCUCUGGAUCGCUGACGUCCUGAGAACCCACGACCCUGAGAACGCGAUCGUGGAGGUCUCGGCGGACGCCUGCUACUCGAUUGGCCUCCGUCGUCUGGAGCUGGGCGCUUCCUGUCCUGAGUCUGUCCCGGCUCCUGAGCCCUCUCUCGCAGUGACACCUCUCCUCUCUCCUCCCAUAGUGCUUGCUCAAUGGACGCGUCCAAAGUCCUCGACCUCUGCGCCCUAACGAACCUGAACAGGUCGGGUCUCAAACCCUGCUCGAACAAGUAGACCCUAUGUGCCUCGUCUCUGGCCACGAACGGAACACAGUUCAGGAGUCUAGUAAACUCCCGAACAUACUCCUGAACUGUCCGCUCGCCCUGCUGGAUCCUCUUCAAAUCCUCCUCAACCUUCUGUUUCAUGCUGUUCGAAAAAUACAUCCCAUACAGCAUUCCACAGAACUCAUCCCACCUCAGCUGCGCUGCCUCCAGUCUCUGGUCUCGCCUCACUCUCCGCCACCAGUCACGUGCAUCACCUGACAAACAGUGUACUCCCAAAGGUACCUGCUCCCCCUCUGGAACGUACAGAUCCUCGAAUAACCUCUUCAUAGCACUGACCCAACCCUCAACAACCCAGGCCUCAGUGCCUCUACCAUCGAAGAUCGGUGGAUCAAAUCGGCGGAAACGAGUUAACCUCUCCGUCCACCGCUCCUGCUCGGCCUCAGUCAAUGGUACAGGCCCCCUGGCAGGCGCAACUGGCGCUAUAGGAAUCUCCACCGGUGGGGGCAUAGCUGCGGCUGGAGCUGACGCUGGAGUAGUCGGGAGUGGAACAGUCUGCUCUGGUACACUCGGUGCUGAACUCGGUGACUGAGCUAUCCUCUCACACAACCUCUGCAACAACUCUCCCUGCUGCCUCGUCACCUCAGUCAGGGCAGCCAACUGUGCACUCAGAUCAGGGGGUGCGCUAGCCUCAGGUCGCGCACUCGGCUCUCCAACAGGGGGUGCACUAGCCUCCGGUCUGUCCCUCUGCUCCUGCCGAGCACUCUGCUCCAUCUGCUCAGAUCUCUCAGAAGGUCCCGCACGAUCCCGCAACGACGGUCGACCUCGGCGACGAUACAUAGCUGAAAAGAAACAAGUCGGGGUCAGAUACACGCAACACUCUAGACCCAAUCAACGAAACUCGGGAAGGCGGUCCCUGUUUUCCUCCAAAAUUAUGUCGUCUGCAGCCAACAUAAUUUUUCAGGCCAAAACAGGAACUCCUUCAGUCACUCACUCCACUCUAGGAGGAAUUAGAACAAAUAAUCAUUGACCUUCGCAAUUAAAUGACGCCUCUCGCGUCUUGCUUCCUAAGGUUUGCCAACUUAGGGUUUCCUAGGUCCCAACGACCUAUAGCAAAGCUCUGAUACCAACUUAAUCUGUCACGCCCCGGAUAUCUCGUUCCCCGGGCACGACGACAAAUCCGCCGUAUACAAAGAAAUAUCCCUUGUAUACGAAGCGUCAAAGUACCUGUAGAAUACGAUACUACAAACAGUAGCAUAGAGCUACUAAAAAAAACCUAAAUAACUGAGUUUCAUAUACAUAGCUAGAAUCCAAAAUACAAGGUUACUCGCACUGGCGAGUUAAACAACUAUGUACAUAAACUCCAAAACAACAACUACCUGCAGUAGUGGAAAGCCUCUAGCUCUGACUAUCGGGUAGGGCUCUAGCUCGCAACGCCCUUGCCUCGAUCCUGGUCGGCGGAAGAUGCAGCAGCCGGCACCUGUGGCUCUGCAAAACAGGAGUAACAACUGGGCGUGAGAACUACUGUAAAAACAGGUAGUCCUCAGUGGGUGCCGCCCAAAAUAACAUCGGUCUACCCACUAAGUCUACAGAAGGGAGCAAAAAUAGUAGGAAAAGCAGGAAGUACACUCUAUCGCUAUCAAUCACUACGCCAUCAUGCUCUACACUAACCAACUGUAGGAAAUGUCAAAUCUGACCCAAUCCAAUCGGGACUGUAAACAUACCCGUCCUUGGGACUGUGAAUACACCCGUCCCUGCCCCGUUGCGACUAUCCAGCUACCCCCACACUAACUGGUCUGUGGAGAGCAAGUCCAACUGGCAUGAGCGACACCAACGCGAAAGCACAAAGCCUGACUCCGGAGUGGCACUCGUGGGCGCUACCCAACCGAGUAUGCAGCGUAUCUCUGUCGAGCUCAAUCAGGCUCCAACUAGCCAAAGUCAAGUAAUCGACUCAAACUGAUCUAACAACCAACAGGUAACGUGCCCUCGGCACAGUCUGACGCCAAAAAGGCGAUACGGGUCGACGGCACCUAACAGUCCGAAAAAACCUGAACGACCCUGUAAAAAUCCACUUGGCGAACCAGCACGAGUGUAAAUACAUUCUAGACUACCUGGAGUACUCGUCUCGAAGAAACUGCGACAGUACAAUUUUCUAACGACUCCUAGAGCUAAAUUAGGCAGUUUAUACAGGUGACAGGUCCAUAUCGCAGGUUUUCUCCUAAUUCAAUUUCAAGUCCAACAUGUAUAAUCUACUUAAUUUAUA